rnacentral:lncRNA from 1 species
AUUCUUUCUUUUUUGCAGGGAAAUCAUUCUUAUUCCAUGAACAGUCAUGAUGAAUUGCUUUGGUUAUUACAAUGGGAUGAGAUGAACACACACACACACAAACAGCUACAGCUUUUGUAUGUAGCACAUGACAAGCAUCAUCAUCCAGAUAUCACCCAAAGUCAUCGAAUUGAGAUUACUUAUGGCAACAGCAGUACAGGUAGGGGUGGUGCUCACAAUAGCUUAGCUCCUAAGGUAGUCGUAGCCCAUGCUUACGCAGAAGUUUCGGCACUUGUGCUGGUCAUAAUCAUGAACUGGUCUGUUGCAUUCCCACAUAGAUUGACAGUAUAUGUUAGUUUCCGUGUUGUUCCUUGCACAAUAUACUUUGUUGCAGUUGCGCAUGCCAUAAUCAUCCAUCGGUCUCUUGCAUUUCGACACAGAUUCACUGUAUGUGUUAGGAUCUGUGUCUGCAUGCGCACACGCACGCAAAGAAGGGACAAACAAUUAGUACGUGGCUGUUUGGUAUGAAAGAAACAAUGGAAGAAUGAAGCAUCACGUAGUAAGAAAUACUACUCUACAUACCCUUGGCGUUGCAGGUCAAGGAGGCCAACGUGACUAGAAGAGCUACGGCCAAGCACAGAGAUUAAUUAGAGAUUGACCGAUUCCUUCUCAUAUAAAUGUUAUCAUCUAUAGUUGGUGUUACAUUAAUGUUUGUUGAUCACUAGGUGAGUGUCCUUACGUUGCCACGGAAAAACAAAGAUAUAAAUAUUUAUCAGUAAUUAAAGAGUCAUUAAUUCUAAUAUAAUACACGCACAUAUAUAAUAUGUAAGGCCUGAUAUGUGGUGCCAUCAAAUCUUCUUUACUCUUAACGGGGAGUUGGUAGCCUCGCCUCACUUCUCAUUAAUCCAUUAUCAAAUCAUAUAUUACGCCCGCGAGCGUUUUACAUGCAAUCUUUCUCUCAACCGCAACCGAUUUUGGCCGGCCAUUUGACGUGUCCAUUAACUCAAUUAAGCCGGCACUUCUCCAAAACAACAUCGUACAUUAAUUCGAUCAAUCAAAUCACUACCUACCAAAACAACUGUGUGCGUGUUUUUAUUUCCAAAUCAAAUCACUCUUUACCAAAUCAAAUCACUAUUUACCAAAAAAUCACUACUUUUAUUUUAGGGGUAAAUCAAAUCAAUACUCGACUAUACCCCCUCCGUUUCAUAAUAUAAAAAUGUUUUUCAAGCUAACAUAGCUUUCAAAAACAUUUUUAUAUUAUAGGACAGAGGGAGUAGUUUUUAUCAACUAUUCAAAGUUGAUUGGCCCAUUCACUCAGGUAGAGAUUUUCGCCUCUCCACCCCACUGAAAAUCUACACAAGACGGGUAAAAAAUCUACACAAGAAAAAAUACGCCGUCGUGAAUCCAACUCAAAUCUAGAUCCACUCCUCCCUCGAACGAGGUUCCUAAGAGCAUCUCCAACAGAUGCGCUUAAUAAGCCGCGCGCUGGAAAAAACGCCUAUUUGGCGCACGAAAGAUAAAAAACAGCACUCCAGCAUAAGCUGUAAAAUAGAGCGCGCACAAAAACAAAGGUGUAAGAGCAUCUCCAACAAGCGCGAGAUUUUAGCGCCGCGCUGGAAAAUUUAACUUUUUUGCACGCGCAGCCGUUCCGGGCACUACAACGGACGUGCAAAAAACGUGUGUGCGGUAUAGUUAGUUCAGCGCGCGGAGAAAAACGGCAUCGCGUGCCGCUUAUUUCGUGCGCCCGCUCCCACGUGCUGGACACUCGAGCACCCGCGCCGCACUGACGCCACCCUCUCCUCUCCGGCCGCCCCACCUUCGCACCGCCCCGCGCCGCCGCCGGCGAAAUUCGCCCGAUGGACGGCCGCGCCGACAUCCCCCGAACCCCUCCCUACACCCACGACCCCUCCGCCGCCGCCGGCACAAACCUUAGCGCGGGGCUAAGCUUCGGCUUCGCCUCCGUCGGCCCUCCUCCAAGCACCAGUCUCGUGCGCGGCCUUUUCAUGGCGCCACGGGCUCGGCGGGUGGCGGCGCGCCGACGCCCGCAGUGAAGCCACGUGGCCCCCUCUCGAAGCGACCAAAUGUGGCGGCGAAGGCGGGCAAGGUGUCCGGGAAGAAGAACAAAGCGACGGACGGCUCUUCUUGGCGGCCGAAGAAGAAACUUGCAGGGCGUGUGACAGAUGCAGCGUCGAUCGAAGCGCCGGCGAGCUCGCUUGUUGCGCCGGCAGCCGAUGCGCACAAGGUGUUUGAUGAAAUUCCCACAAGGUAUGAUUUUUCGUCGUUGUUUUUUACAUGAAUGGAUACAUAUGGAUAGCUUAGUUUUCUUGUACAUACUUUGUAGUUUCAAUGAUGAGACAUAUAUGUCAACUAUGGACGGCAUGGGAGGCAUGGGUGCCUUCGGAGCUACCAUGGGAGGCAUGGGUGCCUUCAGAGCUACCAUGGGAGGCAUGGGAGGCAUGAGUUUUGGGUCUCUCAUGGGAGGCAUGGGAGCACCUCCGGGUGACAUGGGUGGACGCAUGUCUUCCGGUGUGCCUCACAUACCUUCGCAUGAUGACCUUGGAGAUCUUGCGAACACCUUCCGAGCUCCCCAUGAUGAUGCGACAUGCGACAAUGAAGAGGAGGAGGAAAAAUCGUCUUCGGAUGAGGAUGAAGAAUCGGAGGUAGAGGAGGACGAUGUUGAUAUGGCAUGAUUGUUGAUGUGUCGUUUGUUUGUGUGAACUUUUAUGUGUCAUGAACUUGGUUGGGUGAUUUUGAACUUGGCUGGAUGAUGAUGUGGCAUGAUUGUUGAUGUGUCGUGCAAUUGAACUAUACUAUGUCUUUAUUUUGCACAUUUGUUUAAUGUUUGAAACAUCAUCAUAUUAUCAAAAUGGACAUGUAAAAAUCUUAUUUGCAAGCGCCGGCUGCUCGCGCGCGCUGUAAGUUAGCGCGCCUGCUGGAGCUGCUCGCGCGCGCCAUAUUUUGCAGCGGCCGCUGCAGCCAGCGCUCUGCCGUGCGCAAAAAUUCGCUAUUUCUGUGCUGUAAAAAGGUUUUAGCGCGCCGCACGGUUGCGCGCCUGUUGGAGAUGCUCUAACUUUAGUGCACGCGGGCUGCGGGGCUGCAAAUUUGGGGCGCGGGCUGCUGCAUGUGGGGCCGCCUGGUUGGGCGCCGUUUUUUUGUGCGUCUGAUAAACUUCUCGCGCGCAAAAACACUAUUUCAGCAAUGUAAAACUGUUUUAACGCGUCGCGCGGGUUGGAGAUGCUCUAAGGCGUGGUUCUGGGAUGACGCCGCCAUCGCGGAAGCAGUGUCGAUCCCCUCUCCUCCCAUCUCAAGCGCUCGAUUCCCCUCGCGCAUUAGGGUUCCUCCAAAGGGAGGUUGCGGCGCUCGAUUCCUCCUCCCCUGCUCAUGACUUCCUCACCGGUCACUGCUCCUUUACCAACCGCCGUUGUAGAUGAUAUUUUCGUCCUUCCGAAUUGCAGCAUCUCCACCUUCCAUCCUCUCGGCCGUCACUACAGGGUGCCACCUUGUUCCCACAGUUGCUGACGACGGGAAGGAGGAGGAGAGGUAGUGGUCUAGGCGGGGAGGCUGAUGGCAAAGUGAAUCACGAAGAUGUGACCUGCGACCAUGAUUUGUCUCCCAUGUUUGGUACAGGGAACAUCCUGUGACCACGCCGCUGUCCCCCGUGCUCUACCUAUGUCAGCUUCCCACGACCGCGCCUCUACUCCCUGCAUAACAAGUACACUGCGCCUGGCAGGCUCAUGUCCGACGCCCUGCCAUGGGAAUGACCGGGGGAGCGAGCUUCACCUGCGGCAGCGGCCACAACGGCAAAGCCUUCACUUGGUACGUCUGCUGCCCUUCUGCCUCGGACAGCCAUGCCGGUGAGCUCCUCCAAACCUCGCGCCUCCCAUGCUCGUAUCUACCCCCUCUCUAUACCGCGCGUCGGCCACUGACGCUAGGUGCACAUGGGCAAAAACGACAAAACUGACCUAUGGACGAAAACAAUCCACAAUCUGAACUAGUUCAAAAAAAUUCACUCAGCUGACCCUUUUGUGUGGCGCCCAACACGCAGGCGCCACACCCUACGGUGCAGCGCCUAGCCCUCAGGCGCUGCACUUCAGGCCAGCGUGGCACCCCCUGGCCACGCACCCAGCAGUGCAGCACCUCCGAGCUGGGCGCUACACUUGACACGUGCAGCGCCUGACAGCUAGGCGCCACACUUGUUAUGUGCAGCGCCUGACAGCUAGGCGCCACGCUUGUUAUGUGCAGCGCCUAGCUCUUAGGCGCUGCACAUCAUGUUACUAGUUGGCAUGCUGCCCCCUCCCCACUCCCCACACACACACCCAACCCCAACCCCACCCCCACCCGUGUUGUGCCCUCUCUCCCCCUCUCAAAUCCUUCUCCAAAUCUUCCAAAUUUGAAUAUUUUAUCCGUGGAUUUCGAACCCAAUCCCUCCCUCAAGGUAAUCUCCUCCGAUCCCUUGUUUUCAUCCCAAAAAAUGCUCACAUUUGCUCAUUUUUUGCUAGUUUGGGGAAACCCUAGGUUUCUAUGGAUCUUGAAAUUUGUAUGGAGAUAUGGCUUCUUAGUAUGUUAGGGUUCGGGUUAUGGGUGUUGUUAUGUUGGUGCCGGGGUUGGGCUUGUUAGUAUGUUAGGGUUAGGGUUAUGGGUGUUUUUAUGUUAUGGAUAUGGGCCUUUUUGCUAGGCGUCACACAUAUGUCAACAUGCAGAAACUGACAAGCUCCUGUGCAGUUUCAUUAUGACAAUCUCAUGAACUAAUAUGAUAAAACUUAAGCAAUUAGGAUCAACUAAAACAUCCGUUCAACUUAAAGAAAGUCAAGAAGUUCAACACUACUACAAGUUCAACGAUAUAACAAGUUCAACAAAGCCUAGAAGUUCAACAACACAAUAAGUUCGACAUAAGAAAACGACGACUAAUCGAGUUACAUAAGAAAAAGGAGGACGAUGACUAGUUCCUUUCCUCAGUUGCAUAUGAGUGGGCACCGCAUAUAUAAUGAAGUACAAACAAACAGCUCCGUACAUGUCUAUAUAAGUAAGCCAGUGCCGCCGAACCCCAACUCCAUUUGCUAUCGAAGACGGUCAAUGCCUUCAUCCAUAUCCAUGGAGCAUUCUUGCAUGUGCCGUCAGCAAAUAGAGUCUUGGAGAUAAUGUACCACAUGUACACACGAGCAUAUGUCUGGGCCUCUUCAUUGAUAGCAUCCUCGGGGCAAUACCCAAAGUGGAAUGCAAUCCAGGUGAAAGGAGCACCGACUGUGACUCUUUCCUUCUUCUUGUCUCCUUCUGGUACUGGAGGCUCUGGAGGAGACAUACCAAUAAGGGCCUCCAUCUGCUGGCGCCACCCAUCAGAAUCGGUGCUCAUACACAGAGGAUUCCCCUCGAUAGGGAGACCGGCGAUCAUAGUGAGCAUCACCGUCAUCUCCUCGGUACGAAGAUGGAAAUUGUGUGUCUUCGUCCUCCACCGAUCAACAAGCGUGGUGAUUUCUACAGCACUGAGGCUCUACAUCGACCAGCUGACCAGCUGAAUGAUCGGAAGGAGUCAUGUCUCCCUUAUGUACAGUGUGUACCGCUCAUCAUAGCGCAUCCCACCAAGGAUGACCCCGUGAGACCGAAUCUUUAGAGGAUGAAGCUCCUACAAACAAGCAAAUCAUAAUAUUACAUAUGGGGCACGUGUGUUUGAAAUAAACACAAAAUUCAUAAUACCGGCCACUUUGAUUAUUACCCGCUGCUCCACCAACAUAAAGUAGGCCCGGCGUAGAGUGUCAUAAUGAUCAUCGAGAAGCCAAACCAUCCUAAAAAUUUCAAACAAUAAACAUACGUUAGCUAACUACCAUACAUCCUAAUCAAAACAUGCCAACAAUAAUCACAAAAAACAUGCCAACAAUCGGUACAAACUAAAAGGAAAUUGAAUAAUAAUAAUGUAAUAUCUACAAUCAAAGCAUGCCAACAAUCAUCACAAAAAAAUAUGUUUUGAAACAAUAUAGGGUUCUAUAAUGGUUUCAUCUAAAAAACAUCUCAACAUGUAGGGUUCCGCAAACAAAUUUAGGAUAUCAUCUAAAUCAUCUAUAAAAACAUCAACACAAACAUCUAGACAUGUAUAAGGUACAUCUCAACAAUCUAGGUUUUCAACAUGGAAGCAUGUAUUUUCAAUACAAAUCAACUAAAUUAGGGUUACAAAAUGAUUACAAAUCAUCUACAAAUCCUAAAUCCCACCAAUAUAUUUCAAAAUAUAUGUGCAAGAUUCUAAUCCAAUCAAACAAAGGUUCCACAAAUCUUCAAAAUAUGUAAGAUUUUCUGGAUAGAAAGAAGGGGAUCGGAGGAGAGUACCUUCUAGGAUGAAUUGCUGAAGAAAUCCACCGACCAAAUCAUCAUAUCUGAAGAAUUUGGGAGAGGGGAUUGAGAGGGGGAGAGGAGAAAGCCGCCGCUGCGCUCUAUUCUAGAACUGCAAGGGAAUGGGGUGGGUGGGGGAAGGGCCAGCGCGCGGCGGCUACUAAUUCAUAGUGCAGCGCCUAAGAGCUAGGCGAUGCACAUAACGUGUGUGGCGCUGAUGUCUACUACGCAACCUUCUUCUUGUAGACGUUGUUGGGCCUCCAAGUGCAGAGGUUUGUAGGACAGUAGCAAAUUUCCCUCAAGUGGAUGACCUAAGGUUUAUCAAUCCGUGGGAGGCGUAGGUUGAAGAUGGUCUCUCUCAAGCAACCCUGCAACCAAAUAAAAAAGAGUCUCUUGUGUCCCCAACACACCCAAUACAAUGGUAAAUUGUAUAGGUGCACUAGUUCGGCGAAGAGAUGGUGAUACAAGUGCAAUAUGGAUGGUAGAUAUAGGUUUUUGUAAUCUGAAAAUAUAAAAACAGCAAGGUAGCAAGCGAUAAAAGUGAGCGUAAAUGGUAUUGCAAUGCUAGGAAACAAGGCCUAGGGUUCAUACUUUCACUAGUGCAAGUUCUCUCAACAAUAAUAACAUAAUUGGAUCAUAUAACUAUCCCUCAACAUGCAACAAAGGGUCACUCCAAAGUAACUAAUAGCGGAGAACAAACGAAGAGAUUAUGGUAGGGUACAAAACCACCUCAAAGUUAUUCUUUCCGAUCAAUCUGUUGGGCUAUUCCUAUAAGUGUCACAAACAGCCCUAGAGUUCGUACUAGAAUAACACCUUAAGACACAAAUCAACCAAAACCCUAAUGUCACCUAGAUACUCCAAUGUGACCUCAAGUAUCCGUGGGUAUGAUUAUACGAUAUGCAUCACACAAUCUCACAUUCAUCUAUUCAACCAACACAAAGAACUUCAAAGAGUGCCCCAAAGUUUCUACCGGAGAAUCAAGACGAAAACGUGUGCCAACCCCUAUGCAUAGGUUCAUGGGCGGAACCCACAAGUUGAUCACCAAAACAUACAUCGAGUGGAUCAUGUGAUAUCCCAUUGUCACCACAGAUAAGCAUGGCAAGACAUACAUCAAGUGUUCUCAAAUCCUUAAAGACUCAAUCUGAUAAGAUAACUUCAAAGGGAAAACUCAAUCCAUUACAAGAGAGUAGAGGAGGAGAAACAUCAUAAGAUCCAACUACAAUAGCAAAGCUCGCGAUACAUCAAGAUCGUACCACCUCAAGAACACGAGAGAGAGAGAGAGAGAGAGAGAGAGAGAGAGAGAGAUCAAACACAUAGCUACUGGUACAUACCCUCAGCCCCGAGGGUGAACUACUCCCUCCUCGUCAUGGAGAGCGCCGGGAUGAUGAAGAUGGCCACCGAUGAGGGAUCCCCCCUCCGGCAGGGUGCCGGAACAGGGUCCUGAUUGGUUUUCGGUGGCUACAGAGGCUUGCGGCGGCGGAACUCCUGAUCUAUUCUGUUCUCCGAAGGUUUUAGGGUAUACGGAUAUAUAUAGGCGAAAGAAAUACGUCAGGGGAGCCACGAGGGGCCCACGAGGGUGGAGGUCGCGCCCAGGGGGGUGGGCGCGCCCCCUGCCUCGUGCCUCCCUCGUUGCUUUCCUGACGUGCACUCCAAGUCUCCCGGGUUGCUUUCUUUCCAAAAAUAACUUCUCCAGAAGGUUUCAUUCCGUUUCGACUCCGUUUGAUAUUCCUUUUCUUCGAAACACUGAAACAAGGGAAAAAACAGGAACUGGCACUGGGCUCUGGGUCAAUAGGUUAGUCCCAAAAGUAAUAUAAAAGUGUUUAAUAAAGCCCAUAAACAUCCAAGAUGGAUAAUAUAAUAGCAUGCAUACUUCAUAAAUUAUAGAUACGUUGGAGACGUAUCAGGCGCCUAGCUCUCAAGCGCUGCACGUGACAGGUGGGGCACCUAGUUCGGAGGCGUUGCACUGCUGGGUGAGGGGCCCAGGGGUGCCACGCUCGCCAGAAGUGCAGUGCCUGAGGACUAGGCGCUGCACAGUAGGGUGUGAUGCCUGCAUGUCGGGCGCUACACAAAAGGGUUAGCUGAGUGAAUUUUUUUCGAACCAGUUCAGAUUGUGAAUUGUUUUCGUCAUAGGUCAAUUUUUCCAUGCACAUGUAUGUAUGUGUUGUUCAUAUCUCCCUGCCUCCAUCCCCAUGCAUCACGUGUGCACCUGGGCUCUAUCUACCUCGCAACUUCAUGCAUAUUCUGAUCGCAUGCAUAUGGGUGAGUUUGCAAUCGUGAUGGAGGAUGUAACUCAUGAACUAAUAUGACACAUAUUUCAUAUGGGUGAGUUUGCAAUCGUCAUGAAGAAUAUUUGCUUGGUGAAAAUGUGCCUUCGAGUGUAGUGAAUUUUUCCCAUAUGUAUUCUUGUUGUAUGGCACAAUAAACUUUUAUUGUAACUUCUACCGAUCCUUGACAAUUGCAAAAUAUAUCCUCUCGAAGAACCUUGAUAUAUUUCACAUUAGCACAAAGCUAUUGUUGGAAGCACAGUAGACCUUAAUCCAAUAAAUGACAUCCCUUAUUUGGUUAUUGUUGUUGGACAUUUUUUUCUUAUUUAGUUAGCAUGCUCACGCUUACAGUUAGGCGGCAUCAAAGAUUUUUUAGUUCAUAUUAUAAGCUAUCACAUUGUGUCAUGUUAUGACUACUAAUCCAUGUGGUGAAUGGAGGCAUAUUUUUACUAUUCAGGUAUUAUGCUCUGUCAUACGCAUACCUCACUCUGUUUAUGAAAUUUUACCAUGCUUCUAUAAUUGUUGCAGAUUAUGUAGUUUACAAUCGUAACUUCAUUUCAUUACUGAUUUGCCAAAGUUCUCAUCAUUAUCAGGAUAUCCAUUUUUGUUUACUUCAUUUAGCACACAGAGUGCAUAUUGCUCUCCAAGUUCAGUACUCUGAAUGGAACAAUAUGUGGUUCCGGGCCUGCACAUGUCAAUUUCCUAAUAGAGGUAUGUUUUGUUUUUCAUCAUUUAUGUUUCGCAACUUAGUUUUGGUAUGCUCUCUCAACCUGAGAAUAGUUUUCUUAUGGAGAUGGUACUUGAGAAUAGAUUCGUACAAUGAAGCCUUGGGUUGUAGGCCGAGCUCUUCUGGUGGCGCAACUACAUACUGCCCAUCGGCUCCGGCGGUGGCAGGUCAUGUUUGGCAUCUCCAGGACCUUUGUUAGCCUAUCCUAGAGGGCAGUUUGUGGUAGAUGCGGCGAGGGUGCAUGCGCCGGAGCAGAUGACUAAUUUGAUUUUAAGUUCAAUGUCAAUAAAAAGAGGUAUGAGAAUAACUUAUUGUACAACUUUGGUCAUUAGGAAAAGCUAAUUUACGGUUGGUUGCAUAUUGUUCUUAUGAUGAUGUGUUCUAUAUCAUUUGUAUUAAAUGGACCUCCCUUCCCAUUCAGGUUGUUUUCUUCAGCUACCUAGAGGAGCUCACUGAUAUUGUGGCAAUAAUCUAACCAUCAGUCCCGUUGAUUGAGUAUAGGUGUGUGCCUCGACCUCCACAUUAAAUGAAAAACCUUCCUAUUGUAUGUAGUUGAUCUACAUGUGUUUAUAAUCCAUAAGGGGAUAAGAAAGAUCAAUAAGAUAUUCUAUUGGUGAAUUCUUUAACUCUUGUCUUUUCCCCCCUUUUAGUUGGAGCAGCUACAAAAUGGACUUGAAAGGUUUAUGUAGAUUUAUCAGCCAACAAGCAUGGAUAAAGUACAACCAAGAAACACUGUAAUGCAUCCGCAGGCAGUUCCGUCCUUUAUGAUAUGUGACGAUUGAAAUCUUGCUUUUAUUUCCGGACUAAAUAUUUUCUUCUGGCCGUGGGUCUAUGAUACGUCUCCAACGUAUCUAUAAUUUUUGAUUGUUCCAUGCUGUUUUAUUAUCAACCUUGGAUAUUUUAUAAUCAUUUUAUAGUCAUUUUAUAUCAUUUUUUGGUACUAACCUAUCGACAUAGUGCCAAGUGCUAGUUGCAGUUUUCUGCAUGUUUUUUACAUCGCAGGAAAUCAAUAUCAGACGGAGUCCAAAUGCCACGAAACUUUACGAUGAUUUUUUAUGGACCAGAAGGAAGAAGUUGGGCCCUGGUAGCUCCUGGAGGGAGUCCCGAGGAGGGGACAACCCAUCAGGGUGCGCCAGGAGGCCCAGGCGCGCCCUGGUGGGUUGUGCCCACCUCGGGUGCCCCCUGGACCGCCUCUUUGCUCUAUAAAUACCCCAAAAAUCCAGAAACCCUAGGGGAGUCGACGAAAUAUUCAUCCAGCCGCCGCAGAGUCCAGAACCACCAGAUCCAAUCUAGACACCAUCACGGAGGGGUUCACCACUUCCAUUGGUGCCUCUCCGAUGAUGCGUGAGUAGUUCUUUCUAGACCUUUGGGUUCGUAGUUAGUAACUAGAUGGCUUUCUCUUUCGCGCGAAUUCUCAAUACAAUGGUCUCUUGGAGAUCCAUAUGAUGUAACUCUUUUUGUGGUGUGUUUGUUGGGAUCUGAUGAACUUUGAGUUUAUGAUCAGUUAUAUCUUUUUAUAUCCAUGAAAGUAUUUGAGUUUCUUUGAUCUCUUUUAUGCAUGAUUUCUUAUAGCCUCGUAUUUCUUCUCCGAUAUUUGGGUUUUGUUUGGCCAACUUGAUCUAUUCUUUAUCUUGCAAUGGGGAGAGGUGCCCGGUAGUGGGUUCGAUCUUACGGUGCUUGAUCCCAGUGACAGAAAGGGAACCGACACGUAUGUAUCGUUGCUACUAAGGAUAAAAAUAUGGGAUCUAUAUCUAACGCAAUAGAUAAACGGAUCUUGUCUACAUCAUGUCAUCGUUCUUAUUGCAUUACUCCGUUUUUCCAUGAACUUAAUACACUAGAUGCAUGUUGUAUAGCGGUCGAUGUGUGGAGUAAUAGUAGUAGAUGCAGGCAGGAGUCGGUCUACUAAUCUUGGACGUGAUGCCUAUGUAAUGAUCAUUGCCUGAAUAUCGUCAUAAUUAUUUGAGGUUCUAUCAAUUGCCCAAGAGUAAUUUGUUCACCCACUGUUUGCUAUCUUUCUCGAGAGAAGCCACUAGUGAAACCUACAGCCCUCGGGACUUCUUUCUCAUAUAUUUGCCUUGCGAUCUACUUUUUCUUGUGUUUAUUUUCAGAUCUAUUAAACCAAAAAAUACAAAAAUACCUUGCUGCAAUUUAUUCUUAUUUAUUUUGUUUGGCGUGCGAUCUAUCAAAUUACUACAAAUUCCUCACGUCCGUUUUGCCUAUCUUGAGGCGCCGUACCCCGGAAGGGGUUGACAACCCCUUUAACACGUCGGGUCGCGAGAAGUUGUUCUUUGUGUGCAGGUGAUGUUUAUGUUGUGUUGCUUGGUUCUCCUACUGGUUCGAUAACCUUGGUUUCAUAUCUGAGGGAAAUACCUACCGCCGUUGUGCUGCAUCAUCCCUUCCUCUUUGGGGGAAACCGACGUAGCUUCAAGCGACAUCAGUGUGCAUAUCACAGAGAGAAGCUUCUGGUGUAAGCAACCCGAUCUUCCUCCACAAGCUACAAGAGAAGCUUACAACGCAAGGUUCCCUAGUCAUCCUCAGUACGAUAUGUGGAUGACUUCCCGUCCAAGAUAACCAGCCUUCUUCAGUAAGCUACUGCAGAAACCUUCCGGCAUGAGUCACCAAAUCUUCCUCGGUAAGAAACUAGGAGGAGAAGCUUCUAAAAUAAGAUACCCAGUCUUCUUCCGCAAGCUGCCCUAAUGAAAGCUUCGAGCAUAAGCUAUUCAGUUUUCUUCACCAAGAUACUCUUGAUAGCUUACAACACAAGCUAUCCAAUCUUCCUCAGUACAGAACUACAAACAGUUUAGCAACAAUGGUACAAGAUAUUACACAAUGAAUUGGCAGCGAAUCUCAAGAAUCAAGCAAACAACAGAUUGGUCAAAAACACGAGCUAGUCGAGACACAAGUCUGUCUCCUGAAUCAAAUGUUCAGCUACACAUACUUCCAUAUACAUUGUGAGCAUGCUGCUGAUACGCCUCCAUCGUAUCUACUUUUCCAAACAUUUUUGCUCUUCUUUUGGACUCUAAUUUGCAUGAUUUGAAUGAAACCAACCCUAACUGGCGUUGUUUUCAGCAGAACUACCAUGGUGUUAUUUUUGUGCGGAAAUAAAAGUUCUCGGAAUUGGACGAAACUUUUUGGAGAUUUUUUAUGGAAAAUAUAAAAAUAUUGGAACCAAGAUAUACUAGAGGGGGGCCACCUGCUGCCCAUGAGGCACCAGGGUGCGACCCCCCAGGGCACGCCUGGUGGCUUGUGGGGCCCAGCUCCGCUGACCCUAACCUCAGCACUAUAAAUUCAUUCCCCGAGAAAAAUAAGAGAAAAAGUUUCAUCGCGUUUCACGAUACGGAGCCGGAUACCCCAAGGUGACAAUAAUUGGGAUUAUUUCCGGUGAUUACCGUAAUUUGAGGAGUUCAUGUAUUCACUAAGUGCUAAUGCUUAGUUCCGGUUCUCUAUUGAAAGGAGGCCUUAAUAUCCCUUAGUUUCCAAUAGCACCCCGUUGCCACGGGAGGGUAGGACAAAAGACGUCAUGCAAGUUCUUUUCCAUAAGCACGUAUGACUAUAUACGGAAUACAUGCCUACAUUACAUUGAUGAAUUGGAGCUAGUUCUGUGUCGCCCUAGGUUAUAACUAUUACAUGAUGAAUGUCAUCCAACAUAAUUAUCUAUCACCGAUACCAUGCCUAUGAGCUUUUCACCUAUUGAUUGUUGCUAAGUUACUACUGUUGCUGCUAUUGUUACAAUCACAACAAAACUACUACUGCUGCUAUUACUGUUACUGCUGCUAUUGUUACCACUCCUAUCAAAACUAUCAUACUACUAUGCUACUGAUCACUUGUUGCAGAUAUUUAGUCUCUAGAUGUGGUUGAAUUGACAACUCAACUGCUAAUACUUGCAAAUAUUCUUUGGCUCCCCUUGUGUCGAAUCAAUAAAUUUGGGUUGAAUACUCUACCCUUGAAACCUGUUGCGAUCCCCUAUACUUGUGGGUUAUCAGCUGCCCAGGUCAGGCAAGUCACUCGUACGAGGAUGCAAUUCUGUUCAAGUUGAUCCACCGAAGGAAGUUGAGAAUCCAACAGCCACAUGAGUUAUGCAAGAAGAAGAAAGCCAGUAUACACCUUAGUGUGAUGCAAGGACCGACAAGGUAUGGAGUAAGACAGCAUUGGACAACAAUCUUGGCAGUUGUUAUCAAGGCCAGCUUACUCACUCACGACAAGGCGAUAUCAUUAACCCUUGUCACUAUCUGGUAUGAUUGCCGACAAAAAUGAGCUUUAUGCAUGUACAUGUGAACCUGGUGUAUUUCCUAUGACACGAUUCAUGAACAAGGAUAAGGUAUGAUUGCCGGAAUAUUGCCCCUGAUAGUACCUAUGAUCACACGCAGAAGUAAUAUGGCCAAGUUCUUUCGGCAAAAGCUUCAGAAAAAGAGGACAAUACUGAAGGAGCAAGACCGGCAACACCGGGAUGAUAAUUUUUGCAUAAACAACAUGGUACGGAUGCUCAAGACAGUCUUAUUCCGUAACAAUUACGAGGAACAUACGCCCAAGGGGUCUACUCUGUUUUGGUAAGGACCUCACAUCAAGGUAACCCGCUUGUCCAAAUUUGAAUGCCUAGAAUUGUCAGUCUGGAAUAUCCAAGUCUGUUAACUCAAAGAUUCCUUACCCAGCUCCACAGUUUGACUUCAGCGACCGUGUUAAAAUAUCGCACGGCCUACUACCCCAUGUGAGUAUACCGGCAGAAUGAGUAAUCAGAAUGAUGAAUAACAAGCUCACAUUAUGUGUCCUUACAUAUGGAAACCAGCGAAAAGAUAGCAUGUAAGGAACAAAAUUCUUCUGUCAGAACCCUCGUCUGUCAAGUCGGUGGAUACUAUCGUUAUAAGGUUGUACACCUUUAUGCUAGUCACAACAUUCGACAGUCAAAUCUUUGGUAUGGAUUUGAUACUCAAGACUAUGGAGCUAGCCAAGAUGAUUCAGAAAUCCCUGCGAGAAGUCAGAUUCCGUGAGGAGAACGGUUAUGAUUCCCAACACUAUUUUGAACCUGGAAGACGUGCACCUAUUUGAGAAACAUGAUGCAAGGAUUAAAAGGUUUCGUGUUCACCAAGAAAAUUGUUCACAACUCCAUUGGAUACUAUCAGUGCUGGAUAUAAGAAUGACAUGUCACUUGGAAAUCACUCCCACACUUAUGGAAAGAUGAUGUAUUCGAGUCAUGAUAAUAUAUCAGCCGACUCAGCAGACACAAAAGAAAUUGGAGUCAGUGUAAGGUUGAACAUAGGAGGUAAGACCUGUCAGAAGGAGGAUACGAUGAAGCAAACCACCCUAGAGCAAGGUAAACAGAUCUUAUGAAAUUCAGUGGGAACAUCAUAUAAUGGAAAAGGAUACCCGAGUUGGAAACGGUUUCCUUAAGUCAUAUUCAUACUUGUUCCCUAAGCUACCAAAUCUCAAGGACAAGAUUUUUCAUAAGGGGGUAGAGUUGUAACACCCCGAUUUUUGGCCCUUUCUUUUUCUUAUGCAUUUCCUUGAAUUUUGCUUUGGAUUCCUUUUGUGUGGCUCUGUGGUCUGGAAACCCGGGAAGAAUAUCUCUUCUUCAUUCCCCAAGUGGCUUGUCCUCCUCAAAUCCAUCCUAGAUCAUGUCAUUUCCAUCUUAGCCCAAACCCAAAUUCUUUUUCUUGGGGAUAUUCCUUUUUCUAUUAUGAAUAAUCCUUUUGCCCUAGGUUGUGAAGCAACCUACCUUUCUAUUAUUCCCAAAAUUCCCACAAAAUUCUCAAAAUUCCUUUGGACGAUAUGAACCUUGGAUAUGCAAAAAUAUUCAAGAUUCCAUGCUCAUGGUGAGCACACCAUCCAAUCUUUGAUUCUGGUCAUAUUUUUAGAUUGUGAAGCAACUAUAUUUUAUAUUUCUCAAUAAUUUCUAAAAACUUACCAGGACAUUCUCCUACCUUUAUAAUAUUCGUCAACAAAAUUUGAGCUCAUUUCAUUCAUCCAAUAAUUCUCAAGAAUUUUCCCAACAUUCUGUCCAGCAGGCAUCACUGUGAAGCAAGUACCAUUUUUAUUUAUCCAAAUGGUAUGAAAUUUUUACAGUGCCUUCAUAUGCCCAAAUAAUAACUCUCCACCAAAUUUCAGCCCAAUCCCACACUCCAUUUGAGUGUAGCAUCUAGACCUAGUUUCUGGACCAGAUUUGUAGUCGUGAAGUAACACCAUUCAAACUUGGUCCAAAUCAUCUCAAAUUUCACAGGAUUGUAGUCCUUCCUACCUUAAGCCUGUGUGACACCUUUUUACUCCAUUUAACCAUCCCAUUUUACUUCAGCUACUGGCCCAAGUUUGCUAUAGCAAACUUUAGUUGACCCAUCCCAUCACCCCAUGGUGUCUUUAGUCGAACCAUCACUUUAGAGAGACCCCAUUUUGGAAGGACCACAUGCUGGACAUGACCGACCAUGCUGAGUCACCAUACAUGCGUCAACGCAUGCGGUGACUAGGUGGUCUGGCAUGCCAAAAGUGUGCUCUACUCAUUUGGCCACGCCCCAAGUGUCGUUUAGCUUCGGCCCCUCCUCUGCUCGUCGAUCCCGCGCACCCCACCAUGUCCCAGAGCUCCGUGGCAGCCAUGUGCUCUCUCUGUAGCCUGCCCCCCUUCUCUUUCCUCCCCGACGCGCCACGGUGACCCUACUCGCGGCACUGUUCGGCCAUGGUAUCCGACCGAACUUUGCCCCUCCAGGGUCUGCCCUCCUAUGAUGCUCCACUAGCCCCCUCUCGUCGCCAUCAACCCCUCCUCGCGAGUCCAGGCAUCCACGGUGGUCCCUGGCCACGGCGCUGUCGCCCCAGCUAUAUAAGUUGUACCAAAGCCCCUCGAGCUCGCCAUCAUCUCCCUCUCAUUCCCAUAGCCCUCCCCGACCUCUUUAGCGAGCUCGAGGAGCUCUCAUUCCCUCCAAUGGCCGUCGUGUCCGCCGUCAGCCCCUUCCUAAAUUGGAGCCAUGGCGAGAUCCUCCCCUCCUUUUUUCCCUCCAGAGAGCUCCCUCGGUCAUGACGGAGCCCUGCUCCUCUUCCUCCUCGCCUAUUGCGGCCGUAGCACCAAGCCCAACACCGGCUGAUGCCAUCGUCCGUCACGGACGAGGCUCUUCUCAUUCCCGAGCUUGCCAGUAAUCACGAAGCGUCCAGGCAGAUGCGCCUCCUCGCGCUGGUCGCUCCGGUGGUCCGAGCUCCGCCGAAGGUGGCCGAAGCUGCUGGGACGAGCGCCGGCGCGCGUUGCCCACCUCUAUCCCACAAGCAACGACUGGAGGAAGAAGAUGAGCACCCCCUACCUGUGAGACCCGUGGUCCCACUCGCUAGCCUCUGCGUGUUGACCAGGCUGGCCCGCUGACGUGGAUAAGUGGAGACGCAUUCUACUUGUCUAUGUCUUCGUUUCCUAAAGACGUAUUUCUCUGCAGCUUCGGCGCAGAAUGCGCUUUCACUUUACUGAAGGCGUAUUUUAUGAAAGUGCCUUUUAGUUCCACCUCAUUGGCGGAAACCUCUAAUUUGCGGGCGUUCGUCCGUUAGCAGCAGAAAAGCUCACUAUUUAUUUGUUUUUCUGCCUAAAAACGAACGACCGUAUCUCCGCAACCGUAACUCCGAAUCAAGUGAUUAAAAAGCCGCAUUCUCUAUUUGUCGAGCCCGUUCUAUUGAUAUCAUUUUCACUAUGUUGUCGCAUACUAAAAAUGACCAUUUUUUCCUUGCCCUCUAAUCAGCUCCACUAGGAGAGAAACUUUUUCGGCGAAUAUUUCUGCAAGUUCACCGCACUGCUUCCCGAUGAUUCCUUCAUCCUGAGGCAAGCCAUGACAGCCACUUGCAUGAUGGCCUUUCAAUAGCCAUGGUUUCCACUUGAAAUUUUUGAAUAAUUGUGUGCUCAUUUACUUAUUAUGAAAAUGCUAUGUAUAUGCUUGUGGAUCCAUGCUAUUCCUUAUGCCAUGUUCAUUUGCAUCUAGUCAGUUAUAUGAUGAUGUGAUACUGUUAUUAUCAUAUUUAAUUCUUAUAAUUAAUUCUGAUGCUAGUGAUCAUGGUAUGCUUAUAUGAAUGGUUACUGUUUAACAUGAAAAUACUUGUAAGAUUCAUGAUCAUAUCUAUACCCUGCUCAUUUGCAUCCAGUAAAGUAAAUGAUUUGUUGUUGUUGGUGUUAUGAUUCAUAUGUCAAAUUAUUAUUAUGCCCAUCCAUGCAAAUGUUGAUUUCAUGCUCAUAUGCAUUGUCAUGUUAUUAUAUUUUGUUAUGACUCAGCUCAUCACCACUCAAGUUAAACCUGAUAUUAAUCAAACUUGAACACCUGUUGGCUGAGUCAUGGUGCCACCGAAUCGAGCUCACUAGUGCAACCACACUUGCCUGGAUGGGGAGGCCCUAAUCCGGUCUAUUGUCAUGCCUCUCGCCGGUGCCUCCAACUAGGGAAGGUUAUGUGCACGCGCUACCCUUGCCCGGUAGGCGGCAAUAACCUUGUGAGCCUGCUACUUGUGAACCGCGUCAGUGAAUUCCCCGAAGAGGAGGGGAUGAUGCAGCAUAGCGAAGGUAAGUAUUUCCCUCAGUUAUGAAACCAAGGUUAUCAAUCCAGUAGGAGAACCAAGCAAGUUAUGUAGACGACACCUGCACACAAACAACAAAUACUCGCAACCCGAUGCGUAGAGGGGUUGUCAAUCCCUCUUGGGUAAAGUGAUAUGAUAAAUAGAUAGAUUGAUAGAUGCAAAUAGAAUAGAAGGAAGUAAAACUCAGCGAGAUAUUUUUGGGAUUUUUAUAAUAUAGAUCUGAAAUAAAAGAAGCAAAUAAAUUGGAAAAGCAAGUAGCAAUAUAGAUAUGAAAGUAUAUGAUGACAAACAGACCCAGGGGCCGUAGAUUUCACUAGUGGCUUCUCUCGAGAAAUAGCACACGGUGGGUAGACAAAUUACUGUUGGGCAAUUGAUAGAAAAGUGAAUAAUUAUGACGAUAUCCAAGACAAUGAUCAUGUAUAUAGGCAUCACGUCCAAGAUUACUAGACCGAAACGAUUCUGCAUCUACUACUAUUACUCCGCACAUCGACUGCUAUCCAGCAUGCAUCUAGUGUAUUAAAUUCAUGGAGAAACGGAGUAAUCUUUAAGAACAAUGACAUGAUGUAGAUAAUAUCUAGUCAUUUAGGAAUAGACCUCAUCGUUUUAUCCUUAAUAGCAACAUACAUGCGUGUCAUGUCUCCUUCUGUCACUAAGAUUGAGCACCGCAAGAUCAAACCCAUUACAAAGCACCUCUUCCCAUUGCAAGAUAAAUCAAUCAAGUUGGCCAAACAAAACCGAAAUAUCAAAGAAGAAAUAUGAGGCGAUGAUAAUCAAGUAUGGAUAUGAAUGCAAAUAGAUCUGAUCAUAAACUCACAAUUCAGCGGAUCCCAACAAACACACCGCAAAAGAGUUACAUCAAAUAGAUCUCCGAAGAGAACAUUGUAUUGAAGAUCAAAAAGAGAGAGAAAGCCAUAUAGCUACUGCCUACGGACCCGUAGGUCUGAGGUGAACUACUCACGCAUCAUCGGAGGAGCACCAAUGAGGAUGUUGAACUCCUCCGUGAUCAUGUUCCCCUCCGGCGGAGUGCCGAAAAAGGGCUCUAGAUUGGAUCUCAUGGCUCUGGAACUUGCAGCGGCUGAAACAAUUUUUCGUCGACUCCUCUAGGGUUUCAGGAAUAUUGUGGUAUUUAUAGAGUCAGAGGUCGAUGGAACGGAGUUCCAUGGGCUCCACUACCCACCAGGGAGCGCCAGGGGCCUGGGGCGCACCCUGGUGUCUAGUGGGCCCCAUGGGCCUCCCCUCGUGCGGUCCCUUGACUCCCUGGAUGUCUUCUAGUCCAAAAAAUCUCCCAAAAGUUUUGUUGCAUUUGGAGUCCGUUUGAUAUUGAUUUUCUUUGAACAAGCAAAAAAACAGCAACUACCACUGGGCACUAUGUCAAUAGGUUAGUCCCAAAAAUUGAUAUAAAGUGGCUAUAAAUGAUUAUAAAACAUCCAAGAAUGAUAAUAUAAUGGCAUGGGACAAUCAAAAAUUAUAGAUACGUUGGAGACUUAUCAGAGCCCAUGAUUGGUAUUGUGCACAUGUCCCCGUUUGGGACCGUUUUUGUUUUAUAACGACGGUGGCCGACCACGAAGGUGGCAGAUGUCCAGAGUGGGCAUCCAGGGCCGCCCAUGACAUAGCCCAAAAUGGAGUUUGUCGGAGUGGCUGGGAGAGUGUCAUGUAAUAGAUCGUUUUUGUCGGAAUGUCCUUGGUCCACCUGAAUAAGAGCACGAGGCCAUGAAUUUCGUGGUGUGGGUACAGUGUACUAACCUCUGCAGAGUGUAUAAUCUAUCGAUAGUCGUGCCCUCGGUCAUGGGCACAGUUCGUAGUAGGUCGCACUGUGGGUCAACAGUAAUAAUAAUCUGACUAAUAAACAACCCUACUUCGAUGAGGAGAGAAGUUGGUUGAUCUUUAUGUGGUCACGAGAAGAUCACGAUGGUAUUAUUGAUGAUGGUUGAUCAUGAGGUGAUCAUGUGAUGAUCACGACGGUAAGAAAGAUUGGCAUAUAUAUGGUGGUUACGAGAUAACCUCCGAGAAGAGUAAGUUGGUCCAAGAGACCUUAAACAUCGACCCCCUCACAUGCAUUAUCCUCAAGUUCAUAUCAUGAGUAACAUGUUCAUGCCAUGCUCAUCUCAUAUUGUUCUAGCGGUAUCAUGCUCAUCAUUGUUUAACCAAUAUAUGCCAUGUUGUUUUUCUUGAUUGCUUUGGUUGUUGUGAGCUUGCGAGUACAUUCAGAGUACUCACCUGGCAUGUCAUGCCAUGAUUGCUUGCUUGUCGAGGAUCCCGAGUUUCGCACAAGGAUGCGUUCCAGCCAGAGUCCCCGCGGAGUGGAGUUCAUCACCAUUCUCGUUGUUCUGCUGCUACGAGUUGUUCCAUUGCUAGCAUCGAGCUACCUUAGCAGGCGUAGUGUCGCCAUGCCGAUAUAAUCCUUUGUAGUAUCAGAACCUUUGUACCCAUAUCAUUUGUAAUAAAGAGCUGAUUUGUUUUGUGCCAAGUAGUGCCAUAUUCCAAAAGACUUGAUCUCUGGGCUAGAAUAUGGGGUGUUCUGGUUCCUCUGAGCCGGGGUGCCACAUAAUUAGUGUUAUCCCACUCUAGGCCCACGAAUCUAUGGUUGAAGUGACGAAUAUGAGCUGGCCUGGUGAUGACAUCGUCUUCUCCCUGAUUCGUCCGCUUGUCUGCCAGUGAACACGAUCUGCUGCCAUGGCAACACUUUUGCCUUUGGUUGCUAUGGCAGUUGUUUCGUUGCUCGCCUCGAUAUCUUUAGUCGAGACUCUGACAUUCCCUCCUCCUUUACUUGAGGCUUGCCCCAAGCCGGCAGAUGAGGAAAGCGAGACUGAAGAGAAACAACAUCCUCCCAACUAGCGUCCAUCACUGCAGAAUCAGACCAAUGUACGAGUAGUUGCUCUCGGCGCCUAGCGGGUGUUUGGCGCCAUCAGGUUUGAAUAAUCUACACUAGAGCAAGACUAGUCGUCGAGGGUACUGGCAGGGUUGUGGAAGCAGAUCUACCCAAAGAGAGAGCUUGACACAUUUGAGAGACAUGAAAAUGGGUUGGAUCUACGAACCUGGAGGAAGGCUGAGCUCAUAUGCGACUUGGUUGAUAGCACGCAACACCUUGAAAAGCCCAAAGUACUUGAAUGACAGCUUAUGGUUGGCAUUGUUGUUAACUAAACUUUGCACAUACAAUUGCAGUUUAAUGUAUACUUCAUCUCUAGAUUUAAGGAGUGAUGAGUGUGUUUCUUAUCCGACUGUACAUUCAUGAUGUGACGAGCUUGGUGUAGAUGUUGUUUCAACACUUGUUGCAUGGUUUUUCUUUCUUCGAGCCAUUCUUUCAGGACGGGAAUCUUACAAGUAGACACGGCUUCAAUGCCUCAAUGGCACGGUUUGUGGCCAUAUAGGGCAUGGAACGGUGACAUGUCCAGGGCAGAGUGAUAGCUCGAGAUGUACCAAAACUCAGCCAGUGGAAGGAAUUGACUCGAGUGAUUUGUGCGGGCAUGGAUAAAACAACGCAAAUAGAUUUCCAAGCAUUGGUUGACACACUCAGACUGACCGUCCAUUUUCGGGUGCUAAGGCGCGCUCAUGUUGAGCUCAGUCCCGAUGAUCUUGAACAACUCUUGCCAAAAUCUACUUGUAAACAUUGGAUCCCAAUAGGAGAUGGUGGCUUUAGGAAGAUCGUGUAGCUUAUAGACAUUAUCCAGGUAAGUUCAAGCUACUUUAGUUGCAGUAAAGGGAUGAUUCAGAGGUAAGAAGUGAGCAUAUCUCAUGAAUUUGUUAGUGAUGACCAAGAUGUAGUUCGCUCUAUUGGAUUGAGGGAGGCCAUUGAUAAAAUCCAUGGUAGCAACUGCCCCCCCCCCUCAAGUAGUGGAAAUGGCUCCAAAAGACCAAGAUAUUUGACUUGUUCCGAUAGCCUGUUGACAGACAGCACGGGUGCGUACAUACUGUCGGACGGUGUCCUUCAUCUUUGGCCAAGCAAACAGGCAAUGCACACGGUGAUAGGUGACUCGGAAGCCGAAGUGACCUGUGACGCCCCCGAUUCAAUCGUACACUAAUCAUACACGCAAACGUGUACGAUCAAGAUCGGGGACUCAUGGGAAGAUAUCACAACACAACUCUAAAAAUGAAAUAAGUCAUACAAGCAUCAUAAUACAAGCCAGGGGCCUCGAGGGCUCGAAUACAAGUGCUCGAUCAUGGACGAGUCAGCGAAAGCAACACUAUCUGAGUACAGACAUAAGUUAAACAAGUUUGCCUUAAGAAGGCUAGCACAAACUGGGAUACAGAUCGAAAGAGGCGCAGGCCUCCUGCCUGGGAUCCUCCUAAACUACUCCUGGUCAUCGUCAGCAGCCUGCACGUAGUAGUAGGCACCUCCAGUGUAGUAAGAGUCAUCGUCGACGGUGGCGUCUGGCUCCUGGGCUCCAGCAUCUGGUUGCGGCAACCAGGUAGAAUGGAAAGGGGGAAAAGAGGGAGAAAAGCAACCUUGAGUACUCAUCCAAAGUACUCGCAAGCAAGGAUCUACACUACAUAGGCAUGGGUAUCUGUGUAAAGGGCAAUAUCGAUGGACUGAACUGUAGAAUGCUAGAAUAAGAGGGGGAUAGCUAGUCCUCUCGAAGACUACGCUUCUGGCAUCCUCCAUCUUGCAGCAUGUAGAAGAGAGUAAAUGGUAAGUUCACCAAGUAUCAUCGUAUAGCAUAAUCCAACCCGGCGAUCCUCCCCUAGUCACCCUGUGUGAGAGCGAUCACUGGGUUAUAUCUGGCACUUGGAAGGGUGUAUUUUAUUAAGUAUCCAAUUCUAGUUGUCAUAAGGUCAAGGUACAACUCCGGGUCGCCUGUUACCGAGGACACGACUAUUCGAAUAGAUCAACUUCCCUGCAGGGGUGCACCACAUUACCCGACACGCUCGAUCCCUCUGGUCGGGCACACUUUCCAGGGUCAUGUCCGGCCUCGGGAGAUCAACACGUCGCAGCCCCACCUAGGCACAACAGAGAGUUCAACACGCCGGUCUAAAUCCUAUGCACGCAGGGGUCUAGGCCCAUCGCCCAUUGCACACCUGCACGUUGCGUACGUGGCCGGAAGCAGACCUAGCCCCCUUAAUACAAGCGCGAGCUUACGGUCCAAUGCGGCGCGCGCCGCUCAGUCGCUGACGUCAAAAAGAGCUUCGGCUGAUACCAUGACGCCGGUUGCCCAUAUCUUGUCCCACGUGGCGGUUAGUGCGUAUAAGGUCAACAACCCAACUCAGAUCAAAUACCAAGAUCUCGUUAAGCGUGUUAUUAUGAAGUAACCGUGCACGCCGACCAGGGCCAGGCCCACCUCUCUCCUAGGUGGUCUCAACCUGCCCUGUCGCUCCGCCACAAAGUAAUAGUCGGGGGCCGUCGGGAACCCAGGCCCACCUCUACCGGGAUGGAGCCACCUGCCCCUUCAGCCCCCAUCUCAGAACAGUAUCAUAAGUAAUGUAACAGUAUAAAGUAUAUAGCAUAUGCCCGUGAUCACCUCCCGAAGUGAUCACGGCCCAGUAGUAUAGCAUGGCAGACGGACAAGAGUGUAGGGCCACUAAUGGAAUACUAGCAUCCUAUACUAAACAUUAGGAUAGCAGGUAAAGGUAACAACUGUAGCAACAAUGACAGGCUAUGCAGCAGAAUAGGAUUAAACGAAAGAAGUAACAUGCUACACUACUCUAAUGCAAGCAAUAGAGAGAAGGAAUAGGCGAUAUCUGGUGAUCAAGGGGGGGUCUUGCCUGGUUGCUCUGGCAAGGAGGGGUCGUCAACAACGUAGUCGAUCGGGCACCAGCAACGGCGUCAGUCUCGUAGUCUACCGGAGAGAAGAGGGGGAAGAAACAAUAAAUACGGAGCAAACAAAGCAUCACAAAACAUAACGAGGUAAUACGCGGUGCCAGGGGUGAUCUAACGCAGGGAUAGGUGAUAUCGGCGAAGGGGGGAAACAUCCGGGAAAGUAUUCCCGGUGUUUCGCGUUUUCGGACAGAUGAACCGGAGGGGGAAAGUUGUGUGUUCACUAUGCUAGGGAUGUGUGGCGGACGAACGGGCUAAGUAUUUGGGUUCGUCUCGUCGUUCUGAGCAACUUUCAUGUACAAAGUAUUUUCAUCCGACUUAUAGAUUAUUUUAUAUGAUUUUUCAAAGUUUUUAAACAUUUUCUGAAAUUCCUGGAAUUAAAUUAAUUCGAAAAUAAAUUAAUCGCUAAAUGCUAUGGGUACACAGAAGUGUACCCAGAGAUGUGCAUGUGUGGCUGACAAUGGGGCCCAGUUGACUGGGUCAACUGCCCAGUCGGCAGAGGCUGAUUGGUGGGGCCAGGGGGCUGAGUCAGCAGUCAAUAAUUUGACUAUUGACUAGUCAAAUCUGACCAAUAGGUCCCAUUGUCAGUGACUGUUAUACACAAAACAAGUUUAAUUAAUCCGGUUAAAUAGCUAGGGGCCCACUUGUCAUUCCUCGUUAGCUUAAGUAAAUUAGUUAGUUACGUUAAUUAAUUAAGUGGGCCCAGAGGUCAGUGUCACAUGGGUGGAUUAGGGAGGUUACCUUAGGCCUAACCAUCGUGGUUAGCACCGGGACCCACGGGGAGUGGCCCAACCGGCCAGUUUAAACAGUGCACGUGCCGGCGACGAGGCCCGACGCAGCGGCGGUGGUGGGAAUAUGGCCUCCGGCGACCCUUUGGACCGCGGAGUGGCUCGUUCGAACCGGAGGAGCAACGCGCGUGCAACAACGGCCUAGGUUCGAGUAGGGGGAUGGGCUACCACGGCGAUAGCGACGGCGUGCAGGGGCAAGGCAACGGGCGAGCCGACGCGGUGGUGCUCGCGCGGGGACAGAGGGGAGAGGGAGCCGGCGCGGGACGAGGAGACGCGGCGUGAUGGGCGUGCAGCGCGUGCAGGGAGCACGGUGAGAGCGAGGCUCGGACGGGCACGACGGCGAUCUACCAGGGAGGAUGAGGGGAAGGGAAGGGGGCCUCACAGAGCCCUGUAGUUGAGCGACGCGUGCUCGAGGAGGACGAGGAGGCGAUGACGAUGGUGGGCGGCUCCGGCGAAGCAGUGGCAGGACGAGGCGGCGACGGUGUGCGGCAGAGCGGUCCGGCGAGGGGCACUGGCGUGGUGGCGACAGGAAUCGGCGGUGUGGCGCAGCGUGGCUUGGGGAGGCCGUCCAGCGCGAGGUGAGGAGGGGGCGGUCAGCGUCGGGACGAGGGCAGCACCGGGCCCUCCCGAUCCAGAUCCAGCGAGAGAGGGGGGAGGGGAACGAGAGAGAGACGUGGGGAGAGUGGGGAGUGAGCUAGGGUUCGGUUAGAUGGGAGGGGGUUAAGCAGGGCAGUGGGAGAGGCCGGCUGGGCCAGGUGGGCCGGUUGGCCACCUGGGCCAGUUGGACCAAAGGGGUGCUUCUCCCUUUUCCUUUUCUUUUGUCUUUAUUUUUUAUUUAUUAUUCUCUCUUCUUUGUUUUCUAUUAUAGUUCAUUUACGUUUAGUUUUAUAAAAUACCAAGUUAGCACCCAAAUUAGUAUCAUUAAUAUAAGCCACUGCCAAACUUAGUUUGGACCCAAAGUAAAUUAGUUUAAUAUUGCUAUAAUUUAAAAAUCUAUUAUAUUAUUAUUUUAGCCACUGUUCUAACUAGUUUAGGGCAUUUAACACUUUACAAAAAUUUGGUUUCUCCGCCAUAAUUACUAACGAAUUAUUAGUCACAUCCAGAAUAUUUUGGUUUUAAUAUUUGAAAACUUUUAUUGUUUACCUUGAAUUUGAAUUUGGAAUCCGAACGGGGUUGAAUCAUCGCGAGACUAACAACGGUAAUCAUGGUGAUGUGGCAUUGUUAGCAGAGAUUACUGUAGCUUAAAUAUCCGGGUGUCACAAUUCUCCUCCACUACAAGAAAUCUCGUCCCGAGAUUUAAGAGGUAGAGUAGGGGGGAUUUUGGUUACGAAAUUCUAACGGAUCUUCUGGGCCUUGGUUGCUCUUCUCGAAGAGGUCGAUCCAUUACAUUGAUGCUUCAUUUCUCUGUUUCGGGUAAUCAUGAGGAAGUCGGCAUCCUUUCUUUGGGAACUCCUUCGUACUUACGAAUAGGAAAGGGGCAGCUUCAAAAGGACAGACCUCUACAAGGUUGCUUAUCUGGUAGAUAAUAUUAGGGAAGGUGGCAGAAAGUAACUCUCGACUUGAAACUUAAGAAAUUAUCGAGAUCAAAGUAAUAAGGUGCACAUUAGAAGUUUCAAGCGCAUAGGCAAUCGUUCGUUGCCUCAUACGAAACGUGAAAGGGGUUCAGAGCAAUAGGAAUAAGUAUUGCGUCUGAUACCAGAAUAGAUUACUAGGCAGGUGGCCCGUAAAUUACAUACGAAGUCAAGCUCGAGGAAUAACUUUGGCAAUAAGGUCUUAAAGAGAGUCAGGUUUCGAUCUUGUGGAACUGUGGGUUAUGGGCCCACCAUGUGGGUUUAAGAUUAGAAAGGGGGUUGACAUCUUGCGCGGUCACGAUAGCAAGGCAUGUCAGAGGGUAGCCUGCCAGCUAUGUUGGCAACAACGUUGGUACCAAGGGCGAGGGACGAAGAGAACCAUUCUCCUGCUCAUUGAACGAGGCGGACCAAUAGGCAAGGUUCUCGUACAUCGAUGGCUACCGGAAUGUCAUCAACAAUAGUAACAGGGUCUUAUUUACAGAGUAGUACACCGAGGUGUUUACAUAAGCAGUGAAUUAUUACUACUUAGAUCAUAUAGAUCACAAGAAAGAUUAAACAAAAUAAUGGAAAGGAAAAGGUGAUCAUCAGAUUAAACAGAACAAUGGAAAGGAAAAUGUGUUCAAACACAUAUUUCAAGGGUAUAUCCUUCCCAAGGACAAGCUGAGCAUGAUAUCCAUGACAGGAUAUAACGUAGAAAACUCUUUAGGUAGGGGAGAGAAAUUUCAUGACAUUACCCAUACAACGGUGUUUGGAUAAUUGAGCAAGAAUCAUUUAGCAUUGGAAUUCAAAUGUUAUUGUUAAAAAAAUCGAAGUACCACAGACAUGCUUCGAGAUAGCAUUGACAUGGUCUUCAAGCAAAGGUUGGACUUGGAUAUACAAAGGAUUCAUCAGGAACAACUUAUAGAAUAAGUCUUACAAUUUCCUCAUGGAAGAAUGGUUAACCUUGCUAAAAUGGAAACUAUAACAAUAGGGCCUCCGGCCAGGUGUGCUAGUCACGACAUCACCUUACGGGUCACAUAAAGACCAACGUUAUGACUUUUGGAAAAUGUCCCAACCAUCAUAUCUGACCGAGAUACAGUUCGGAUUGAUGUCAGGAUACCUGAGAAGAAAAGGUGCAACAUAAAUUGACGAGACGACAUUGUAAGAUUCUCGGUAAAUGAACUAUGGAAGCAAGUUCCAAAUCAUGAGUUCAUUAUUAAAUCAAGGAGAGAAUGAGGAGGUGGCUGAUGAACUCAGCGACAAUUUAUCGAGAUUUCCAAAAGAAGGAUUUCCACAAUUAUGUGAACAAGGAGAUAGCUUUUGUCUGUUCAAAUGAUAUAAUGAGGUAUGCUCGAGGAAACAUACACGAUUAAACAUUGGUUGACGGUGCACCCGAAAUACGGACUUGGGUAGCACAAACAAAGUUAGAAUGGCGAUUCAAUAACCAAUGGUCUAAGAAUGAAAUGUUGACCAUUAACUUCAAAGCAAUAAGGUUGCUAGAAGUUUUAAAAUUACUAGUCCAUCUGUCGGUAUUCCUGUUAGGAACAACACGGGGACCAAGAAAGGAAUGGUGAUGGUGAAGUAUCACUUAUAUCAAGAAUUCUCAAGAGGUGUAGAAAUUCGCACAACAUCCUUGACAAAAAGGCAGUAAUACUUGAAGGUACAUCAUAAUACGAGCUGGAUAGCAAGUUGUAUCCAUAACAUGAACAUGUUUGUGAUGAAAGGAAGGUAAGGAUGUUGUUGAUGGUAACUCAAAUUACCAAGGAACGAGGAUGGCACUUAUCAUCAAGAAUUCCAUUGAUAUCCCGGAAGGAGUCAAAAUGUUGAUGAUGAUCACGACAAUUUGUUGUCGAGAGGAUCCACGAAAAAGCAAUUGAACAGCGACUGCAUCAAGCAAAAGGACUGAUGCAACAAAAGAUUAUUGGAGCCACAGAUACGACACAAACUCGAAAUCAAGCUUGCUGUUUUUAAGGCGAAAUUAUAUAAGGAGGAAGAUCGACGUAAGAUUAGCUCAUCGUCAAAAAUUGUGCUCCGGAAAGAAGGACCAGGUAGCACGGUUAAAAUUUAGCACAAUAAUGAUAUAGCCGAUCAGGCUAGGAAUGACUUGAAGGAUUAUUAUACUCAUAAGCAACAAAGAUUACUUAGAGUUAUCGAACCAGAGUGCGGAAUCGGUUCACUUACCGUUGUUCUUGAGCGACUAACAACUCAGAACCCAUGAAAAAAUUGGAAUCAGUGAGAAAUAAUAGCUGAUGAAGACGCAUAAGAUGCAACACAGUUCUUAGAUAUUCUCGAGAUACUAGGGUGUAAUACUCGAUGGUAGAUCAAAGUAAAGGUUGGACACGUGAAAUGAUCUGCAGAAGACAAGUACUUCACCUUGUCUGAGAAAUGGAAUCAAAGGAGAUCAAUCAUGGUCGGAGCCACGAUUGCAAAAGGAUCAAUUCACAGAUACCAGAUGAUAUCAUAGGGAAUAAUUAUUAUUACAAGAAGCUUGCAUGAUAAGUUCCACAUCGGGUCCAUGGGCAUGAACGCAAAGGUUCAAGGUCGACUCCCACUUCUUCAAUACACAACUUCUCAUUUACUGCUCCCAGUUAGGAAUGUUUAGAGUUUGAAAGUUUAACUGGCGGAAUACCAGAAGGUCAUGACCCAUGAAGACUUUGGGGUUCACACAAAUUAAGGAAGGUAUAUGUUCAACCCAUCGGGGCAUCUUAGAAACAGAUACCACAAACUUCGGAGUAAAUAGUACAAUCUCAAAAGUAGAGUAUGGCUAUCAAAGCAGAGGAUACAAAUCGCCAAAAGCAUUAUAUAACAGGGAAAGAACUUCUCGAGGUUUUUGUAUACGAAGGACACUGUCGGAUGAUAUUUCAACAAAGGAUCCGACAGUCCAUAGCGAAGCUGAUGUGAGUAUCGACACACAACCAGAGGAAGAAACAAUGCGAAGGCAUUGGAUUAUAGAAGCAACUGGCUAAUUCAAAGCUCACAUGUAAAGGAAUUAUGAUUUCCAAAUCAAAGGAUCAGAAGCAAAUGCUCUGAUUAAGGAUGGAUAAGUUGAGAAAGCUUAGGGGUAAAAUCGACAACAAUUUUAUUGGUCGAGAUUCAGCUCAUGUUUAAAAUGACGUCUGAGCCGAAAGGAUGAAUUCUAGGAUCUGAUUGAGGAUUCCGAGCAUUCGCAACAUAUUGAAUCAAUGGACUCAAAAUGAUAGUGACAAAGGCUGCCAAUAAGAUUACUAUACUUAUGGGAUUAACCUUUAUGCAAGCGAGCAAGAAUUUCAAGAGCAAUAAGCUGCUAAGGAUUUUCGGAAGAUCGAAUAUUAUUUUGAAGACCUUAGUGAAACACAUAAACAACUAGGGAUGGGUGGAUACUCGGUAAGUGUGAGGAAUUAUUCAUACAUGUAUUCAUGAGGAAAAAGAGCUGCAAGGCAACAGACACAAAGGAUUCUCGGAAUAUCCGAAGUAUUUCAGGGUAUCUUGUAAUAACAAGAACAAUUGGAAAUGAAGUUAAGGACGACAAGUGUAUGUAGCUUCCCAUAGGGAUUUAUCGGUGGUAUGGAAUUGCAACGGCGAAGGGCACAAGGGUCUCGGGGAAACAUCGGAGAGUAUCUUCAAAAUUUUCUAGUGCAGGCGGCGAUCAUCUGGACCGAAGGGGCUCUCCGGGAGAAAGUGUUUUCGAGAACCUAAAGUUAGAUUUUAGAAAAUCAUUUAACCCGAAUAGAAGAGAGAUCAGAAUCCCAGAGUAUAGACGAGGAAUAAAAGAUCCUACUACCACCCAAAGGCGAUGUGGGCCCGUAAGCCACACAGCCAUGUUAGUAAAAGUUUUUCAAUGACUAGACUCAACUUCGGCCAAGGAGUUGGGAAGCGGGAUUCCUACAGGCAGUCGGCUCUGAUACCAAGUUGUGACGCCCCGAUUCAAUCGUACACUAGUCAUACACGCAAACGUGUAUGAUCAAGAUCAGGGACUCACGGGAAGAUAUCACAACACAACUCUAAAAAUGAAAUAAGUCAUACAAGCAUCAUAAUACAAGCCAGGGGCCUCGAGGGCUCGAAUACAAGUGCUCGAUCAUGGACGAGUCAGCGGAAGCAACAAUAUCUGAGUACAGACAUAAGUUAAACAAGUUUGCCUUAAGAAGGCUAGCACAAACUGGGAUACAGAUCGAAAGAGGCGCAGGCCUCCUGCCUGGGAUCCUCCUAAACUAAUCCUAGUCAUCGUCAGUAGCCUGCACGUAGUAGUAGGCACCUCCAGUGUAGUAAGAGUCAUCGUCGACGGUGGCGUCUGGCUCCUGGGCUCCAGCAUCUGGUUGCGGCAACCAGGUAGAAUGGAAAGGGGGAAAAGAGGGAGAAAAGCAACCUUGAGUACUCAUCCAAAGUACUCGCAAGCAAGGAUCUACACUACAUAUGCAUAGGUAUCUGUGUAAAGGGGCAACAUCGAUGGAUUGAACUGCAGAAUGCCAGAAUAAGAGGGGGAUAGCUACUCCUGUCGAAGACUACGCUUCUGGCAGCCUCCAUCUUGCAGCAUGUAGAAGAGAGUAGAUGGUAAGUUCACCAAGUAUCAACGUAUAGCAUUAUCCUACCCGGCGAUCCUCCCCUCGUCGCCCUGUGUGAGAGCGAUCACCGGGUUAUAUCUGGCACUUGGAAGGGUGUAUUUUAUUAAGUAUCCAAUUCGAGUUGUCAUAAGGUCAAGGUACAACUCCGGGUCGCCUGUUACCGAUGACACGGCUAUUCGAAUAGAUCAACUUCCCUGCAGGGGUGCACCACAUUACCCGACACGCUCGAUCCCUCUGGCCGGGCACACUUUCCUGGGUCAUGUCCGGCCUCGGGAGAUCAACACGUCGCAGCCCCACCUAGGAUCAACAAAGAGGUCAGCACGCCGGUCUAAAUCCUAUGCGCGAGGGGUCUUGGCCCAUCGCCCAUUGCACACAUGCACGUUGCGUACGCGGCCGGAAGCAGACCUAGCCCCCUUAAUACAAGCGCGAGCUUACGGUCCAAUGCGGCGCGCGCCGCUCAGUCGCUGACGACAAAAACAGCUUCGGCUGAUACCACGACGCCGGUUGCCCAUAUCUUGUCCCACGUGGCGGUUAGUGCGUAUCAGGUCAACGACCCAACUCAGAUCAAAUACCAAGAUCUCGUUAAGCGUGUUAUUAUGAAGUAACCACGCACGCCGACCAGGGCCAGGCCCACCUCUCUCCUAGGUGGUCUCAACCUGCCCUGUCGCUCCGCCACAUAGUAACAGUCGGGGGCCGUCGGGAACCCAGACCCACCUCUACCGGGAUGGAGCCACCUGCCCCUUCAGCCCCCAUCUCAGAACAGUAUCAUAAGUAAUGUAACAGUAUAAAGUAUAUAGCAUAUGCCCGUGAUCACCUCCCGAAGUGAUCACGGCCCAGUAGUAUAGCAUGGCAGACGGACAAGAGUGUAGGGCCACUAAUGGAAUACUAGCAUCCUAUACUAAGCAUUAGGAUAGCAGGUAAAGGUAACAACUGUAGCAACAAUGACAGGCUAUGCAGCAGAAUAGGAUUAACCGAAAGCAGUAACAUGCUACACUACUCUAAUCCAAGCAAUAGAGAGAAGGAAUAGGCGAUAUCUGGUGAUCAAGGGGGGGUCUUGCCUGGUUCCUCUGGCAAGGAGGGGUCGUCAACAACGUAGUCGAUCGGGCACCAGCAACGGCGUUAGUCUCGUAGUCUACCAGAGAGAAGAGGGGGAAGAAACAAUAAAUACGGAGCAAACAAAGCAUCACAAAACAUAACGAGCUACUACGCGGUGCCAGGGGUGAUCUAACGCAGGGAUAGGUGAUACCGGCGAAGGGAGGAAACAUCCGGGAUAGUAUUCCCGGUGUUUUGCGUUUUCGGACAAAUGAACCGGAGGGGGAAAGUUGUGUGUUCACUAUGCUAGGGAUGUGUGGCGGACGAACGGGCUACGUAUUUGGAUUCGUCUCGUCGUUCUGAGCAACUUUCAUGUACAAAGUAUUUUCAUCCGACUUAUAGAUUAUUUUAUAUGAUUUUUAAAAGUUUUUAAACAUUUUCUGAAAUUCCUGGAAUUAAAUUAAUUCGAAAAUAAAUUAAAUGCUAAAUGCUAUGGGUACACAGAAGUGUACCCAGAGAUGUGCAUGUGUGGCUGACAAGGGGGCCCAGUUGACUGGGUCAACUGCCCAGUCGGUAGAGGCUGACUGGUGGGGCCAGGGGGCUGAGUCAGCAGUCAAUAAUUUGACUAUUGACUAGUCAAAUCUGACCAAUAGGUCCCAUUGUCAGUGACUGUUAUACACAAAACAGGUUUAAUUAAUCUGGGUAAAUAGCUAGGGGCCCACUUGUCAUUCCCUGUUAGCUUAAGUAAAUUAGUUAGUUACUUUAAUUAAUUAAGUGGGCCCAAAGGUCAGUGUCACAUGGGUGGAUUAGGGAGGUUAGCUUAGGCCUAACCAUCGUGGUUAGCGCCGGGACCCACAGGGAGUGGCCCAGCCGGCCAGUUUAAACAACGCACGCGCGGCGACGAGGCCCGACGCGGCGGCGGUGGUGGGAAUAUGGCCUCCGGCGACCCUUUGGACUGCGGAGUGGCUCGUUCGAUCCGGAGGAGCAAGGUGCGUGCAACAACGGCCUAGCUUCGAGCGGGGGAGUGGGCUACCACGGCGAUAGCGACGGCGUGCAGCGGCAAGGCAACAGGCGAGCCGACGCGGUGGUGCUCGCGCGGGGACAGAGGGGAGAGGGAGCCGGCGCGGGACGAGGAGACCCGGCGUGACGGGCGUGCAGCGCGUGCAGGGAGCACGGUGAGAGCGAGGCUCGGACGGGCACGGCGGCAGAUCUGCCAGGGAGGAAGAGGGGAAGGGAAGGGGGCCUCACAGAGCCCUGUAGUUGAGCGAGGCGUGCUCGAGGAGGAGGACGAGGAGGCGACGACGACGGUGGGCGGCUCCGGCGAAGCAGUGGCAGGACGAGGCGGCGACGGUGUGCGGCGGAGCGGUCCGGCGAGGGGCGCUGGCGUGGUGGCGACAGGAAUCGGCGGUGUGACGCAGCGUGGCUUGGGGAGGCUGUCCAAGGCAAGGUGAGGAGGGGGCGGUCAGCGUCGGGACGAGGGCGGCACCGGGCGGCGGUGUCGGGCCCUCCCGAUCCAGAUCCAGCGAGAGAGGGGGGGAGGGGAACGAGAGAGAGACGUGGGGGCGAGUGGGGAGUGGGCUAGGGAUCGGUUAGAUGAGAGGGGGGUUAAGCGGGGCAGUGGGAGAGGCCGGCUGGGCCAGGUGGGCCGGUUGGCCACCUGGGCCAGUUGGACCAAAGGGGUGCUUCUCUCUUUUCCUUUUCUUUUGUCUUUGUUUUUAUUUAUUAUUCUCUCUUCUCUGUUUUCUAUUAUAGUUCAUUUACUUUUAGUUUUAUAAAAUACCAAGUUAGCACCCAAAUUAGUAUCAUUAAUAUAAGCCACUGCCAAACUUAGUUUGGACCCAAAGUAAAUUAGUUUAAUAUUGCUAUAAUUUAAAAAGCUAUUACAUUAUUAUUUUAGCCACUGUUCUAACUAGUUUAGGGCAUUUAACACUUUACAAAAAUUUGGUUUCUCCGCCAUAAUUACUAACGAAUUAUUAGUCACAUCCAGAACAUUUUGAUUUUAAUAUUUGAAAACUUUUAUUAUUUAACUUGAAUUUGAAUUUUGAAUCUGAACGGGGUUGAAUCAUCGCGAGAUUAACAACGGUAAUCAUGGUGACGUGGCAUUGUUAGCAGAGAUUACUGUAGCUUAAAUAUCCGUGCGUCACAUUACCACCCAUUGUGUUGUCACGGAAUACACAGAGGAUAUAUUGGUGAAGAGCUGGAGAGCCGCUGAGCCACUGUCGGUUGCGAAAAUAGAGUAACCCAUCAGAGACACAAAACCUCUGCUUUGGGUCUGGCCACCGUGAGAAUUCAGAGAGCGGCUUUCGACAUUGGCCAUCUUUUGCAUAACCGGCACGGAUGUCCUCAACAUAAAGUAGGAUGGCAGACUAAGAUUGCCAUGGCUUGGUUUGGAGUGUGCAGACAACAGGACCUGGCAUCUGCUCACUGUUGGUGGUGCCCUGGCGGUAGCAAAUUUUAUAUCUCAUUGAGUAACUUUGUGAAAGCUUUGUGUUGCCAGACCAUUGACGGCAAUUGAUCAUUUAUAUGCACAAGACUGCGUUAAUUAGCGCGAAUCAAGGACUCAUCAUGGUGAAGAUAGGGGCGCCACUGUUCUAUGGCCAUCGGAAUAGCGAGGCGUUCUUUCUUGUAAGUGGUCACACCUCUGUUCUUUAUUCCUAGGGGAUGAGACGAACACGCACUCACACACAUACACAAACAGUUAUAGCUUUCUAAGCAGUAAAUGACAAGCAUCAUCAUCCAGAUAUCACCCCAAAGUCAUCGAAAUGAGAUUACUUAUGGCAACAGCAAUACGGGUAGGGGUGUGCUCACAAUAGCUCCUGAGGUAGUCGUAGUCUUUGCUUACGCAGAAGUUUUGGCACUUGCGCUUGUCAUAAUCAUGCACCGGUCUCUUGCAUUCCCACAUAGAUUCACAGUAUGUGUCAGGAUCCGUGUCUGCAUGCGCACGCACACACACAAAAUGGACGAAUAAUUACUACGUGUGUGUUCCAUGUGAAAGAAAGAAUGGAAGAAUGAAGCAUCAUGUAGUAAGACAUACUACUCUACAUAUCCUUGGCGUUGCAGGACAGGGAGGCCGACAUGACCAGAAGAGCUACAGCCAAGCACAAAAACUGCGUGUUGUUCCUGGCAUGUGCCAUGGCGAAUGACUCGCUAGCUAAUUAAUCCAUCCUUCUAGACGGUGUUGUCUUUUUGGUCGAUGGAUGCUUUGUGUGUUUUAUUCGAUUUUUUUGUUAUUUUCUUUGCGUUUUUUAAAUGUGUGAAAUUCUUUUCAAAAUUGAUGUAUUUUUUUCAAUUUUCUUGCUUUUUAAAAAAAUCGAUAAAGUUUUUUCAAAUUUAUGAACCUUUUUUGUCAAUUUGUGAACAUUUUUAGAAAAAUUGAUGAACUUAUUUCCAAAUUCGAUGAACUUCUUAAAAUUUGAUGAACUUUUCUGAAAAUUCAUGUACAGUUUUUAAUUGAAUUUUUGAUUUUUUACCAAAAAAACAUUUUUAUUUUUUUAAGUCAAUGGUUGACCGGUCAACCAUGACUAGUCAGCUGCGAACCCAAUGACCAGUCAACAACCGAGCCAGCGAGCACGUGUUUGGGUCGAGCCCAAGAGUGUUGCUGCGUGCACCACCUCGGUGAAGGGGCGCGUGAAGCGCCGUCUAGGAGCUCCCGUGCCCUUCGGCCGCUGCCCCCUCUUUCACUCAAUUAAGUACAGGCCAACACUUUAGGCUUUGCUCUAGGCUUUUUCUGUCGUCCAUGGCCGAGCAAGCCGAGGCUACUUUUGGUGCUUUCUUCUUCUUUCCGGCUCUGCACUGAGUCACGGUGGUUGUGACAGAAACUACUCAUCUUUAUUCUUUCUUUUUUGCGGGGAAAUCAUCUUUAUUCCACGGACAGUCAUGAUGAAAUGCUUUGGUUAUUAUAAUGGGAUGGGACGAACACACACACAAACAGAUAUAGCUUUCUAAGUAGCACAUGACAAGCAUCAUCAUCCAGAUAUCAUCCCAAAGUUAUCAAAUUGAGAUUACUAAAGGCAACAGCAAUACGGGUAGGGGUGCUGCUCACAAUAGCUCCUAAGGUAGUCGUAGCUUUUGCUUACGCAGAAGUUUCAGCACUUGCACUGCUCAUAAUCAUGCACCGGUCUCUUGCAUUCCCACAUACUUCCUCCAUUCCUAAAUAUAAGUCUUUGAAGAGGUUCCACUAUGAACCACAUACGGAUGUAUGUAGAUGCAUUUUAGAGUGUAGAUUCAUUCAUUUUGCUCCGUAUGUAGUCCAUAGUGAAAUCUCUACAAAGACUUAUAUUUAGGAACGGAGGGAGUAGAUUCACAGUAUGUGUCAGGAUUCGUGUCUGCAUGCGCACGCACGCACAGAAUGGACGAAUAAUUACUACGUGUGUGUUCCAUGUGAAAGAAAGAAUGGAAGAAUGAAGCAUCACGUAUUAAGAAAUACUACUCUACAUACCCUUGGCGAUGCAGGAGAGGGAGACCGACAUGACGAGAAGAGACUGCCAAGCACAGAAACUGUGUGUUGUUCGUGGCAUGUGCCAAUGACUAGCUAGCUAAUUCAUCCUCUUCUUCUAGACGGUAUUUGUCUUUUUGGUCGAUGGAUGCUUUGUGUGCUUAAUUCAGUUUUUCUUGUUAUUUUCUUUCCGUUCUUUCAAUGUGUGAAAUUCUUUUCAAAAUCGAUGUAUUUUUUUAUUUUUGCGCUUUUUAAAAACAUAUCUCCAUAAAAAUUUAUGAGCUUUUUUGUAAAUUUGUGAACUUUUUUAGAAAACAAAGAACUUCUUGAAAUUUGAUAAACUUUAUUGAAAAUUCAGUGCAUUUUUUAAUUCAUGGUUUUUUAUUUUUUUACAAAAAAACGUUUUAAAUUUUUUUAAGUCAAUGGUUGCCCGGUCAACCGUGACCAGUCAGCAGUGAACACAACGACUAGUCAAUAACCGAAGCAACCUGACGGAGUCAGGAGUGUGUGUUUGGGUCAGGCCCAAGAGUGUGGCUGUGUGCGCCACCUCGGCGAAGGGGCGCCAGAAGCGUCGUCUAGGAGCUCCCGCGCCCUUCGGCUGCUGCCCUCUGUUUCUUAGUUUAAGUACAGGCCAACACUUUAGGCUUUGGUUUGGGAUUUUUCUGUCGCAAUUCCAUCAUCCACGGCCCAGCAAGCCCAGGCUACUUCUGGUGCUUUCUUCUUCUUUCCUGCUCUGCACUGAGUCAUGGUGGUUGUGAUAGAAACUACUCUUUUUUUAGGGGUCAUCUUUAUUCCACGAACAAUCAUGAUGAAAUGCUUUGGUUAUUACAGUGGGAUGAGACCAACACACACACACACAAACAGCUAUAGCUUUCUAAGUAGCACAUAACAAACAUCAUCAUCCAAAUAUCACCUCAAAGUCAUCGAAGAGAUUACUUAUGGCACUCAGUUUUGCUCCGUUUGCGAGCUGUAAGACCUUUAUGAUGAUACUUUCUGGAUUUUUAAUAAAAGGCCCGCAUGCAUCAUCAUGAUGCAGAGGCCGGGGGUAUACCUCCAUUUCCAAAAAAACAACAAUACGGGUAGGAGUGGUGCUCACAAUAGCUCCUGAGGUAGUCGUAGCCUUUGCUUACGCAGAAGUUUCGGCACUUGUGCUGGUCAUAACCAUGCACCGGUCUCUUGCAUUCCCACAUAGAUUCAUGGUAUAUGUCAGGAUUUGUGUCUGCAUGCACACGCACACACGCACAAAAAGGACGAACAAUUAAUACGUGUGUUCCAUGUGAAAGAAAGAAUGAAGCAUCACGUAGUAGAAAUAGUACUCUACAUACCCUUGGCGUUGCAGGAUAAGGGAGGCCGGCAUGACUAGAAGAGCUACGGCCAAGCACAGAAACUGCGUGUUGUUCCUGGCAUGUGCCAUGGCGAAUGACUGGCUAGUUAAUUAAUCCUCUUCUUCUGGACGGUGUUGUCUUUUGGUCCAUGGAUGCUUUUAAUGUUUUAUUCGAAUUUUUUUAUUAUUUUCUUUGCCUUCUUUAAAUGUGUGAAAUUAUUUUCAAAAUCAAUGUAUUUUUUUAUUUUUGCGCCUUUUUGAAAAAUGAUGAACCUUUUUAAAUUUAUGAUUUUUUUGGAAAUGUGUGAACUCCUAAAAAACGAUGAACUUCAAAUUUGAUGAACUUUUUGAAAAUUCAUGUACAUUUUUAAUUCAUGAUUUUUUUUAUUUUUUUACCAAAAAAUGAUUUAAUUUUUUAAAGUCAAUGGUUGACCGGUCAAGCUUGACCAGUCAGCAGCGAACCCAACGACCAGUCAACAACCGAACCGACCUGACUGAGCCAGCGAGCGUGUGUUUGGAUCGGGCCCAAGAGUGUGGCUGCGUGCUCCACCUCGGCGAAGGGGCGCCUGAAGCGUCGUCUAGGAGCUCCCGCGCCCUUCGGCUGAUGCCCUCUCUUCCACUCAAUUUACAUACGGGCCAACACUUUAGGCUUUGGUCUGGGCUUUUUUCUGUCGCCAUCCCGUCGUCCACGGCUUAGCAAGCCCAGGCUACUUCUCGUGCUUUCUUCUUCUUUCAAGUUCUGCACUGAGUCACGGUGGGUGUGACAGAAACUACUCAUAUUUAUUCUUCCUUUUUUGCGGGGAAAUCAUGUUUAUUCCACGAACAGUAAUGAUGAACUGCUUUGGUUAUUACAAUGGGAUGAGAUGAACACACACACACACAAACAGCUACAGCUUCUGUAAGUAGCACAUGACAAGCAUCAUCAUCCAGAUAUCACCCAAAGUCAUCGAAUUGAGAUUACUUAUGGUAGGGGUGGUGCUCACAAUAGCUCCUGAGGUAGUCGUAGCCCAUGCUUACGCAGAAUUUUCGGCACUUGCGCUGGUCAUAAUCAUGAACUGGUCUGUUGCAUUCCCACAUAGAUUGACAGUAUAUGUUAGUUUCCGUGUUGUUCCUUGCACAAUAUACUUUGUUGCAGUUGCGCAUGCCAUAAUCAUCCAUCGGUCUCUUGCAUUUCGACACAGAUUCACUGUAUGUGUUAGGAUCUGUGUCUGCAUGCGCACACGCACGCAAAGAAGGGACAAACAAUUAGUACGUGGCUGUUUGGUAUGAAAGAAACAAUGGAAGAAUGAAGCAUCACGUAGUAAGAAAUACUACUCUACAUACCCUUGGCGUUGCAGGUCAAGGAGGCCAACGUGACUAGAAGAGCUACGGCCAAGCACAGAAAUUGCGUGUUGUUCCUAGCAUGUGCCAUGGUGAAUGACUGGCUUACCUAAUUAAUCCUCUUGUUCUAGACGGUGUUGUCUUUUUGGUCGAUGGAUGCUUUGUGUGUUGUGUGAUGGUGUUCGUAUAAUUAUAUAUAUACGCGUGAGCUAGCGGUUCUUUGGCCAAGGGAGAGGUUAAUCAAUUCGUAUCAUAUCUUCUGGUCGUACACUAAUGCACGAGUGCCAUCUAUGGUUGGCGUUGCAUUAAUGUUUGUUUAUCGCUAGGUAAAUGUCCUUGCGUUGGCACCGAAAAACAAAGAUAUAGAUAUUUAUCAAUAAUUAAAGAGUCAUCAAUCCUACUAUGAUACACACACAUAUUAUAUAAUAUGUAAUGUCUGAUAUGUGCUGCCAUCAAAUAUUUGUAGAGAUUAAUUAGAGAUUGACCGAUUCCUUCUCAUAUAAAUGUUAUCAUCUAUAGUUGGUGUUACAUUAAUGUUUGUUGAUCACUAGGUGAGUGUCCUUACGUUGCCACGGAAAAACAAAGAUAUAAAUAUUUAUUAGUAAUUAAAGAGUCAUUAAUUCUAAUAUAAUACACGCACAUAUAUAAUAUGUAAGGCCUGAUAUGUGGUGCCAUCAAAUCUUCUUUACUCUUAACGGGGAGUUGGUAGCCUCGCCUCACUUCUCAUAAAUCCAUUAUCAAAUCAUAUAUUACGCCCGCGAGCGUUUUACAUGCAAUCUUUCUCUCAACCGCAACCGAUUUUGGCCGGCCAUUUGACGUGUCCAUUAACUCAAUGAAGCCGGCACUUCGCCAAAACAACAUCGUACAUUAAUUCGAUCAAUCAAAUCAGUACCUACCAAAACAACUGUGUGCGUGUUUUUAUUUCCAAAUCAAAUCACUCUUUACCAAAUCAAAUCACUAUUUACCAAAAAAAUCACUACUUUUAUUUUAGGGGUAAAUCAAAUCACUACUCGACUAUACCCCCUCCGUUUCAUAAUAUAAAAAUGUUUUUCAAGCUAACAUAGCUUUAAAAAACAUUUUUAUAUUAUAGGACAGAGGGAGUAGUUUUUAUCAACUAUUCAAAGUUGAUUGGCCCAUUCACUCAGGUAGAGAUUUUCGCCUAUCCACCCCACUGAAAAUCUACACAAGACGGGUAAAAAAUCUACACAAGAAAAAAAUACGCCGUCGUGAAUCCAACUCAAAUCUAGAUCCACUCCUCCCUCAAACGAGGUUCCUAAGAGCAUCUCCAACAGAUGCGCUUAAUAAGCCGCGCGCUGGAAAAAACGCCUAUUUGGCGCACGAAAGAUAAAAAACAGCACUCCAGCAUAAGCUGUAAAAUAGAGCGCGCACAAAAACAAAGGUGUAAGAGCAUCUCCAACAAGUGCGAGAUUUUAGCGCCGCGCUGGAAAAUUUAACUUUUUUGCACGCGCAGCCGUUCCGGGCACUACAACGGACGUGCAAAAAACGUGUGUGCGGUAUAGUUAGUUCAGCGCGCGGAGAAAAACGGCAUCGCGCGCCGCUUAUUUCGUGCGCCUUCUCCCACGUGCUGGACACUCGAGCACCCGCGCCGCACUGACGCCACCCUCUCCUCUCCGGCCGUCCCACCUUCGCACCGCCCCGCGCCGCCGCCGGCGAAAUUCGCCCGAUGGAUGGCCGCGCCGACAUCCCCCGAACCCCUCCCUACACCCACGACCCCUCCGCCGCCGCCGGCACAAACCUUAGCGCGGGGCUAAGCUUCGGCUUCGCCUCCGUCGGCCCUCCUCCAAGCACCAGUCUCGUGCGCGGCCUUUUCAUGGCGCCACGGACUCGGCGGGUGGCGGCGCGCCGACGCCCGCAGUGAAGCCACGUGGCCCCCUCUCGAAGCGACCAAAUGCGGCGACGAAGGCGGGCAAGGUGUCCGGGAAGAAGAACAAAGCGACGGACGGCUCUUCUUGGCGGCCGAAGAAGAAACUUGCAGGGCGUGUGACAGAUGCAGCGUCGAUCGAAGCGCCGGCGAGCUCGCUUGUUGCGCCGGCAGCCGAUGCGCACAAGGUGUUUGAUGAAAUUCCCACAAGGUAUGAUUUUUCGUCGUUGUUUUUUACAUGAAUGGAUACAUAUGGAUAGCUUAGUUUUCUUGUACAUACUUUGUAGUUUCAAUGAUGAGACAUAUAUGUCAACUAUGGACGGCAUGGGAGGCAUGGGUGCCUUCGGAGCUACCAUGGGAGGCAUGGGUGCCUUCGGAGCUACCAUGGGAGGCAUGGGAGGCAUGAGUUUUGGGUCUCUCAUGGGAGGCAUGGGAGCACCUCCGGGUGACAUGGGUGGACGCAUGUCUUCCGGUGUGCCUCACAUACCUUCGCAUGAUGUCCUUGGAGAUCUUGCGAACACCUUCCGAGCUCCCCAUGAUGAUGCGACAUGCGACAAUGAAGAGGAGGAGGAAAAAUCGUCUUCGGAUGAGGAUGAAGAAUCGGAGGUAGAGGAGGACGAUGUUGAUAUGGCAUGAUUGUUGAUGUGUCGUUUGUUUGUGUGAACUUUUAUGUGUCAUGAACUUGGUUGGGUGAUUUUGAACUUGGUUGGAUGAUGAUGUGGCAUGAUUGUUGAUGUGUCGUGCAAUUGAACUAUACUAUGUCUUUAUUUUGCACAUUUGUUUAAUGUUUGAAACAUCAUCAUAUUAUCAAAAUGGACAUGUAAAAAUCUUAUUUGCAAGCGCCGGCUGCUCGCGCGCGCUGUAAGUUAGCGCGCCUGCUGGAGCUGCUCGCGCGCGCCAUAUUUUGCAGCGGCCGCUGCAGCCAGCGCUCUGCCGUGCGCAAAAAUUCGCUAUUUCUGUGCUGUAAAAAGGUUUUAGCGCGCCGCACGGUUGCGCGCCUGUUGGAGAUGCUCUAACUUUAGCGCACGCGGGCUGCGGGGCUGCAAAUUUGGGGUGCGGGCUGCUGCAUGUGGGGCCGCCUGGUUGGGCGCCGUUUUUUUGUGCGUCUGAUAAACUUCUCGCGCGCAAAAACACUAUUUCAGCAAUGUAAAACUGUUUUAACGCGUCGCUCGGGUUGGAGAUGCUCUAAGGCGUGGUUCUGGGAUGACGCCGCCAUCGCGGAAGCAGUGUCGAUCCCCUCUCCUCUCAUCUCAAGCGCUCGAUUCCCCUCGCGCAUUAGGGUUCCUCCAAAGGGAGGUUGCGGCGCUCGAUUCCUCCUCCCCUGCUCAUGACUUCCUCACCGGUCACUGCUCCUUCACCAACCGCCGUUGUAGAUGAUAUUUUCGUCCUUCCGAAUUGCAGCACCUCCACCUUCCAUCCUCUCGGCCGUCACUACAGGGUGCCACCUUGUUCCCACAGUUGCUGACGACAGGAAGGAGGAGGAGAGGUAGUGGUCUAGGCGGGGAGGCUAAUGGCAAAGUGAAUCACGAAGAUGUGACCUGCGACCAUGAUUUGUCUCCCAUGUUUGGUACAGGGAACAUCCUGUGACCACGCCGCUGUCCCCCGUGCUCUACCUAUGUCAGCUUCCCACGACCGCGCCUCUACUCCCUGCAUAACAAGUACACUGCGCCUGGCAGGCUCAUGUCCGACGCCCUGCCAUGGGAAUGACCGGGGGAGCGAGCUUCACCUGCGGCAGCGGCCACAACGGCAAAGCCUUCACUUGGUACGUCUGCUGCCCUUCUGCCUCGGACAGCCAUGCCGGUGAGCUCCUCCAAACCUCGCGCCUCCCAUGCUCGUAUCUACCCCCUCUCUAUACCGCGCGUCGGCCACUGACGCUAGGUGCACAUGGGCAAAAACGACAAAAUUGACCUAUGGACGAAAACAAUCCACAAUCUGACCUAGUUCAAAAAAAUUCACUCAGCUGACCCUUUUGUGUGGCGCCCAACACACAGGCACCACACCCUACGGUGCAGCGCCUAGCCCUCAGGCGCUGCACUUCAGGCCAGCGUGGCACCCCCUGGCCACGCACCCAGCAGUGCAGCACCUCCGAGCUGGGCGCUACACUUGACACGUGCAGCGCCUGACAGCUAGGCGCCACACUUGUUAUGUGCAGCGCCUGACAGCUAGGCGCCACGCUUGUUAUGUGCAGCGCCUAGCUCUUAGGCGAUGCACAUCAUGUUACUAGUUGGCAUGCUGCCCCCCUCCCCACUCCCCACACACACACCCAACCCCAACCCCACCCCCACCCGUGUUGUGCCCUCUCUCCCCCUCUCAAACCCUUCUCCAAAUCUUCCAAAUUUGAAUAUUUUGUCCGUGGAUUUCGAACCCAAUCCCUCCCUCAAGGUAAUCUCCUCCGAUCCCUUGUUUUCAUCCCAAAAAAUGCUCACAUUUGCUCAUUUUUUGCUAGUUUGGGGAAACCCGAGGUUUCUAUGGAUCUUGAAAUUUGUAUGGAGAUAUGGCUUCUUAGUAUGUUAGGGUUCGGGUUAUGGGUGUUGUUAUGUUGGUGCCAGGGUUGGGCUUGUUAGUAUGUUAGGGUUAGGGUUAUGGGUGUUUUUAUGUUAUGGAUAUGGGCUUUUGUGCUAGGCGUCACACAUAUGUCAACAUGCAGAAACUGACAAGCUCCUGUGCAGUUUCAUUAUGACAUUCUCAUGAACUAAUAUGAUAAAACUUAAGCAAUUAGGAUCAACUAAAACAUCCGUUCAACUUAAAGAAAGUCAAGAACUUCAACACUGCUACAAGUUCAACGAUAUAACAAGUUCAACAAAACCUAGAAGUUCAACAACACAGUAAGUUCGACAUAAGAAAACGACAACUAAUCGAGUUACAUAAGAAAAAGGAGGACGAUGACUAGUUCCUUUCCUCAGUUGCAUAUGAGUGGGCACCGCAUAUAUAAUGAAGUACAAACAAACAGCUCCGUACAUGUCUAUAUAACUAAGCCAGUGCCGCCGAACCCCAACUCCAUUUGCUAUUGAAGACGGUUAAUGCCUUCAUCCAUAUCCAUGGAGCAUUCUUGCAUGUGCCGUCAGCAAAUAGAGUCUUGGAGAUAAUGUACCACAUGUACACACGAGCAUAUGUCUGGGCCUCUUCAUUGAUAGCAUCCUCGGGGCAAUACCCAAAGUGGAAUGCAAUCCAGGUGAAAGGAGCACCGACUGUGACUCUUUCCUUCUUCUUGUCUCCUUCUGGUACUGGAGGCUCUGGAGGAGACAUACCAAUAAGGGCCUCCAUCUGCUGGCGCCACCCAUCAGAAUCGGUGCUCAUACACAGAGGAUUCCCCUCGAUAGGGAGACCGGCGAUCAUAGUGAGCAUCACCGUCAUCUCCUCGGUAUGAAGAUGGAAAUUGUGUGUCUUCGUCCUCCACCGAUCAACAAGCGUGGUGAUUUCUGCAGCACUGAGGCUCUACAUCGACCAGCUGACCAGCUGAAUGAUCGGAAGGAGUCAUGUCUCCCUUAUGUACAGUGUGUACCGCUCAUCAUAGCGCAUCCCACCAAGGAUGACCCCGUGAGACCAAAUCUUUAGAGGAUGAAGCUCCUACAAACAAGCAAAUCAUAAUAUUACAUAUGGGGCACGUGUGUUUGAAAUAAACACAAAAUUCAUAAUACCGGCCACUUUGAUUAUUACCCGCUGCUCCACCAACAUAAAGUAGGCCCGGCGUAGAGUGUCAUAAUGAUCAUCGAGAAGCCAAACCAUCCUAAAAAUUUCAAACAAUAAACAUAAGUUAGCUAACUACCAUACAUCCUAAUCAAAACAUGCCAACAAUAAUCACAAAAGACAUGCCAACAAUCGGUACAAACUAAAAGGAAAUUGAAUAAUAAUAAUGUAAUAUCUACAAUCAAAGCAUGCCAACAAUCAUCACAAAAAAAUAUGUUUUGAAACAAUAUAGGGUUCUAUAAUGGUUUCAUCUAAAAAACAUCUCAACAUGUAGGGUUCCGCACACAUGUAGGGUUCCGCAAACAAAUUUAGGAUAUCAUCUAAAUCAUCUAUAAAAACAUCAACACAAACAUCUAGACAUGUAUAAGGUACAUCUCAACAAUCUAGGUUUUCAACAUGGAAGCAUGUAUUUUCAAUACAAAUCAACUAAAUUAGGGUUACAAAAUGAUUACAAAUCAUCUACAAAUCCUAAAUCCCACCAAUAUAUUUCAAAAUAUAUGUGCAAGAUUCUAAUCCAAUCAAACAAAGGUUCCACAAAUCUUCAAAAUAUGUAAGAUUUUCUGGAUAGAAAGAAGGGGAUCGGAGGAGAGUACCUUCUAGGAUGGACUGCUGAAGAAAUCCACCGACCAAAUCAUCAUAUCUGAAGAAUUUGGGAGAGGGGAUUGAGAGGGGGAGAGGAGAAAGCCGCCGCUGCGCUCUAUUCUAGAACUGCAAGGGAAUGGGGUGGGUGGGGGAAGGGCCAGCGCGCGGCGGCUACUAAUUCAUAGUGCAGCGCCUAAGAGCUAGGCGAUGCACAUAACGUGUGUGGCGCUGAUGUCUACUACGCAACCUUCUUCUUGUAGACGUUGUUGGGCUUCCAAGUGCAGAGGUUUGUAGGACAGUAGCAAAUUUCCCUCAAGUGGAUGACCUAAGGUUUAUCAAUCCAUGGGAGGCGUAGGUUGAAGAUGGUCUCUCUCAAGCAACCCUGCAACCAAAUAAAAAAGAGUCUCUUGUGUCCCCAACACACCCAAUACAAUGGUAAAUUGUAUAGGUGCACUAGUUCGGCGAAGAGAUGGUGAUACAAGUGCAAUAUGGAUGGUAGAUAUAGGUUUUUGUAAUCUGAAAAUAUAAAAACAGCAAGGUAGCAAGCGAUAAAAGUGAGCGUAAACGGUAUUGCAAUGCUAGGAAACAAGGCCUAGGGUUCAUACUUUCACUAGUGCAAGUUCUCUCAACAAUAAUAACAUAAUUGGAUCAUAUAACUAUCCCUCAACAUGCAACAAAGGGUCACUCCAAAGUAACUAAUAGCGGAGAACAAACGAAGAGAUUAUGGUAGGGUACAAAACCACCUCAAAGUUAUUCUUUCCGAUCAAUCCGUUGGGCUAUUCCUAUAAGUGUCACAAACAGCCCUAGAGUUCGUACUAGAAUAACACCUUAAGACACAAAUCAACCAAAACCCUAAUGUCACCUAGAUACUCCAAUGUCACCUCAAGUAUCCGUGGGUAUGAUUAUACGAUAUGCAUCACACAAUCUCACAUUCAUCUAUUCAACCAACACAAAGAACUUCAAAGAGUGCCCCAAAGUUUCUACCGGAGAAUCAAGACGAAAACGUGUGCCAACCCCUAUGCAUAGGUUCAUGGACGGAACCCGCAAGUUGAUCACCAAAACAUACAUCGAGUGGAUCACGUGAUAUCCCAUUGUCACCACAGAUAAGCAUGGCAAGACAUACAUCAAGUGUUCUCAAAUCCUUAAAGACUCAAUCUGAUAAGAUAACUUCAAAGGGAAAACUCAAUCCAUUACAAGAGAGUAGAGGAGGAGAAACAUCAUAAGAUCCAACUACAAUAGCAAAGCUCGCGAUACAUCAAGAUCGUACCACCUCAAGAACACGAGAGAGAGAGAGAGAGAGAGAGAGAGAGAGAGAGAUCAAACACAUAGCUACUGGUACAUACCCUCAGCCCCGAGGGUGAACUACUCCCUCCUCGUCAUGGAGAGCGCCGGGAUGAUGAAGAUGGCCACCGAUGAGGGAUCCCCCCUCCGGCAGGGUGCCGGAACAGGGUCCUGAUUGGUUUUCGGUGGCUACAGAGGCUUGCGGCGGCGGAACUCCUGAUCUAUUCUGUUCUCCGAAGGUUUUAGGGUAUAUGGAUAUAUAUAGGCGAAAGAAAUACGUCAGGGGAGCCACGAGGGGCCCACGAGGGUGGAGGUCGCGCCCAGGGGGAUUGGGCGCGCCCCUGCCUCGUGCCUCCCUCGUUGCUUUCCUGACGUGCACUCCAAGUCUCCCGGGUUGCUUUCUUUCCAAAAAUAACUUCUCCAGAAGGUUUCAUUCCGUUUCGACUCCGUUUGAUAUUCCUUUUCUUCGAAACACUGAAACAAGGGAAAAAACAGGAACUGGCACUGGGCUCUGGGUCAAUAGGUUAGUCCCAAAAGUAAUAUAAAAGUGUUUAAUAAAGCCCAUAAACAUCCAAGAUGGAUAAUAUAAUAGCAUGAAUACUUCAUAAAUUAUAGAUACGUUGGAGACGUAUCAGGCGCCUAGCUCUCAAGCGUUGCACGUGACAGGUGUGGCACCUAGUUCGGAGGCGUUGCACUGCUGGGUGAGGGGCCCGGGGGUGCCACGCUCGCCAGAAGUGCAGUGCCUGAGGACUAGGCGCUGCACAGUAGGGUGUGACGCCUGCAUGUCGGGCGCUACACAAAAGGGUUAGCUGAGUGAAUUUUUUUCGAACCAGUUCAGAUUGUGAAUUGUUUUCGUCAUAGGUCAAUUUUUCCAUGCACAUGUAUGUAUGUGUUGUUCAUAUCUCCCUGCAUCCAUCCCCAUGCAUCACGUGUGCACCUGGGCUCUGUCUACCUCGCAACUUCAUGCAUAUUCUGAUCGCAUGCAUAUGGGUGAGUUUGCAAUCGUGAUGGAGGAUGUAACUCAUGAACUAAUAUGACACAUAUUUCAUAUGGGUGAGUUUGCAAUCGUCAUGAAGAAUAUUUGCUUGGUGAAAAUGUGCCUUUGAGUGUAGUGAAUUUUUCCCAUAUGUAUUCUUGUUGUAUGGCACAAUAAACUUUUAUUGUAACUUCUACCGAUCCUUGACAACUGCAAAAUAUAUCCUCUCGAAGAACCUUGAUAUAUUUCACAUUAGCACAAAGCUAUUGUUGGAAGCACAGUAGACCUUAAUCCGAUAAAUGACAUCCCUUAUUUGGUUAUUGUUGUUGGACAUUUUUUUCUUAUUUAGUUAGCAUGCUCACGCUUACAGUUAGGCGGCAUCAAAGAUUUUUUAGUUCAUAUUAUAAGCUAUCACAUUGUGUCAUGUUAUGACUACUAAUCCAUGUGGUGAAUGGAGGCAUCUUUUUACUAUUCAGGUAUUAUGCUCUGUCAUACGCAUACCUCACUCUAUUUAUGAAAUUUUACCAUGCUUCUAUAUAUGUUGCAGAUUACGUAGUUUACAAUCGUAACUUCAUUUCAUUACUGAUUUGCCAAAGUUCUCAUCAUUAUCAGGAUAUCCAUUUUUGUUUACUUCAUUUAGCACACAGAGUGCAUAUUGCUCUCCAAGUUCAGUACUCUGAAUGGAACAAUAUGUGGUUCCGGGCCUGCACAUGUCAAUUUCCUAAUAGAGGUAUGUUUUGUUUUUCAUCAUUUAUGUUUCGCAACUUAGUUUUGGUAUGCUCUCUCAACCUGAGAAUAGUUUUCUUAUGGAGAUGGUACUUGAGAAUAGAUUAGUACAAUGAAGCCUUGGGUUGUAGGCCGAGCUCUUCUAGUGGCGCAACUACAUACUGCCCAUCGGCUCCGGCGGUGGUAGGUCAUGUUUGGCAUCUCCAGGACCUUUGUUAGCCUAUCCUAGAGGGCAGUCCGUGGUAGAUGCGGCGAGGGUGCAUGCGCCGGAGCAGAUGACUAAUUUGAUUUUAAGUUCAAUGUCAAUAAAAAGAGGUAUGAGAAUAACUUAUUGUACAACUUUGGUCAUUAGGAAAAGCUAAUUUACGGUUGGUUGCAUAUUGUUCUUAUGAUGAUGUGUUCUAUAUCAUUUGUAUUAAAUGGACCUCCCUUCCCAUUCAGGUUGUUUUCUUCAGCUACCUAGAGGAGCUCACUGAUAUUGUGGCAAUAAUCUAACCAUCAGUCCCGUUGAUUGAGUAUAGGUGUGUGCCUCGACCUCCACAUUAAAUGAAAAACCUUCCUAUUGUAUGUAGUUGAUCUACAUGUGUUUAUAAUCCAUAAGGGGAUAAGAAAGAUCAAUAAGAUAUUCUAUUGGUGAAUUCUUUAACUCUUGUCUUUUCCCCCCUUUUAGUUGGAGCAGCUACAAAAUGGACUUGAAAGGUUUAUGUAGAUUUAUCAGCCAACAAGCAUGGAUAAAGUACAACCAAGAAACACUGUAAUGCAUCCGCAGGCAGUUCCGUCCUUUAUGAUAUGUGACGAUUGAAAUCUUGCUUUUAUUUCCGGACUAAAUAUUUUCUUCUGGGCGUGGGUCUAUGAUACGUCUCCAACGUAUCUAUAAUUUUUUAUUGUUCCAUGCUGUUUUAUUAUCAACCUUGGAUAUUUUAUAAUCAUUUUAUAGUCAUUUUAUAUCAUUUUUUGGUACUAACCUAUCGACAUAGUGCCAAGUGCUAGUUGCAGUUUUCUGCAUGUUUUUUACAUCGCAGGAAAUCAAUAUCAGACGGAGUCCAAAUGCCACGAAACUUUACGAUGAUUUUUUAUGGACCAGAAGGAUGAAGUUGGGCCCUGGUAGCACCUGGAGGGAGUCCCGAGGAGGGGACAACCCAUCAGGGUGCGCCAGGAGGCCCAGGCGUGCCCUGGUGGGUUGUGCCCACCUCGGGUGCCCCCUGGACCGCCUCUUUGCUCUAUAAAUAACCCAAAAAUCCAGAAACCCUAGGGGAGUCGACGAAAUAUUCAUCCAGCCGCCGCAGAGUCCAGAACCACCAGAUCCAAUCUAGACACCAUCACGGAGGGGUUCACCACUUCCAUUGGUGCCUCUCCGAUGAUGCGUGAGUAGUUCUUUCUAGACCUUUGGGUUCAUAGUUAGUAACUAGAUGGCUUUCUCUUUCGCGCGAAUUCUCAAUACAAUGGUCUCUUGGAGAUCCAUAUGAUGUAACUCUUUUUGUGGUGUGUUUGUUGGGAUCUGAUGAACUUUGAGUUUAUGAUCAGUUAUAUCUUUUUAUAUCCAUGAAAGUAUUUGAGUUUCUUUGAUCUCUUUUAUGCAUGAUUUCUUAUAGCCUCGUAUUUCUUCUCCGAUAUUUGGGUUUUGUUUGGCCAACUUGAUCUAUUCUUUAUCUUGCAAUGGGGAGAGGUGUCCGGUAGUGGGUUCGAUCUUAUGGUGCUUGAUCCCAGUGACAGAAAGGGAACCGACACGUAUGUAUCGUUGCUACUAAGGAUAAAAAUAUGGGAUCUAUAUCUAACGCAAUAGAUAAACGGAUCUUGUCUACAUCAUGUCAUCGUUCUUAUUGCAUUACUCCGUUUUCCCAUGAACUUAAUACACUAGAUGCAUGUUGUAUAGCGGUCGAUGUGUGGAGUAAUAGUAGUAGAUGCAGGCAGGAGUCGGUCUACUAAUCUUGGACGUGAUGCCUAUGUAAUGAUCAUUGCCUGAAUAUCGUCAUAAUUAUUUGAGGUUCUAUCAAUUGCCCAACAGUAAUUUGUUCACCCACUGUUUGCUAUCUUUCUCGAGAGAAGCCACUAGUGAAACCUACAGCCCUCGGGACUUCUUUCUCAUAUAUUUGCCUUGCGAUCUACUUUUUCUUGUGUUUAUUUUCAGAUCUAUUAAACCAAAAAAUACAAAAAUACCUUGCUGCAAUUUAUUCUUAUUUAUUUUGUUUGGCGUGCGAUCUAUCAAAUUACUACAAAUUCCUCACGUCCGUUUUGCCUAUCUUGAGGCGCCGUACCCCGGAAGGGGUUGACAACCCCUUUAACACGUCGGGUUGCGAGAAGUUGUUCUUUGUGUGCAGGUGAUGUUUAUGUUGUGUUGCUUGGUUCUCCUACUGGUUCGAUAACCUUGGUUUCAUAUCUGAGGGAAAUACCUACCGCCGUUGUGCAGCAUCAUCCCUUCCUCUUUGGGGGAAAACCGACGUAGCUUCAAGCGACAUCAGUGUGCAUAUCACAGAGAGAAGCUUCUGGUGUAAGCAACCCGAUCUUCCUCCACAAGCUACAAGAGAAGCUUACAACGCAAGGUUCCCUAGUCAUCCUCAGUACGAUAUGUGGAUGACUUCCCGUCCAAGAUAACCAGCCUUCUUCAGUAAACUACUGCAGAAACCUUCCGGCAUGAGUCACCAAAUCUUCCUCGGUAAGAAACUAGGAGGAGAAGCUUCUAAAAUAAGAUACCCAGUCUUCUUCGGCAAGCUGCCCUGAUGAAAGCUUCGAGCAUAAGCUAUUCAGUUUUCUUCACCAAGAUACUCUUGAUAGCUUACAACACAAGCUAUCCAAUCUUCCUCAGUACAGAACUACAAACAGUUUAGCAACAAUGGUACAAGAUAUUACACAAUGAAUUGGCAGCGAAUCUCAAGAAUCAAGCAAACAACAGAUUGGUCAAAAACACGAGCUAGUCGAGACACAAGUCUGUCUCCUGAAUCAAAUGUUCAGCUACACAUACUUCCAUAUACAUUGUGAGCAUGCUGCUGAUACGCCUCCAUCGUAUCUACUUUUCCAAACAUUUUUGCUCUUCUUUUGGACUCUAAUUUGCAUGAUUUGAAUGAAACCAACCCUAACUGGCGUUGUUUUCAGCAGAACUACCAUGGUGUUAUUUUUGUGCAGAAAUAAAAGUUCUCGGAAUUGGACAAAACUUUUUGGAGAUUUUUUAUGGAAAAUAUAAAAAUAUUGGAACCAAGAUAUACUAGAGGGGGGCCACCUGCUGCCCAUGAGGCACCAGGGUGCGACCCCCCAGGGCACGCCUGGUGGCUUGUGGGGCCCAGCUCCGCUGACCCUAACCUCAGCACUAUAAAUUCAUUCCCCGAGAAAAAAUAAGAGAAAAAGUUUCAUCGCGUUUCACGAUACGGAGCCGGAUACCCCAAGGUGACAAUAAUUGGGAUUAUUUCCGGUGAUUACCGUAAUUUGAGGAGUUCAUGUAUUCACUAAGUGCUAAUGCUUAGUUCCGGUUCUCUAUUGAAAGGAGGCCUUAAUAUCCCUUAGUUUCCAAUAGCACCCCGCUGCCACGGGAGGGUAGGACAAAAGACGUCAUGCAAGUUCUUUUCCAUAAGCACGUAUGACUAUAUACGGAAUACAUGCCUACAUUACAUUGAUGAAUUGGAGAUAGUUCUGUGUCGCCCUAGGUUAUAACUAUUACAUGAUGAAUGUCAUCCAACAUAAUUAUCUAUCACCGAUACCAUGCCUAUGAGCUUUUCACCUAUUGAUUGUUGCUAAGUUACUACUGUUGCUGCUAUUGUUACAAUCACAACAAAACUGCUACUGCUGCUAUUACUGUUACUGCUGCUAUUGUUACCACUCCUAUCAAAACUAUCAUACUACUAUGCUACUGAUCACUUGUUGCAGAUAUUUAGUCUCUAGAUGUGGUUGAAUUGACAACUCAACUGCUAAUACUUGCAAAUAUUCUUUGGCUCCCCUUGUGUCGAAUCAAUAAAUUUGGGUUGAAUACUCUACCCUUGAAACCUGUUGCGAUCCCCUAUACUUGUGGGUUAUCAGCUGCCCAGGUCAGGCAAGUCACUCGUACGAGGAUGCAAUUCUGUUCAAGUUGAUCCACCGAAGGAAGUUGAGAAUCCAACAGCCACAUGAGUUAUGCAAGAAGAAGAAAGCCAGUAUACACCUUAGUGUGAUGCAAGGACCGACAAGGUAUGGAGUAAGACAGCAUUGGACAACAAUCUUGGCAGUUGUUAUCAAGGCCAGCUUACUCACUCACGACAAGGCGAUAUCAUUAACCCUUGUCACUAUCUGGUAUGAUUGCCGACAAAAAUGAGCUUUAUGCAUGUACAUGUGAACCUGGUGUAUUUCCUAUGACACGAUUCAUGAACAAGGAUAAGGUAUGAUUGCCGGAAUAUUGCCCCUGAUAGUACCUAUGAUCACACGCAGAAGUAAUAUGGCCAAGUUCUUUCGGCAAAAGCUUCAGAAAAAGAGGACAAUACUGAAGGAGCAAGACCGGCAACACCGGGAUGAUAAUUUUUGCAUAAACAACAUGGUACGGAUGCUCAAGACAGUCUUAUUCCGUAACAAUUACGAGGAACAUACGCCCAAGGGGUCUACUCUGUUUUGGUAAGGACCUCACAUCAAGGUAACCCGCUUGUCCAAAUUUGAAUGCCUAGAAUUGUCAGUCUGGAAUAUCCAAGUCUGUUAACUCAAAGAUUCCUUACCCAGCUCCACAGUUUGACUUCAGCGACCGUGUUAAAAUAUCGCACGGCCUACUACCCCAUGUGAGUAUACCGGCAGAAUGAGUAAUCAGAAUGAUGAAUAACAAGCUCACAUUAUGUGUCCUUACAUAUGGAAACCAGCGAAAAGAUAGCAUGUAAGGAACAAAAUUCUUCUGUCAGAACCCUCGUCUGUCAAGUCGGUGGAUACUAUCGUUAUAAGGUUGUACACCUUUAUGCUAGUCACAACAUUCGACAGUCAAAUCUUUGGUAUGGAUUUGAUACUCAAGACUAUGGAGCUAGCCAAGAUGAUUCAGAAAUCCCUGCGAGAAGUCAGAUUCCGUGAGGAGAACGGUUAUGAUUCCCAACACUAUUUUGAACCUGGAAGACGUGCACCUAUUUGAGAAACAUGAUGCAAGGAUUAAAAGGUUUCGUGUUCACCAAGAAAAUUGUUCACAACUCCAUUGGAUACUAUCAGUGCUGGAUAUAAGAAUGACAUGUCACUUGGAAAUCACUCCCACACUUAUGGAAAGAUGAUGUAUUCGAGUCAUGAUAAUAUAUCAGCCGACUCAGCAGACACAAAAGAAAUUGGAGUCAGUGUAAGGUUGAACAUAGGAGGUAAGACCUGUCAGAAGGAGGAUACGAUGAAGCAAACCACCCUAGAGCAAGGUAAACAGAUCUUAUGAAAUUCAGUGGGAACAUCAUAUAAUGGAAAAGGAUACCCGAGUUGGAAACGGUUUCCUUAAGUCAUAUUCAUACUUGUUCCCUAAGCUACCAAAUCUCAAGGACAAGAUUUUUCAUAAGGGGGUAGAGUUGUAACACCCCGAUUUUUGGCCCUUUCUUUUUCUUAUGCAUUUCCUUGAAUUUUGCUUUGGAUUCCUUUUGUGUGGCUCUGUGGUCUGGAAACCCGGGAAGAAUAUCUCUUCUUCAUUCCCCAAGUGGCUUGUCCUCCUCAAAUCCAUCCUAGAUCAUGUCAUUUCCAUCUUAGCCCAAACCCAAAUUCUUUUUCUUCGGGAUAUUCCUUUUUCUAUUAAAGGAAAAAUCCUUUUGCCCUAGGUUGUGAAGCAACCUACCUUUCUAUUAUUCCCAAAAUUCCCACAAAAUUCUCAAAAUUCCUUUGGACGAUAUGAACCUUGGAUAUGCAAAAAUAUUCAAGAUUCCAUGCUCAUGGUGAGCACACCAUCCAAUCUUUGAUUCUGGUCAUAUUUUUAGAUUGUGAAGCAACUAUAUUUUAUAUUUCUCAAUAAUUUCUAAAAACUUACCAGGACAUUCUCCUACCUUUAUAAUAUUCGUCAACAAAAUCUGAGCUCAUUUCAUUCAUCCAAUAAUUCUCAAGAAUUUUCCCAACAUUCUGUCCAGCAGGCAUCACUGUGAAGCAAGUACCAUUUUUAUUUAUCCAAAUGGUAUGAAAUUUUUACAGUGCCUUCAUAUGCCCAAAUAAUAACUCUCCACCAAAUUUCAGCCCAAUCCAACACUCCAUUUGAGUGUAGCAUCUAGACCUAGUUUCUGGACCAGAUUUGUAGUUGUGAAGUAACACCAUUCAAACUUGGUCCAAAUCAUCUCAAAUUUCACAGGAUUGUAGUCCUUCCUACCUUAAGCUUGUGUGACACCUUUUUACUCCAUUUAACCAUCCCAUUUUACUUCAGCUACUGGCCCAAGUUUGCUAUAGCAAACUUUAGUUGACCCAUCCCAUCACCCCAUGGUGUCUUUAGUCGAACCAUCACUUUAGAGAGACCCCAUUUUGGAAGGACCACAUGCUGGACAUGACCGACCAUGCUGAGUCACCAUACAUGCGUCAACGCAUGCGGUGACUAGGUGGUCUGGCAUGCCAAAAGUGUGCUCUACUCAUUUGGCCACGCCCCAAGUGUCGUUUAGCUUCGGCCCCUCCUCUGCUCGUCGAUCCCGCGCACCCCACCAUGUCCCAGAGCUCCGUGGCAGCCAUGUGCUCUCUCUGUAGCCUGCCCCCCUUCUCUUUCCUCCCCGACGUGCCACGGUGACCCAACUCGCGGCACUGUUCGGCCAUGGUAUCCGACCGAACUUUGCCCCUCCCGGGUCUGCCCUCCUAUGAUGCUCCACUAGCCCCCUCUCGUCGCCAUCAACCCCUCCUCGCGAGUCCAGGCAUCCACGGUGGUCCCUAGCCACGGCGCUGUCGCCCCAGCUAUAUAAGCUGUACCAAAGCCCCUCGAGCUCGCCAUCAUCUCCCUCUCAUUCCCAUAGCCCUCCCCGACCUCUUUAGCGAGCUCGAGGAGCUCUCAUUCCCUCCAAUGGCCGUCGUCUCCGCCGUCAGCCCCUUCCUAAAUUGGAGCCAUGGCGAGAUCCUCCCCUCCUUUUUUCCCUCCAGAGAGCUCCCUCGGUCAUGACGGAGCCCUGCUCCUCUUCCUCCUCGCCUAUUGCGGCCGUAGCACCGAGCCCAACACCGGCUGAUGCCGUCGUCCGUCGCGGACGAGGCUCUUCUCAUUCCCGAGCUUGCCAGUAAUCACGAAGCGUCCAGGCAGAUGCGCCUCCUCGCGCUGGUCGCUCCGGUGGUCUGAGCUCCGCCGAAGGUGGCCGAAGCUGCUGGGACGAGCGCCGGCGCGCGUUGCCCACCUCUGUCCCACAAGCAACGACUGGAGGAAGAAGAUGAGCACCCCCUACCUGUGAGACCCGUGGUCCCACUCGCUAGCCUCUGCGUGUUGACCACGCUGGCCCGCUGAAGUGGAUAAGUGGAGACGCAUUCUGCUUGUCUAUUUCUUCGUUUCCUAAAGACGUAUUCCUCUGCAGCUUCGGCGCAGAAUGCGCUUUCACUUUACUGAAGGCGUAUUUUAUGAAAGUGCCUUUUAGUUCCACCUCAUUGGCGGAAACCUCUAAUUUGCGGGCGUUCGUCCGUUAGCAGCAGAAAAGCUCACUUUUUAUUUGUUUUUCUGCCUAAAAAACGAACGACCGUAUCUCCGCAACCGUAACUCCAAAUCAAGUGAUUAAAAAGCCACAUUCUCUAUUUGUCGAGCCCGUUCUAUUGAUAUCAUUUUCACUAUGUUGUCGCAUACUAAAAAUGACCAUUUUUCCCUUGCCCUCUAAUCAGCUCCACUAGGAGAGAAACUUUUUCGGCGAAUAUUUCUGCAAGUUCACCGCACUGCUUCCCGAUGAUUCCUUCAUCCUGAGGCAAGCCAUGACAGCCACUUGCAUGAUGGCCUUUCAAUAGCCAUGGUUUCCACUUGAAAUUUUUGAAUAAUUGUGUGCUCAUUUACUUAUUAUGAAAAUGCUAUGUAUAUGCUUGUGGAUCCAUGCUAUUCCUUAUGCCAUGUUCAUUUGCAUCUAGUCAGUUAAAUGAUGAUGUGAUACUGUUAUUAUCAUAUUUAAUUCUUAUAAUUAAUCCUGAUGCUAGUGAUCAUGGUAUGCUUAUAUGAAUGGUUACUGUUUAACAUGAAAAUACUAGUAAGAUUCAUGAUCAUAUCUAUACCCUGCUCAUUUGCAUCCAGUAAAGUAAAUGAUUUGUUGUUGUUGAUGUUAUGAUUCAUAUGUCAAAUGAUUAUUAUGCCCAUCCAUGCAAAUGUUGAUUUCAUGCUCAUAUGCAUUGUCAUGUUAUUAUAUUUUGUUAUGACUCAGCUCAUCACCAUUCAAGUUAAACCUGAUAUUAAUCAAACUUGAACACCUGUUGGCUGAGUCAUGGUGCCACCGAAUCGAGCUCACUAGUGCAACCACACUUGCCUGGAUGGGGAGGCCCUAAUCCGGUCUAUUGUCAUGCCUCUCGCCGGUGCCUCCAACUAGGGAAGGUUAUGUGCACGCGCUACCCUUGCCCGGUAGGCGGCAAUAACCUUGUGAGCCUGCUACUUGUGAACCGCGUCAGUGAAUUCCCCGAAGAGGAGGGGAUGAUGCAGCAUAGCGAAGGUAAGUAUUUCCCUCAGUUAUGAAACCAAGGUUAUCAAUCCAGUAGGAGAACCAAGCAAGUUAUGUAGACGACACCUGCACACAAACAACAAAUACUCGCAACCCGAUGCGUAGAGGGGUUGUCAAUCCCUCUUGGGUAAAGUGAUAUGAUAAAUAGAUAGAUUGAUAGAUGCAAGUAGAAUAAAAGGAAAUAAAACUCAGCGAAAUAUUUUUGGGUUUUUUAUAAUAUAGAUCUGAAAUAAAAGAAGCAAAUAAAUUGGACAAGCAAGUAGCAAUAUAGAUAUGAAAGUAUACGAUGAGUAGCAGACCGAGGGGCCGUAGAUUUCACUAGUGGCUUCUCUCGAGAAAUAGCACACGGUGGGUAGACAAAUUACUAUUGGGCAAUUGAUAGAAAAGUGAAUAAUUAUGACGAUAUCCAAGACAAUGAUCAUAGGCAUCACGUCCAAGAUUACUAGACCGAAACGAUUCUGCAUCUACUACUAUUACUCCGCACAUCGACUGCUAUCCAGCAUGCAUCUAGUGUAUUAAGUUCAUGGAGAAACGGAGUAAUGCUUUAAGAACGAUGACAUGAUGUAGAUAAUAUCUAUUCAUUUAGGAAUAGACCUCAUCUUUUUAUCCUUAAUAGCAACAUACAUGCGUGUCAUGUCUCCUUCUGUCACUGAGAUUGAGCACCGCAAGAUCAAACCCAUUACAAAGCACCUCUUCCCAUUGCAAGAUAAAUCAAUCAAGUUGGCCAAACAAAACCGAAAUAUCAAAGAAGAAAUACGAGGCUAUGAUAAUCAAGUAUGGAUAUGAAUGCAAAUAGAUCUAAUCAUAAACUCACAAUUCAGCGGAUCCCAACAAACACACCGCAAAAGAGUUACAUCAAAUAGAUCUCCGAAGAGAACAUUGUAUUGAAGAUCAAAAAGAGAGAGAAAGCCAUAUAGCUACUGCCUACGGACCCGUAGGUCUGAGGUGAACUACUCACGCAUCAUCGGAGGAGCACCAAUGAGGAUGAUGAACUCCUCCGUGAUCAUGUUCCCCUCCGGCGGAGUGCCGGAAAAGGGCUCUAGAUUGGAUCUCAUGGCUCUGGAACUUGCAGCGGCUGAAACAAUUUUUCGUCGACUCCUCUAGGGUUUCAGGAAUAUUGUGGUAUUUAUAGAGUCAGAGGUCGAUGGAACGGAGUCCCAUGGGCUCCACUACCCACCAGGGAGCGCCAGGGGCCUGGGGCGCACCCUGGUGUCUAGUGGGCCCCAUGGGUCUCCCCUCGUGCGGUCCCUUGACUCCCUGGAUGUCUUCUAGUCCAAAAAAUCUCCAAAAAGUUUUGUUGCAUUUGGAGUCCGUUUGAUAUUGAUUUUCUGUGAACAAGCAAAAAAACAGCAACUACCACUGGGCACUAUGUCAAUAGGUUAGUCCCAAAAAAUGAUAUAAAGUUGCUAUAAAUGAUUAUAAAACAUCCAAGAAUGAUAAUAUAAUGGCAUGGGACAAUCAAAAAUUAUAGAUACGUUGGAGACGUAUCAGAGCCCAUGAUUGGUAUUGUGCACAUGUCCCCGUUUGGGACCGUUUUUGUUUUAUAACGACGGUGGCCGACCACGAAGGUGGCAGAUGUCCAGAGUGGGCAUCCAGGGCCGCCCAUGACAUAGCCCAAAAUGGAGUUUGUCGGAGUGGCCGGGAGAGUGUCAUGUAAUAGAUCGUUUUUGUCAGAAUGUCCUUGGUCCACCUGAAUAAGAGCACGAGGCCAUGAAUUUCGUGGUGUGGGUACAGUGUACUAACCUCUGCAGAGUGUAUAAUCUAUUGAUAGUCGUGCCCUCGGUCAUGGGCACAGUUCGUAGUAGGUCGCACUGUGGGUCAACAGUAAUAAUAAUCUGACUAAUAAACAACCCUACUUCGAUGAGGAGAGAAGUUGGUUGAUCUUUAUGUGGUCACGAGAAGAUCACGAUGGUAUUAUUGAUGAUGGUUGAUCAUGAGGUGAUCAUGUGAUGAUCACGACGGUAAGAAAGAUUGGCAUAUAUAUGGUGGUUACGAGAUAACCUCCGAGAAGAGUAAGUUGGUCCAAGAGACCUUAAACAUCGACCCCCUCACAUGCAUUAUCCUCAAGUUCAUAUCAUGAGUAACAUGUUCAUGCCAUGCUCAUCUCAUAUUGUUCUAGCGGUAUCAUGCUCAUCAUUGUUUAACCAAUAUAUGCCAUGUUGUUGUUUUUCUUGAUUGCUUUGGUUGUUGUGAGCUUGCGAGUACAUUCAGAGUACUCACCUGGCAUGUCAUGCCAUGAUUGCUUGCUUGUCGAGGAUCCCAAGUUUCGCACAAGGAUGCGUUCCAGCCAGAGUCCCCGCGGAGUGGAGUUCAUCACCAUUGUCGUUGUUCCGCUACUACGAGUUGUCCCAUUGCUAGCAUCGAGCUACCUUAGCAGGCGUAGUGUCGCCAUGCCGAUAUAAUCCUUUGUAGUAUCAGAACCUUUGUACCCAUAUCAUUUGUAAUAAAGAGCUGAUUUGUUUUGUGCCAAGUAGUGCCAUAUUCCAAAAGACUUGAUCUCUGGGCUAGAAUAUGGGGUGUUCUGGUUCCUCUGAGCCGGGGUGCCACAUAAUUAGUGUUAUCCCACUCUAGGCCCAUGAAUCUAUGGUUGAAGUGACGAAUAUGAGCUGGCCUGGUGAUGACAUCGUCUUCUCCCUGAUUCGUCCGCUUGUCUGCCAGUGCAACACGAUCUGCUACCAUGGCAACACUUUUGCCUUUGGUUGCUAUGGCAGUUGUUUCGUUGCUCGCCUCGAUAUCUUUAGUCGAGACUCUGACAUUCCCUCCUCCUUUACUUGAGGCUUGCCCCAAGCCGGCAGAUGAGGAAAGCGAGACUGAAGAGAAACAACAUCCUCCCAACUAGCGUCCAUCACUGCAGAAUCAGACCAAUGUACCAGUAGUUGCUCUCGGCGCCCAGCGGGUGUUUGGCGCCAUCAGGUUUGAAUAAUCUACACUAGAGCAAGACCAGUCGUCGAGGGUACUGGCAGGGUUGUGGAAGCAGAUCUACCCAAAGAGAGAGCUUGACACAUUUGAGAGACAUGAAAAUGGGUUGGAUCUUCGAACCUGGAGGAAGGCUGAGCUCAUAUGCGACUUGGUUGAUAGCACGCAACACCUUGAAAAGCCCAAAGUACUUGAAUGACAGCUUAUGGUUGGCAUUGUUGUUAACUAAACUUUGCACAUACAAUUGCAGUUUAAUGUAUACUUCAUCUCUAGAUUUAAGGAGUGAUGAGUGUGUUUCUUAUCCGACUGUACAUUCAUGAUGUGACGAGCUUGGUGUAGAUAUUGUUUCAACACUUGUUGCAUGGUUUUUCUUUCUUCGAGCCAUUCUUUCAGGACAGGAAUCUUACAAGUAGACACGGCUUCAAUGCCUCAAUGGCACGGUUUGUGGCCAUAUAGGGCAUGGAACGGUGACAUGUCCAGGGCAGAGUGAUAGCUCGAGAUGUACCAAAACUCAGCCAGUGGAAGGAAUUGACUCGAGUGAUUUGUGCGGGCAUGGAUAAAACAACGCAAAUAGAUUUCCAAGCAUUGGUUGACACACUCAGACUGACCGUCCAUUUUCGGGUGCUAUGCAGCAGAAUAGGAUUAACCAAAAGCAGUAACAUGCUACACUACUUCAAUGCAAGCAAUAGAGAGAAGGAAUAGGCGAUAUCUGGUGAUCAAGGGGGGGUCUUGCCUGGUUGCUCUGGCAAGGGGGGGUCGUCAUCAACGUAGUCGAUCGGGCACCAGCAACGGCGUCAGUCUCGUAGUCUACCGGAGAGAAGAGGGGGAAGAAACAAUAAAUACGGAGCAAACAAAGCAUCACAAAACAUAACGAGGUAAUACGCGGUGCCAGGGGUGAUCUAACGCAGGGAUAGGUGAUAUCGGCGAAGGGGGGAAACAUCCGGGAAAGUAUUCCCGGUGUUUCGCGUUUUCGGACAGAUGAACCGGAGGGGGAAAGUUGCGUGUUCACUAUGCUAGGGAUGUGUGGCGGACGAACGGGCUAAGUAUUUGGAUUCGUCUCGUCGUUCUGAGCAACUUUCAUGUACAAAGUAUUUUCAUCCGACUUAUAGAUUAUUUUAUAUGAUUUUUCAAAGUUUUUAAACAUUUUCUGAAAUUCCUGGAAUUAAAUUAAUUCGAAAAUAAAUUAAACGCUAAAUGCUAUGGGUACACAGAAGUGUACCCAGAGAUGUGCAUGUGUGGCUGACAAUGGGGCCCAGUUGACUGGGUCAACUGCCUAGUCGGCAGAGGCUGAUUGGUGGGGCCAGGGGGCUGAGUCAGCAGUCAAUAAUUUGACUAUUGACUAGUCAAAUCUGACCAAUAGGUCCCAUUGUCAGUGACUGUUAUACACAAAACAAGUUUAAUUAAUCUGGUUAAAUAGCUAGGGGCCCACUUGUCAUUCCUCGUUAGCUUAAGUAAAUUAGUUAGUUACGUUAAUUAAUUAAGUGGGCCCAGAGGUCAGUGUCACAUGGGUGGAUUACGGAGGUUACCUUAGGCCUAACCAUCGUGGUUAGCACCGGGACCCACAGGGAGUGGCCCAACCGGCCAGUUUAAACAGUGCACGUGCCGGCGACGAGGCCCGACGCAGCGGCGGUGGUGGGAAUAUGGCCUCCGGCGACCCUUUGGACCGCGGAGUGGCUCGUUCGAACCGGAGGAGCAACGCGCGUGCAACAACGGCCUAGGUUCGAGCAGGGGGAUGGGCUACCACGGCGAUAGCGACGGCGUGCAGCGGCAAGGCAACGGGCCAGCCGACGCGGUGGUGCUCGCGCGGGGACAGAGGGGAGAGGGAGCCGGCGCGGGACGAGGAGACGCGGCGUGACGGGCGUGCAGCGCGUGCAGGGAGCACGGUGAGAGCGAGGCUCGGACGGGCACGGCGGCGAUCUACCAGGGAGGAUGAGGGGAAGGGAAGGGGGCCUCACAGAGCCCUGUAGUUGAGCGACGCGUGCUCGAGGAGGACGAGGAGGCGAUGACGAUGGUGGGCGGCUCCGGCGAAGCAGUGGCAGGACGAGGCGGCGACGGUGUGCGGCGGAGCGGUCCGGCGAGGGGCACUGGCAUGGUGGCGACAGGAAUCGGCGGUGUGGCGCAGCGUGGCUUGGGGAGGCCGUCCAGCGCGAGGUGAGGAGGGGGCGGUCAGCGUCGGGACGAGGGCGGCACCGGGCCCUCCCGAUCCAGAUCCAGCGAGAGAGGGGGGAGGGGAACGAGAGAGAGACGUGGGGAGAGUGGGGAGUGGGCUAGGGUUCGGUUAGAUGGGAGGGGGUUAAGCAGGGCAGUGGGAGAGGCCGGCUGGGCCAGGUGGGCCGGUUGGCCACCUGGGCCAGUUGGACCAAAGGGGUGCUUCUCCCUUUUCCUUUUCUUUUGUCUUUGUUUUUUAUUUAUUAUUCUCUCUUCUUUGUUUUCUAUUAUAGUUCAUUUACGUUUAGUUUUAUAAAAUACCAAGUUAGCACCCAAAUUAGUAUCAUUAAUAUAAGCCACUGCCAAACUUAGUUUGGACCCAAAGUAAAUUAGUUUAAUAUUGCUAUAAUUUAAAAAUCUAUUAUAUUAUUAUUUUAGCCACUGUUCUAACUAGUUUAGGGCAUUUAACACUUUACAAAAAUUUGGUUUCUCCGCCAUAAUUACUAACGAAUUAUUAGUCACGUCCAGAAUAUUUUGGUUUUAAUAUUUGAAAACUUUUAUUGUUUACCUUGAAUUUGAAUUUGGAAUCCGAACGGGGUUGAAUCAUCGCGAGACUAACAACGGUAAUCAUGGUGACGUGGCAUUGUUAGCAGAGAUUACUGUAGCUUAAAUAUCCGGGUGUCACAAUUCUCCUCCACUACAAGAAAUCUCGUCCCGAGAUUUAAGAGGUAGAGUAGGGGGGAUUUUGGUUACGAAAUUCUAACGGAUCUUCUGGGCCUUGGUUGCUCUUCUCGAAGAGGUCGAUCCAUUACAUUGAUGCUUCAUUUCUCUGUUUCGGGUAAUUAUGAGGAAGUCGGCAUCCUUUCUUCGGGAACUCCUUCGUACUUACGAAUAGGAAAGGGGCAGCUUCAAAAGGACAGACCUCUACAAGGUUGCUUAUCUGGUAGAUAAUAUUAGGGAAGGUGGCAGAAAGUAACUCUCGACUUGAAACUUAAGAAAUUAUCGAGAUCAAAGUAAUAAGGUGCACAUUAGAAGUUUCAAGCGCAUAGGCAAUCGUUCGUUGCCUCAUACGAAACGUGAAAGGGGUUCAGAGCAAUAGGAAUAAGUAUUGCGUCUGAUACCAGAAUAGAUUACUAGGCAGGUGGCCCGUAAAUUACAUACGAAGUCAAGCUCGAGGAAUAACUUUGGCAAUAAGGUCUUAAAGAGAGUCAGGUUUCGAUCUUGUGGAACUGUGGGUUAUGGGCCCACCAUGUGGGUUAAGAUUAGAAAGGGGGUUGACAUCUUGCGCGGUCACGAUAGCAAGGCAUGUCAGAGGGUAGCCUGCCAGCUAUGUUGGCAACAACGUUGGUACCAAGGGCGAGGGACGAAGAGAACCAUUCUCCUGCUCAUUGAACGAGGCAGACCAAUAGGCAAGGUUCUCGUACAUCGAUGGCUACCGGAAUGUCAUCAACAAUAGUAACAGGGUCUUAUUUACAGAGUAGUACACCGAGGUGUUUACAUAAGCAGUGAAUUAUUACUGCUUAGAUCAUAUAGAUCACAAGAAAGAUUAAACAAAAUAAUGGAAAGGAAAAGGUGAUCAUCAUAUUAAACAGAACAAUGGAAAGGAAAAUGUGUUCAAACACAUAUUUCAAGGGUAUAUCCUUCCCAAGGACAAGCUGAGCAUGAUAUCCAUGACAGGAUAUAACGUAGAAAACUCUUUAGGUAGGGGAGAGAAAUUUCAUGACAUUACCCAUACAACGGUGUUUGGAUAAUUGAGCAAGAAUCAUUUAGCAUUGGAAUUCAAAUGUUAUUGUUAAAAAAAUCGAAGUACCACAGACAUGCUUCGAGAUAGCAUUGACAUGGUCUUCAAGCAAAGGUUGGACUUGGAUAUACAAAGGAUUCAUCAGGAACAACUUAUAGAAUAAGUCUUACAAUUUCCUCAUGGAAGAAUGGUUAACCUUGCUAAAAUGGAAACUAUAACAAUAGGGCCUCCGGCCAGGUGUGCUAGUCACGACAUCACCUUACGGGUCACAUAAAGACCAAAGUUACGACUUUUGGAAAAUGUCCCAACCAUCAUAUCUGACCGAGAUACAGUUCGGAUUGAUGUCAGGAUACCUGAGAAGAAAAGGUGCAACAUAAAUUGACGAGACGACAUUGUAAGAUUCUCGGUAAAUGAACUAUGGAAGCAAGUUCCGAAUCAUGAGUUCAUUAUUAAAUCAAGGAGAGAAUGAGGAGGUGGCUGAUGAACUCAGCGACAAUUUAUCGAGAUUUCCAAAAGAAGGAUUUCCACAAUUAUGUGAACAAGGAGAUAGCUUUUGUCUGUUCAAAUGAUAUAAUGAGGUAUGCUCGAGGAAACAUACACGAUUAAACAUUGGUUGACGGUGCACCCGAAAUACGGACUUGGGUAGCACAAACAAAGUUAGAAUGGCGAUUCAAUAACCAAUGGUCUAAGAAUGAAAUGUUGACCAUUAACUUCAAAGCAAUAAGGUUGCUAGAAGUUUUAAAAUUACUAGUCCAUCUGUCGGUAUUCCUGUUAGGAACAACACGGGGACCAAGAAAGGAAUGGUGAUGGUGAAGUAUCACUUAUAUCAAGAAUUCUCAAGAGGUGUAGAAAUUCUCACAACAUCCUUGACAAAAAGGCAGUAAUACUUCAAGGUACAUCAUAAUACGAGCUGGAUAGCAAGUUGCAUCCAUAACAUGAACAAGUUUGUGAUGAAAGGAAGGUAAGGAUGUUGUUGAUGGUAACUCAAAUUACCAAGGAACGAGGAUGGCACUUAUCAUCAAGAAUUCCAUUGAUAUCCCGGAAGGAGUCAAAAUGUUGAUGAUGAUCACGACAAUUUGUUGUCGAGAGGAUCCACGAAAAAGCAAUUGAACAGCGACUGCAUCAAGCAAAAGGACUGAUGCAACAAAAGAUUAUUGGAGCCACAGAUACGACACAAACUCGAAAUCAAGCUUGCUGUUUUUAAGGCGAAAUUAUAUAAGGAGGAAGAUCGACGUAAGAUUAGCUCAUCGUCAAAAAUUGUGCUCCGGAAAGAAGGACCAGGUAGCACGGUUAAAAUUUAGCACAAUAAUGAUAUAGCCGAUCAGGCUAGGAAUGACUUGAAGGAUUACUAUACUCAUAAGCAACAAAGAUUACUUAGAGUUAUCGAACCAGAGUGCGGAAUCGGUUCACUUACCGUUGUUCUUGAGCGACUAACAACUCAGAACCCAUGAAAAAAUUGGAAUCAGUGAGAAAUAAUAGCUGAUGAAGACGCAUAAGAUGCAACACAGUUCUUAGAUAUUCUCGAGAUACUAGGGUGUAAUACUCGAUGGUAGAUCAAAGUAAAGGUUGGACACGUGAAAUGAUCUGCAGAAGACAAGUACUUCACCUUGUCUGAGAAAUGGAAUCAAAGGAGAUCAAUCAUGGUCGGAGCCACGAUUGCAAAAGGAUCAAUUCACAGAUACCAGAUGAUAUCAUAGGGAAUAAUUAUUAUUACAAGAAGCUUGCAUGAUAAGUUCCACAUCGGGUCCAUGGUCAUGAACGCAAAGGUUCAAGGUCGACUCCCACUCCUUCAAUACACAACUUCUCAUUUACUGCUCCCAGUUAGGAAUGUUUAGAGUUUGAAAGUUUAACUGGCGGAAUACCAGAAGGUCAUGACCCAUGAAGACUUUUGGGUUCACACAAAUUAAGGAAGGUAUAUGUUCAACCCAUCGGGGCAUCUUAGAAACAGAUACCACAAACUUCGGAGUAAAUAGUACAAUCUCAAAAGUAGAGUAUGGCUAUCAAAGAAGAGGAUACAAAUUGCCAAAAGCAUUAUAUAACAGGGAAAGAACUUCUCGAGGUUUUUGUAUACGAAGGACACUGUCGGAUGAUAUUUCAACAAAGGAUCCGACGGUCCAUAGCGAAGCUGAUGUGAGUAUCGACACACAACCAGAGGAAGAAACAAUGCGAAGGCAUUGGAUUAUAGAAGCAACUGGCUAAUUCAAAGCUCACAUGUAAAGGAAUUAUGAUUUCCAAAUCAAAGGAUCAGAAGCAAAUGCUCUGAUUAAGGAUGGAUAAGUUGAGAAAGCUUAGGGGUAAAAUCGACAACAAUUUUAUUGGUCGAGAUUCAGCUCAUGUUUAAAAUGACGUCUGAGCCGAAAGGAUGAAUUCUAGGAUCUGUUUGAGGAUUGUGAGCAUUCGCAACAUAUUGAAUCAAUGGACUCAAAAUGAUAGUGACAGAGGCUGCCAAUAAGAUUACUAUACUUAUGGGAUUAACCUUUAUGCAAGCGAGCAAGAAUUUCAAGAGCAAUAAGCUGCUAAGGAUUUUCGGAAGAUCGAAUAUUAUUUUGAAGACCUUAGUGAAACACAUAAACAACUGGGGAUGGGCGGAUACUCGGUAAGUGUGAGGAAUUAUUCAUACAUGUAUUCAUGAGGAAAAAGAGCUGCAAGGCAACAGACACAAAGGAUUCUCAGAAUAUCCGAAGUAUUUCAGGGUAUCUUGUAAUAACAAGAACAAUUGGAAAUGAAGUUAAGGACGACAAGUGUAUGUAGCUUCCCAUAGGGAUUUAUCGGUGGUAUGGAAUUGCAACGGCGAAGGGCACAAGGGUCUCGGGGAAACAUCGGAGAGUAUCUUCAAAAUUUUCUAGUGCAGGCGGCGAUCAUCUGGACCGAAGGGGCUCUCCGGGAGAAAGUGUUUUCGAGAACCUAAAGUUAGAUUUUAGAAAAUCAUUUAACCCGAAUAGAAGAGAGAUCCGAAUCCCAGAGUAUAGACGAGGAAUUAAAGAUCCUACUACCACCCAAAGGCGACGUGGGCCCGUAAGCCACACAGCCAUGUUAGUAAAAGUUUUGCAAUGACUAGACUCAACUUCGGCCAAGGAGUUGGGAAGCGGGAUUCCUACAGGCAGUCGGCUCUGAUACCAACUUGUGACGCCUCGAUUCAAUCGUACACUAAUCAUACACGCAAACGUGUACGAUCAAGAUCAGGGACUCACGGGAAGAUAUCACAACACAACUCUAAAAAUGAAAUAAGUCAUACAAGCAUCAUAAUACAAGCCAGGGGCCUCGAGGGCUCGAAUACAAGUGCUCGAUCAUGGACGAGUCAGCGGAAGCAACAAUAUCUGAGUACAGACAUAAGUUAAACAAGUUUGCCUUAAGAAGGCUAGCACAAACUGGGAUACAGAUCGAAAGAGGCGCAGGCCUCCUGCCUGGGAUCCUCCUAAACUAAUCCUAGUCAUCGUCAGCAGCCUGCACGUAGUAGUAGGCACCUCCAGUGUAGUAAGAGUCAUCGUCGACGGUGGCGUCUGGCUCCUGGGCUCCAGCAUCUGGUUGCGGCAACCAGGUAGAAUGGAAAGGGGGAAAAGAGGGAGAAAAGCAGCCUUGAGUACUCAUCCAAAGUACUCGCAAGCAAGGAUCUACACUACAUAUGCAUGGGUAUCUGUGUAAAGGGGCAACAUCGAUGGAUUGAACUGCAGAAUACCAGAAUAAGAGGGGGAUAGCUACUCCUGUCGAAGACUACGCUUCUGGCAGCCUCCAUCUUGCAGCAUGUAGAAGAGAGUAGAUGGUAAGUUCACCAAGUAUCAACGUAUAGCAUAAUCCUACCCGGCAAUCCUCCCCUCGUCGCCCUGUGUGAGAGCGAUCACCGGGUUAUAUCUGGCACUUGGAAGGGUGUAUUUUAUUAAGUAUCCAAUUCUAGUUGUCAUAAGGUCAAGGUACAACUCCGGGUCGCCUGUUACCGAUGACACGGCUAUUCGAAUAGAUCAACUUCCCUGCAGGGGUGCACCACAUUACCCGACACGCUCGAUCCCUCUGGCCAGGCACACUUUCCUGGGUCAUGUCCGGCCUCGGGAGAUCAACACGUCGCAGCCCCACCUAGGAUCAACAAAGAGGUCAGCACGCCGGUCUAAAUCCUAUGCGCGAGGGGUCUUGGCCCAUCGCCCAUUGCACACAUGCACAUUGCGUACGCGGCCGGAAGCAGACCUAGCCCCCUUAAUACAAGCGCGAGCUUACGGUCCAAUGCGGCGCGCGCCGCUCAGUCGCUGACGACAAAAACAGCUUCGGCUGAUACCACGACGCCGGUUGCCCAUAUCUUGUCCCACGUGGCGGUUAGUGCGUAUAAGGUCAACGACCCAACUCAGAUCAAAUACCAAGAUCUCGUUAAGCGUGUUAUUAUGAAGUAACCACGCACGCCGACCAGGGCCAGGCCCACCUCUCUCCUAGGUGGUCUCAACCUGCCCUGUUGCUCCGCCACAUAGUAACAGUCGGGGGCCGUCGGGAACCCAGACCCACCUCUACCGGGAUGGAGCCACCUGCCCCUUCAGCCCCCAUCUCAGAACAGUAUCAUAAGUAAUGUAACAGUAUAAAGUAUAUAGCAUAUGCCCGUGAUCACCUCCCGAAGUGAUCACGGCCCAGUAGUAUAGCAUGGCAGACGGACAAGAGUGUAGGGCCACUGAUGGAAUACUAGCAUCCUAUACUAAGCAUUAGGAUAGCAGGUAAAGGUAACAACUGUAGCAACAAUGACAGGCUAUGCAGCAGAAUAGGAUUAACCGAAAGCAGUAACAUGCUACACUACUCUAAUCCAAGCAAUAGAUAGAAGGAAUAGGCGAUAUCUGGUGAUCAAGGGAGGGGUCUUGCCUGGUUCCUCUGGCAAGGAGGGGUCGUCAACAACGUAGUCGAUCGGGCACCAGCAACGGCGUUAGUCUCGUAGUCUACCAGAGAGAAGAGGGGGAAGAAACAAUAAAUACGGAGCAAACAAAGCAUCACAAAACAUAACGAGCUACUACGUGGUGCCAGGGGUGAUCUAACGCAGAGAUAGGUGAUACCGGCGAAGGGAGGAAACAUCCGGGAUAGUAUUCCCGGUGUUUCGCGUUUUCGGACAAAUGAACCGGAGGGGGAAAGUUGUGUGUUCACUAUGCUAGGGAUGUGUGGCGGACGAACGGGCUACGUAUUUGGAUUCGUCUCGUCGUUCUGAGCAACUUUCAUGUACAAAGUAUUUUCAUCCGACUUAUAGAUUAUUUUAUAUGAUUUUUAAAAGUUUUUAAACAUUUUCUGAAAUUCCUGGAAUUAAAUUAAGUCGAAAAUAAAUUAAACGCUAAAUGCAAUGGGUACACAGAAGUGUACCCAGAGAUGUGCAUGUGUGGCUAACAAGGGGGCCCAGUUGACUGGGUCAACUGCCCAGUCGGUAGAGGCUAACUGGUGGGGCCAGGGGGCUGAGUCAGCAGUCAAUAAUUUGACUAUUGACUAGUCAAAUCUGACCAAUAGGUCCCAUUGCCAGUGACUGUUAUACACAAAACAGGUUUAAUUAAUCUGAGUAAAUAGCUAGGGGCCCACUUGUCAUUCCCUGUUAGCUUAAGUAAAUUAGUUAGUUACUUUAAUUAAUUAAGUGGGCCCAAAGGUCAGUGUCACAUGGGUGGAUUAGGGAGGUUAGCUUAGGCCUAACCAUCGUGGUUAGCGCCGGGACCCACAGGGAGUGGCCCAACCGGCCAGUUUAAACAGCGCACGCGCGGCGACGAGGCCCGAUGCGGCGGCGGUGGUGGGAAUAUGGCCUCCGGCGACCCUUUGGACUGCGGAGUGGCUCGUUCGAACCGGAGGAGCAAGGCGCGUGCAACAACGGCCUAGCUUCGAGCGGGGGAGUGGGCUACCACGGCGAUAGCGACGGCGUGCAGCGGCAAGGCAACAGGCGAGCCGACGCGGUGGUGCUCGCGCGGGGACAGAGGGGAGAGGGAGCCGGCGCGGGACGAGGAGACCCGGCGUGACGGGCGUGCAGCGCGUGCAGGGAGCACGGUGAGAGCGAGGCUCGGACGGGCACGGCGGCAGAUCUACCAGGGAGGAAGAGGGGAAGGGAAGGGGGCCUCACAGAGCCCUGUAGUUGAGCGAGGCGUGCUCGAGGAGGAGGACGAGGAGGCGACGACGACGGUGGGCGGCUCCGGCGAAGCAGUGGCAGGACGAGGCGGCGACGGUGUGCGGCGGAGCGGUCCGGCGAGGGGCGCUGGCGUGGUGGCGACAGGAAUCGGCGGUGUGACGCAGCGUGGCUUGGGGAGGCUGUCCAAGGCAAGGUGAGGAGGGGGCGGUCAGCGUCGGGACGAGGGCGGCACCGGGCGGCGGUGUCGGGCCCUCCCGAUCCAGAUCCAGCGAGAGAGGGGGGAGGGGAACGAGAGAGAGACGUGGGGGCGAGUGGGGAGUGGGCUAGGGAUCGGUUAGAUGAGAGGGGGGUUAAGCGGGGCAGUGGGAGAGGCUGGCUGGGCCAGGUGGGCCGGUUGGCCACCUGGGCCAGUUGGACCAAAGGGGUGCUUCUCUCUUUUCCUUUUCUUUUGUCUUUGUUUUUAUUUAUUAUUCUCUCUUCUCUGUUUUCUAUUAUAGUUCAUUUACUUUUAGUUUUAUAAAAUACCAAGUUAGCACCCAAAUUAGUAUCAUUAAUAUAAGCUACUGCCAAACUUAGUUUGGACCCAAAGUAAAUUAGUUUAAUAUUGCUAUAAUUUAAAAAGCUAUUACAUUAUUAUUUUAGCCACUGUUCUAACUAGUUUAGGGCAUUUAACACUUUACAAAAUUUUGGUUUCUCCGCCAUAAUUACUAACGAAUUAUUAGUCACAUCCAGAACAUUUUGAUUUUAAUAUUUGAAAACUUUUAUUAUUUAACUUGAAUUUGAAUUUUGAAUCCGAACGGGGUUGAAUCAUCGCGAGAUUAACAACGGUAAUCAUGGUGACGUGGCAUUGUUAGCAGAGAUUACUGUAGCUUAAAUAUCCGUGCGUCACAUUACCACCCAUUGUGUUGUCACGCAAUACACAGAGGAUAUAUUGGUGAAGAGCUGGAGAGCCGCUGAGCCACUGUCGGUUGCGAAAAUAGAGUAACCCAUCAGAGACACAAAACCUCUGCUUUGGGUCUGGCCACCGUGAGAAUUCAGAGAGCGGCUUUCGACAUUGGCCAUCUUUUGCAUAACCGGCACGGAUGUCCUCAACAUAAAGUAGGAUGGCAGACUAAGAUGGCCAUGGCUUGGUUUGGAGUGUGCAGACAACAGGACCUGGCAUCUGCUCACUGUUGGUGGUGCCCUGGUGGUAGCAAAUUUUAUAUCUCAUUGAGUAACUUUGUGAAAGCUUUGUGUUGCUAGACCAUUGACGGCAAUUGAUCAUUUAUAUGCACAAGACUGCGUUAAUUAGCGCGAAUCAAGGACUCAUCAUGGUGAAGAUAGGGGCGCCACUGUUCUAUGGCCAUCGGAAUAGCGAGGCGUUCUUUCUUGUAAGUGGUCACACCUCUGUUCUUUAUUCCUAGGGGAUGAGACGAACACGCACUCACACACAUACACAAACAGUUAUAGCUUUCUAAGCAGUACAUGACAAGCAUCAUCAUCCAGAUAUCACCCCAAAGUCAUCGAAAUGAGAUUACUUAUGGCAACAGCAAUACGGGUAGGGGUGUGCUCACAAUAGCUCCUGAGGUAGUCGUAGUCUUUGCUUAAGCAGAAGUUUCGGCACUUGCGCUUGUCAUAAUCAUGCACCGGUCUCUUGCAUUCCCACAUAGAUUCACAGUAUGUGUCAGGAUCCGUGUCUGCAUGCGCACGCACACACGCACAAAAUGGACGAAUAAUUACUACGUGUGUGUUCCAUGUGAAAGAAAGAAUGGAAGAAUGAAGCAUCACGUAGUAAGACAUACUACUCUACAUAUCCUUGGCGUUGCAGGACAGGGAGGCCGACAUGACCAGAAGAGCUACAGCCAAGCACAAAAACUGCAUGUUGUUCCUGGCAUGUGCCAUGGCGAAUGACUCGCUAGCUAAUUAAUCCAUCCUUCUAGACGGUGUUGUCUUUUUGGUCGAUGGAUGCUUUGUGUGUUUUAUUCGAUUUUUUUGUUAUUUUCUUUGCGUUUUUUAAAUGUGUGAAAUUCUUUUCAAAAUUGAUGUAUUUUUUUUCAAUUUUCUUGCUUUUUAAAAAAAUCGAUAAAGUUUUUUCAAAUUUAUGAACCUUUUUUGUCAAUUUGUGAACAUUUUUAGAAAAAUUGAUGAACUUAUUUCCAAAUUCGAUGAACUUCUUAAAAUUUGAUGAACUUUUCUGAAAAUUCAUGUACAGUUUUUAAUUGAAUUUUUGAUUUUUUACAAAAAAAACAUUUUUAUUUUUUUAAGUCAAUGGUUGACCGGUCAACCAUGACUAGUCAGCUGCGAACCCAAUGACCAGUCAACAACCGAGCCAGCGAGCACGUGUUUGGGUCGAGCCCAAGAGUGUGGCUGCGUGCACCACCUCGGUGAAGGGGCGCGUGAAGCGCCGUCUAGGAGCUCCCGUGCCCUUCGGCCGCUGCCCCCUCUUUCACUCAAUUAAGUACAGGCCAACACUUUAGGCUUUGCUCUAGGCUUUUUCUGUCGUCCAUGGCCGAGCAAGCCGAGGCUACUUUUGGUGCUUUCUUCUUCUUUCCGGCUCUGCACUGAGUCACGGUGGUUGUGACAGAAACUACUCAUCUUUAUUCUUUCUUUUUUGCGGGGAAAUCAUCUUUAUUCCACAGACAGUCAUGAUGAAAUGCUUUGGUUAUUAUAAUGGGAUGGGACGAACACACACACAAACAGAUAUAGCUUUCUAAGUAGCACAUGACAAGCAUCAUCAUCCAGAUAUCAUCCCAAAGUUAUCAAAUUGAGAUUACUAAAGGCAACAGCAAUACGGGUAGGGGUGCUGCUCACAAUAGCUCCUAAGGUAGUCGUAGCUUUUGCUUACGCAGAAGUUUCAGCACUUGCACUGCUCAUAAUCAUGCACCGGUCUCUUGCAUUUCCACAUACUUCCUCCAUUCCUAAAUAUAAGUCUUUGGAGAGGUUCCACUAUGAACCACAUACGGAUGUAUGUAGAUGCAUUUUAGAGUGUAGAUUCAUUCAUUUUACUCCGUAUGUAGUCCAUAGUGAAAUCUCUACAAAGACUUAUAUUUAGGAACGGAGGGAGUAGAUUCACAGUAUGUGUCAGGAUUCGUGUCUGCAUGUGCACGCACGCACAGAAUGGACGAAUAAUUACUACGUGUGUGUUCCAUGUGAAAGAAAGAAUGGAAGAAUGAAGCAUCACGUAUUAAGAAAUACUACUCUACAUACCCUUGGCGAUGCAGGAGAGGGAGACCGACAUGACGAGAAGAGACUGCCAAGCACAGAAACUGUGUGUUGUUCGUGGCAUGUGCCAAUGACUAGCUAGCUAAUUCAUCCUCUUCUUCUAGACGGUAUUUGUCUUUUUGGUCGAUGGAUGCUUUGUGUGCUUAAUUCAGUUUUUCUUGUUAUUUUCUUUCCGUUCUUUCAAUGUGUGAAAUUCUUUUCAAAAUCGAUGUUUUUUUUAUUUUUGCGCUUUUUAAAAACAUAUCUCCAUAAAAAUUUAUGAGCUUUUUUGUAAAUUUGUGAACUUUUUUAAAAAACAAAGAACUUCUUGAAAUUUGAUAAACUUUAUUGAAAAUUCAGUGCAUUUUUUAAUUCAUGGUUUUUUUAUUUUUUACAAAAAAACGUUUUAAAUUUUUUGAAGUCAAUGGUUGCCCAGUCAACCGUGACCAGUCAGCAGUGAACACAACAACUAGUCAAUAACCGAAGCAACCUGACGGAGUCAGGAGUGUGUGUUUGGGUCAGGCCCAAGAGUGUGGCUGUGUGCGCCACCUCGGCGAAGGGGCGCCAGAAGCGUCGUCUAGGAGCUCCCGCGCCCUUCGGCUGCUGCCCUCUGUUUCUUAGUUUAAGUACAGGCCAACACUUUAGGCCUUGGUUUGGGAUUUUUCUGUCGCAAUUCCAUCAUCCACGGCCCAGCAAGCCCAGGCUACUUCUGGUGCUUUCUUCUUCUUUCCUGCUCUGCACUGAGUCAUGGUGGUUGUGAUAGAAACUACUCUUUUUUUAGGGGUCAUCUUUAUUCCACGAACAAUCAUGAUGAAAUGCUUUGGUUAUUACAGUGGGAUGAGACCAACACACACACACACAAACAGCUAUAGCUUUCUAAGUAGCACAUAACAAACAUCAUCAUCCAAAUAUCACCUCAAAGUCAUCGAAUUGAGAUUACUUAUGGCACUCAGUUUUGCUCCGUUUGCGAGCUGUAAGACCUUUAUGAUGAUACUUUCUGAAUUUUUAAUAAAAGGGCCGCAUGCAUCAUCAUGAUGCAGAGGCCGGGGGUAUACCUCCAUUUCCAAAAAAACAACAAUACGGGUAGGAGUGGUGCUCACAAUAGCUCCUGAGGUAGUCGUAGCCUUUGCUUACGCAGAAGUUUCGGCACUUGUGCUGGUCAUAACCAUGCACCGGUCUCUUGCAUUCCCACAUAGAUUCAUGGUAUAUGUCAGGAUUUGUGUCUGCAUGCACACGCACAAAAAGGACGAACAAUUAAUACGUGUGUUCCAUGUGAAAGAAAGAAUGAAGCAUCACGUAGUAGAAAUAGUACUCUACAUACCCUUGGCGUUGCAGGAUAAGCGAGGCCGGCAUGACUAGAAGAGCUACGGCCAAGCACAGAAACUGCGUGUUGUUCCUGGCAUGUGCCAUGGCGAAUGACUGGCUAGUUAAUUAAUCCUCUUCUUCUGGACGGUGUUGUCUUUUGGUCCAUGGAUGCUUUUAAUGUUUUAUUCGAAUUUUUUAUUAUUUUCUUUGCCUUCUUUAAAUGUGUGAAAUUAUUUUCAAAAUCAAUGUAUUUUUUUAUUUUUGCGCCUUUUUGAAAAAACGAUGAACCUUUUCAAAUUUAUGAUUUUUUUUGGAAAUGUGUGAACUCCUAAAAAACGAUGAACUUAAAAUUUGAUGAACUUUUUGAAAAUUCAUGUACAUUUUUAAUUCAUGAUUUUUUUAUUUUUUUACCAAAAAAUGAUUUAUUUUUUAAAGUCAAUGGUUGACCGGUCAAGCUUGACCAGUCAGCAGCGAACCCAACGACCAGUCAACAACCGAACCGACCUGACUGAGCCAGCGAGCGUGUGUUUGGAUCGGGCCCAAGAGUGUGGCUGCGUGCUCCACCUCGGCGAAGGGGCGCCUUAAGCGUCGUCUAGGAGCUCCCGCGCCCUUCGGCUGAUGCCCUCUCUUCCACUCAAUUUACAUACGGGCCAACACUUUAGGCUUUGGUCUGGGCUUUUUUCUGUCGCCAUCCCGUCGUCCACGGCUUAGCAAGCCCAGGCUACUUCUCGUGCUUUCUUCUUCUUUCAAGUUCUGCACUGAGUCACGGUGGGUGUGACAGAAACUACUCAUAUUUAUUCUUUCUUUUUUGCGGGGAAAUCAUGUUUAUUCCACGAACAGUCAUGAUGAACUGCUUUGGUUAUUACAAUGGGAUGAGAUGAACACACACACACACACACACACAAACAGCUACAGCUUUUGUAAGUAGCACAUGACAAGCAUCAUCAUCCAGAUAUCACCCAAAGUCAUCGAAUUGAGAUUACUUAUGGCAACAGUAGUACGGGUAGGGGUGGUGCUCACAAUAGCUCCUGAGGUAGUCGUAGCCCAUGCUUACGCAGAAUUUUCGGCACUUGCGCUGGUCAUAAUCAUGAACUGGUCUGUUGCAUUCCCACAUAGAUUGACAGUAUAUGUUAGUUUCCGUGUUGUUCCUUGCACAAUAUACUUUGUUGCAGUUGCGCAUGCCAUAAUCAUCCAUCGGUCUCUUGCAUUUCGACACAGAUUCACUGUAUGUGUUAGGAUCUGUGUCUGCAUGCGCACACGCACGCAAAGAAGGGACAAACAAUUAGUACGUGGCUGUUUCAUAUGAAAGAAACAAUGGAAGAAUGAAGCAUCACGUAGUAAGAAAUACUACUCUACAUACCCUUGGCGUAGUAAGAAAUACUACUCUACAUACCCUUGGCGUUGCAGGUCAAGGAGGCCAACGUGACUAGAAGAGCUACGGCCAAGCACAGAAAUUGCAUGUUGUUCCUAGCAUGUGCCAUGGUGAAUGACUGGCUUAGCUAAUUAAUCCUCUUGUUCUAGACGGUGUUGUCUUUUUUGGUCGAUGGAUGCUUUGUGUGUUGUGUGAUGGUGUUCGUAUAAUUAUAUAUAUAUAUAUAUAUAUAUAUAUAUAUAUAUAUAUACACGUGAGCCAGCGGUUCUUUGGGCAAGGGGGAGGUUAAUCAAUUCGUAUCAUAUCUUCUGGUCGUACACUAAUGCACGAGUACCAUCUAUGGUUGGCGUUGCAUUAAUGUUUGUUUAUCGCUAGGUAAAUGUCCUUGCGUUGGCACCGAAAAACAAAGAUAUAGAUAUUUAUCAAUAAUUAAAGAGUCAUCAAUCCUACUAUGAUACACACACAUAUUAUAUAAUAUGUAAUGUCUGAUAUGUGCUGCCAUCAAAUAUUUGUAGAGAUUAAUUAGAGAUUGACCGAUUCCUUCUCAUAUAAAUGUUAUCAUAUAGUUGGUGUUACAUUAAUGUUUGUUGAUCACUCGGUGAGUGUCCUUACGUUGCCACGGAAAAACAAAGAUAUAAAUAUUUAUCAAUAAUUAAAGAGUCAUUAAUUCUAAUAUGAUACACACACAUAUAUAAUAUGUAAGGCCUGAUAUGUGGUGCCACCAAAUCUUCUUUACUCUUAACGGGGAGUUGGUAGCCUCGCCUCACUUCUCAUUAAUCCAUUAUCAAAUCCUAUAUUACGCCCGCGAGCGUUUUACAUGCAAUCUUUCUCUCAACCGCAACCGAUUUUGGCCGGCCAUUUGACGUGUCCAUUAACUCAAUGAAGCCGGCACUUCUCCAAAACAACAUUCUCCAAAACAACAUCAUACAUUAAUUCGAUCAAAUCAAAUCACUACUUACCAAAACAACUGCGUGCGUGUUUUUAUUUCCAAAUCAAAUCACUCUUUACCAAAUCAAAUCACUAUUUACCAAAAAAAUCACUACUUUUAUUUUAGGGGUAAAUCAAAUCACUACUCGACUAUACCCCCUCCGUUCCAUAAUAUGAAAAUGUUUUUCAAGCUAACAUAGCUUUAAAAACAUUUUUAUAUUAUAGGACAGAGGGAGUAGUUUUUAUCAACUAUUCAAAGUUGAUUGGCCCAUUCACUCAGGUAGAGAUUUUCGCCUAUCCACCCCACUGAAAAUCUACACAAGACGGGUAAAAAAUCUACGCAAGAAAAAAUACGCCGUCGCGAAUCCAACUCAAAUCUAGAUCCACUCCUCCCUCGAACGAGGUUCCUAAGAGCAUCUCCAACAGAUGCGCUUAAUAAGUCGCGCGCUGGAAAAAACGCCUAUUUGGCGCACGAAAGAUAAAAAACAGCACUCCAGUAUAAGCUGUAAAAUAGAGUGCGCACAAAAACAAAGGUGUAAGAGCAUCUCCAACAAUCGCGCGAUUUUAGCGCCGUGCUGGAAAAUUAAAUUUUUUGCGCGCGCAGCCGUUCCGGGCACUACAACGGACGUGCAAAAAACGCGUGUGCGGUAUAGUUAGUUCAGCGCGCGGAGAAAAACGGCAUCGCGCGCCGCUUAUUUCGUGCGCCCGCUCCCACGUGCUGGGCACUCGAGCACCCGCGCGGCACUGACGCCACCCUCUCCUCUCCGGCCGCCCCACCUUCGCACCGCCCCGCGCCGCCGCCGGCGAAAUUCGCCCGAUGGACGGCCGCGCCGACAUCCCCCGAACCCCUCCCUACACCCGCGACCCCUCCGCCGCCGCCAGCACAAACCUUAGCACGGGGCUGAGCUUCGGCUUCGCCUCCGUCGGCCAUCCUCCAAGCACCAGUCUCGUGUGCGGCCUUUUCAUGGCGCCACGGACUCGGCGGGUGGCGGCGCGCCGACGCCCGCAGUGAAGCCACGUGGCCCCCUCUCAAAGCGACCAAAUGCGGCGGCGAAGGCGGGCAAGGUGUCCGGGAAGAAGAACAAAGCGACGGACGGCUCUUCUUGGCGGCCGAAGAAGAAACUUGCAGGGCGUGUGACGGAUGCAGCGUCGAUCGAAGCGCCGGCGAGCUCGCUUGUUGCGCCGGCAGCCGAUGCGCACAAGGUGUUUGAUGAAAUUCCCACAAGGUAUGAUUUUUCGUCGUUGUUUUUUUACAUGAAUGGAUACAUAUGGAUAGCUUAGUUUUCUUGUACAUACUUUGUAGUUUCAAUGAUGAGACAUAUAUGUCAACUAUGGACGGCAUGGGAGGCAUGGGUGCCUUCGGAGCUACCAUGGGAGGCAUGGGUGCCUUCAGAGCUACCAUGGGAGGCAUGAGUUUUGGGUCUCUCAUGCGAGGCAUGGGAGCACCUCCGGGUGACAUGGGUGGACGCAUGUCUUCCGGUGUGCCUCACAUACCUUCGCAUGAUGACCUUGGAGAUCUUGCGAACACCUUCCGAGCUCCCCAUGAUGAUGCGACAUGCGACAAUGAAGAGGAAGAGGAAAAAUCGUCUUCGGAUGAGGAUGAAGAAUCGGAGGUAGAGGAGGACGAUGUUGAUAUGGCAUGAUUGUUGAUGUGUCGUUUGUUUGUGUGAACUUUUAUGUGUCAUGAACUUGGUUGGGUGAUUUUGAACUUGGCUGGAUGAUGAUGUGGCAUGAUUGUUGAUGUGUCGUGCAAUUGAACUAUACUAUGUCUUUAUUUUGCACAUUUGUUUAAUGUUUGAAACAUCAUCAUAUUAUCAAAAUGGACAUGUAAAAAUCUUAUUUGCAAGCGCCGGCUGCUCGCGCGCGCUGUAAGUUAGCGCGCCUGCUGGAGCUGCUCGCGCGCGCCAUAUUUUGCAGCGGCCGCUGCAGCCAGCGCUCUGCCGUGCGCAAAAAUUCGCUAUUUCUGUGCUGUAAAAAGGUUUUAGCGCGCCGCACGGUUGCGCGCCUGUUGGAGAUGCUCUAACUUUAGUGCACGCGGGUUGCGGGGCUGCAAAUUUGGGGCGCGGGCUGCUGCAUGUGGGGCCGCCUGGUUGGGCGCCGUUUUUUUGUGCGUCUGAUAAACUUCUCGCGCGCAAAAACACUAUUUCAGCAAUGUAAAACUGUUUUAACGCGUCGCGCGGGUUGGAGAUGCUCUAAGGCGUGGUUCUGGGACGACGCCGCCAUCGCGGAAGCAGUGUCGAUCCCCUCUCCUCCCAUCUCAAGCGCUCGAUUCCCCUCGCGCAUUAGGGUUCCUCCAAAGGGAGGUUGCGGCGCUCGAUUCCUCCUCCCCUGCUCAUGACUUCCUCACCGAUCACUGCUCCUUUACCAACCGCCGUUGUAGAUGAUAUUUUCGUCCUUCCGAAUUGCAGCACCUCCACCUUCCAUCCUCUCUGCCGUCACUACAGGGUGUCACCUUGUUCCCACAGUUGCUGACAACGGGGAGGAGGAGGAGAGGUAGUGGUCUAGGCGGGGAGGCUGAUGGCAAAGUGAAUCACGAAGAUGUGACCUGCGACCAUGAUUUGUCUCCCAUGUUUGGUACAGGGAACUGCCUGUGACCACGCCGCUGUCCCCCGUGCUCUAGCUAUGUCAGCUUCCCACGACCGCGCCUCUACUCCCUGCAUAACAAGUACACUGCGCCUGGCAGGCUCAUGUCCGACGCCCUGCCAUGGGAAUGGCCAGGAGGAGCGAGCUUCACCUGCGGCAGUGGCCACAACGGCAAAGCCUUCACUUGGUACGUCUGAUGCCCUUCUGCCUCGGACGGCCAUGCCGGUGAGCUCCUCCAAACCUCGCGCCUCCCAUGCUCGUAUCUACCCCCUCUCUAUACCGCGUGUCGGCCACUGACGCUAGGUGCACAUGGGCAAAAACGACAAAAUUGACCUAUGGACGAAAACAAUCCACAAUCUGAACUAGUUCAAAAAAAUUCACUCAGCUGACCCUUUUGUGUGGCGCCCAACACGCAGGCGCCACACCCUACGGUGCAGCGCCUAGCCCUCAGGCGCUGCACUUCAGGCCAGCGUGGCACCCCCCGACCACGCACCCAGCAGUGCAGCGCCUCCGAGCUUGGCGCUGCACUUGACACGUGCCGCGCCUGACAGCUAGGCGCCACACUUGUUAUGUGCAGUGCCUGACAGCUAGGAGCCACACUUGUUAUGUGCAGCGCCUAGCUCUUAGGCGUUGCACAUCAUGUUACUAGUUGGCAUGCUGGCCCCCUCCCCACUCCCCACACACACACCCAACCCCAACCCCACCCCCACCCGUGUUGUGCCCUCUCUCCCCCUCUCAAAUCCUUCUCCAAAUCUUCCAAAUUUGGAUAUUUUGUCCGUGGAUUUCAAACCCAAUCCCUCCCUCAAGGUGAUCUCCUCCGAUCCCUUGUUUUCAUCCCAAAAAAUGCUCACAUUUGCUCAUUUUUUGCUAGUUUGGGGAAACCCUAGGUUUUUAUGGAUCUUGAAAUUUGUAUGGAGAUAUGGCUUGUUAGUAUGUUAGGGUUCGGGUUAUGGGUGUUGUUAUGUUGGUGCUAGGGUUGGGCUUGUUAGUAUGUUAGGGUUAGGGUUAUGGGUGUUUUUAUGUUAGGGAUAUGGGCCUCUUUGCUAGGCGUCACACAUAUGUCAACAUGCAGAAACUGACAAGCUCCUGUGCAGUUUCAUUAUCUCAAUCUCAUGAACUAAUAUGAUAAAACUUAAGCAAUUAGGAUCAACUAAAACAUCCAUUCAACUUAAAGAAAGUCAAGAAGUUCAACACUGCUACAAGUUCAACAAUAUAACAAGUUCAACAAAGCCUAGAAGUUCAACAACACAGUAAGUUCGACAUAAGAAAACGACGACUAAUCGAGUUACAUAAGAAAAAGGAGGACGAUGACUAGUUCCUUUCGCUCAGUUGCAUAUGAGUGGGCACCGCAUAUAUAAUGAAGUACAAACAAACAGCUCCGUACAUGUCUAUAUAAGUAAGCCAGUGCCGCCGAACCCCAACUCCAUUUGCUAUCGAAAACGGUCAAUGCCUUCAGCCACAUCCAUGGAGCAUUCUUGCAUGUGCCGUCAGCAAACAGAGUCCUGGAGAUAACGUACCACAUGUACACACGAGCAUAUGUCUGGGCCUCUUCAUUGAUAGCAUCCUCGGGGCAAUACCCAAAGUGGAAUGCAAUCCAGGUGAAAGGAGCACCGACUGCGACUCUUUCCUUCUUCUUGUCUCCUUCUGGUACUGGAGGCUCUGGAGGAGACAUACCAAUAAGGGCCUCCAUCUGCUGGCGCCACCUAUCAGAAUUGGUGCCCAUACAGAGAGGAUUCCCCUCGAUAGGGAGACCGGCGAUCAUAGUGAGCGUCACCGUCAUCUCCUCGGUACGAAGAUGGAAAUUGUGUGUCUUUGUCCUCCACCGAUCAACAAGCGUGGUGAUUUCUGCAGCACUGAGGCUCUACGUCGCCAGCUGACCAGCUGAAUGAUCGGAAGGAGUCAUGUCUCCCUUAUGUACGGUGUGUACCGCUCAUCAUAGCGCAUCCCACCAAGGAUGACCCCGUGAGACCGAAUCUUUAGAGGAUGAAGCUCCUACAAACAAGCAAAUCAUAAUAUUACAUAUGGGGCAUGUGUGUUUGAAAUAAACACAAAAUUCAUAAUACCGGCCACUUUGAUUAUUACCCGCUGCUCCACCAACAUAAAGUAGGCCCGGCGUAGAGUGUCAUAAUGAUCAUCGAGAAGCCAAACCAUCCUAAAAAUUUCAAACAAUAAGCAUACGUUAGCUAACUACCAUACUUCCUAAUCAAAACAUGCCAACAAUAAUCACAAAAAACAUGCCAACAAUCGGUACAAACUAAAAGGAAAUUGAAUAAUAAUAAUGUAAUAUCUACAAUCAAAGCAUGCCAACAAUCAUCACAAAAAAAUAUGUUUUGAAACAAUAUAGGGUUCUAUAAUGGUUUCAUCUAAAAAACAUCUCAACAUGUAGGGUUCCGCAAAAAAUUUAGGAUAUCAUCUAAAUCAUCUAUAAAAACAUCAACACAAACAUCUAGACAUGUAUAAGGUACAUCUCAAAAAUCUAGGUUUUCAACAUGGAAGCAUGUAUUUUCAAUACAAAUCAACUAAAUUAGUGUUACAAAAUGAUUACAAAUCCUAAAUCCCACCAAUCUAUUUCAAAAUAUAUGUGCAAGAUUCUAAUCCAAUCAAACAAAGGUUCCACAAAUCUUCAAAAUAUGUAAGAUUUUCUGGAUAGAAAGAAGGGGAUCGGAGGAGAGUACCUUCUAGGAUGGAUUGCUGAAGAAAUCCACCGACCAAAUCAUCAUAUCUGAAGAAUUUGGGAGAGGGGAUUGAGAGGGGGAGAGGAGAAAGCCGCCGCUGUGCUCUAUUCUAGAGCUGCAAGGGAAUGGGGUGGGUGGGGGAAGGGCCAGCGCGCGGUGGCUACUAAUUCAUAGUGCAGCGCCUAAGAGCUAGGCGAUGCACAUAACGUGUGUGGCGCCUAUCUCUCAAGCGCUGCAUGUGACACGUGUGGCACCUAGUUCGGAGGCGCUGCAUUGCUGGGUGCGGGGCCCAGGGGUGUCACGCUGGCCAGAAGUGCAGUUCCUAAGGACUAGGCGCUGCACAGUAGGGUGUGACGCCUGCAUGUCGGGCGCUACACAAAAGGGUUAGCUGAGUGAAUUUUUUUCGAACCAGUUCAGAUUGUGAAUUGUUUUCAUCAUAGGUCAAUUUUUCCAUGCACAUGUAUGUAUGUGUUGUUCAUAUCUCCCUACCUCCAUCCCCAUGCAUCACGUGUGCACCUGGGCUCUGUCUACCUCGCAACUUCAUGCAUAUUCUGAUCGCAUGCAUAUGGGUGAGUUUGCAAUCGUGAUGGAGGAUGGAACUCAUGAACUAAUAUGACACAUAUUUCAUAUGGGUGAAUUUGCAAUUGUCAUGAAGAAUAUUUGCUUGGUGAAAAUGUGCCUUUGAGUGCAGUGAAUUUUGCCCAUAUGUAUUCUUGUUGUAUGGCACAAUAAACUUUUGUUGUAACUUCUACCUAUCCUUGACAAUUGCAAAAUAUUGUAACUUCUACCGAUCCUUGACAACUGCAAAAUAUAUCCUCUCGAAGAACCUUGAUAUAUUUCACAUUAGCACAAAGUUAUUGUUGGAACCACAGUAGACCUUAAUCCGAUAAAUGACAUUCCUUAUUUGGUUAUUGUUGUUGGACAUUUUUUUUCUUAUUUAGUUAGCAUGCUCACGCUUACAGUUAGGCGGCAUCAAAGAUUUUUUUUAGUUCAUAUUAUAAGCUAUCACAUUGUGUCAUGUUAUGACUACUAAUCCAUGUGGUGAAUGGAGGCAUCUUUUUACUAUUCAGGUAUUAUGCUCUGUCAUACGCAUACCUCACUCCGUUUAUGAAAUUUUACCAUGCUUCUAUAAUUGUUGCAGAUUACGUAGUUUACAAUCGUAACUUCAUUUCAUUAAUGAUUUGCCAAAGUUCUCAUCAUUAUCAGGUAUCCAUUUUGUUUACUUCAUUUAGCACACAGAGUGCAUAUUGCUCUCCAAGUUCAGUACUCUGAAUGGAACAAUAUGUGGUUCCGGGCCUGCACAUGUCAAUUUCCUAAUAGAGGUAUGAUUUUUUUUCAUCAUUUAUGUUUCGCAACUUAGUUUUGGUAUGCUCUCUCAACCUGAGAAUAGUUUUCUUAUGGAGAUGGUACUUGAGAAUAGAUUAGUACAAUGAAGCCUUGGGUUGUAGGCCGAGCUCUUCUGGUGGUGCAACUACAUACUGCCCAUCGGCUCCGGCGGCGGCAGGUCAUGUUUGGCAUGUCCAGGACCUUUGUUAGCCUAUCCUAGAGGGCAGUCCAUGGUAGAUGCGGCGAGGGUGCAUGCGCCGGAGCAGAUGACUAAUUUGAUUUUAAGUUCAAUGUCAAUAAAAAGAGGUAUGAGAAUAACUUAUUGUACAACUUUGGUCAUUAGGAAAAGCUAAUUUACGGUUGGUUGCAUAUUGUUCUUAUGAUGAUGUGUUCUACAUCAUUUGUAUUAAAUGGACCUCCCUUCCCAUUCAGGUUGUUUUCUUCAGCUACCUAGAGGAGCUCACUGAUAUUGUGGCAAUAAUCUAACCAUCAGUCCCGUUGAUUGAGUAUAGGUGUGUGCCUCGACCUCCACAUUAAAUGAAAAACCUUCCUAUUGUAUGUAGUUGAUCUACAUGUGUUUAUAAUCCAUAAGGGGAUAAGAAAGAUCAAUAAGAUAUUCUAUUGGUGAAUUCUUUAACUCUUGUCUUUUCCCCCUUUUUAGUUGGAGCAGUUACAAAAUGGACUUGAAGGGUUUAUGUAGAUUUAUCAGCCAACAAGCAUGGAUAAAGUACAACCAAGAAACACUUUAUGCAUCCGCAGGCAGUUCCGUCCUUUAUGAUAUGUGACGAUUGAAAUCUUGCUUUUAUUUCCGGACUAAAUAUUUUCUUCUGGCCGUGGGUCUAUGAUACGUCUCCAACGUAUCUAUAAUUUUUGAUUGUUCCAUGCUGUUUUAUUAUCAAUCUUGGAUGUUUUAUAAUCAUUUUAUAGUCAUUUUAUAUCAUUUUUUGGUACUAACCUAUUGACAUAGUGCCAAGUGCCAGUUGCUGUUUUCUACAUGUUUUUUACAUCACAGGAAAUCAAUAUCAGACGAAGUCCAAAUGCCACGAAACUUUAUGAUGAUUUUUGAUGGACCAGAAGGAAGAAGUUGGGCCCUGGUAGCACCUGGAGGGAGUCCCGAGGAGGGGACAACCCACCAGGGUGCGCCAGGAGGCCCAGGCGCGCCCUGGUGGGUUGUGCCCACCUCGGGUGCCCCACGGACCGCCUCUUUGCUCUAUAAAUACCCCAAAAAUCCAGAAACCCUAGGGGAGUCGACGAAAUAUUCAUCCAGCCGCCGCAGAGUCUAGAACCACCAGAUCCAAUCUAGACACCAUCACGGAGGGGUUCACCACUUCCAUUGGUGCCUCUCCGAUGAUGCGUGAGUAGUUCUUUGUAGACCUUUGUGUUCGUAGUUAGUAGCUAGAUGGCUUUCUCUCUCGCGCGAAUUCUCAAUACAAUGGUCUCUUGGAGAUCCAUAUGAUGUAACUCUUUGCGGUGUGUUUGUUGGGAUCUGAUGAACUUUGAGUUUAUGAUCAGUUAUAUCUUUUUAUAUCCAUGAAAGUAUUUGAGUUUCUUUGAUCUCUUUUAUGCAUGAUUUCUUAUAGCCUCGUAUUUCUUCUCCGAUAUUUGGGUUUUGUUUGGCCAACUUGAUAUAUUCUUUAUCUUGCAAUGGGGAGAGGUGCCCGGUAGUGGGUUCGAUCUUACGAUGCUUGAUCCCAGUGACAGAAAGGGAACCGACACGUAUGUAUCGUUGCUACUAAGGAUAAAAAGAUGGGAUCUAUAUCUAACGCAAUAGAUAAACGGAUCUUGUCUACAUCAUGUCAUCGUUCUUAUUGCAUUACUCCGUUUUUGCAUGAACUUAAUACACUAGAUGCAUGUUGUAUAGCGGUCGAUGUGUGGAGUAAUAGUAGUAGAUGCAGGCAGGAGUCGGUCUACUAAUCUUGGACGUGAUGCCUAUGUAAUGAUCAUUGCCUGGAUAUCGUCAUAAUUAUUUGAGGUUCUAUCAAUUGCCCAACAGUAAUUUGUUCACCCACUGUUUGCUAUCUUUCUCGAGAGAAGCCACUAGUGAAACCUACGGCCAUCGGGUCUUCUUUCUCAUAUAUUUGCCUUGCGAUUUACUUUUUCUUGCAUUUAUUUUCAGAUCUAUUAAACCAAAAAAUACAAAAAUACCUUGCUGCAAUUUAUUCUUAUUUAUUUUGUUUGGCGUGCGAUCUAUCAAAUUACUACAAAUUCCUCACGUCUGUUUUGCCUAUCUUGAGGCAUCGUACCCCGGAAGGGGUUGACAACCUCUUUAACACGUCGGGUUGCGAGAAGUUGUUCUUUGUGUGCAGGUGAUGUUUAUGUUGUGUUGCUUGGUUCUCCUACUGGUUCGAUAACCUUGGUUUCAUAUCUGAGGGAAAUACCUACCGCCGCUGUGCUGCAUCAUCCCUUCCUCUUUGGGGGAAAACCGACGUAGCUUCAAGCGACAUCAGUCUACUUAGCAGGAUGCUCGCCAUUCCCAUACCAUUGCGAUUAAUUAGUUCAGUCCUCAUUUUUUUCUGUUCUGAGCCUUUUGUGUUUCUUAGUUGCGACAUAGUUAGGUCAGGUAACAACAAAAAAGCCUCCUGGAACUUGGUCUUCUGACGUGCUAGAUGAUUAGGAGAAAUUUAAGAGUUUAAUGAAUUAACUUUGACUCUUUUUUUACCGUGUUCAAUCUUUUAAUGCUCAUAUUAUUAUGUCAUGGAGUAUUUGUUUCCCAUGAGUAUGCGCAUAUGAGAGGUAAACUUUUUUCCACCAAUGCGAGGCACGUACUAGUUUCAUCUUUGCACUUGCGUAUAUCGAAGACACUUUUUAGUUCCCGUUUUGAAUUUGGGAUCAUGCAUAUUAACAGAAGCCUUCUUGGUUUGAUUGAUUUGCUAUAAAACUUUUUUUUAGACAUGGAGCUGUUUGCGGUUUAUUUUUUCCAAGGAGGGUAAACCUACUUCCAAGGAAAUGUUGUUUGUUAUGUUUUCGAGUCAAGCGAUAGAACACUUGCUAACUUCUUUUAUCAUAUACUCAUUUUGUGUAGCUAAGUUGUUAAUCGAGGGAUGUUGAUGGUCAUUCUGGAACAUGUUUGAUUUUGAGGAAUGCAUCCAUGGUCAAGUUUCCAUAGACUUGCUAAAGUUAAAGGAAAAUUUCCAAGCGAUGGUGAACUUCAAAUAAUGUUCUAAAUCAAUGUCUUUUCAUCUUUGAACUUAUCAAGUUCAUGUGUAUGUUUUUGUGCUAUUUUGCUUGAACUUAACACAAAAUAUCUUUCAAUAGGGAAAAGGUGACUCCAAUUGUUGUAAUUGCUCACUCAUCACGAAGGUGCUCUACCUUAUGAAUUUUUUUGUUUUGCUUCUUCAACAGUAUGCAGUAACACAGAUUGUGCUAGGCUUAUAUGGAAGGUGAUACUGAGACACUUGUCGAGCUGGAGUAGGAGUGGAAAUGAUGGUAGAGAGGUGGGGGAUAUGAAUGAUAGACACCAAGGGAGAUGAUGCGACGAGCGAAAGAGAAAGAUGGGGGGAUGGGGAAGGAGGGAGGGAGGGUGAUGAAGCUGAGAGAAAGGAGGGAUACACCAAGGGAGUCGGGAUAUGAUGAAAGCGAAGUUGCGCCACAAGGGUAGAUCGUGAUCGUGUUGCAACUAUUCCCAUUCUAUCAAUGCUCGCAUUCAUUGUAUUUUUUAAACUCCACAACUCUUGCAACUCCACACAAUUGUUGUCGAGGAACAUGGUAAACCCAUUGAGAAUGAUCAUUGGGGUUAUUGUGAAGCUCAAUGUUUGGUGGAUUAGUCUGGUGACAGCGAGGACAAUUAGACAUGAGUAACUGAUAAAUUUGUACAAUCACUUUCACUUUGUAGGAACAUUGGAUAUAAUUGAUUUGGUAAAGAAAAUGAUAGAACAGAGUGUGCAUCAUGUGAACCUUCAGGUGAAGGAGAAAUUACAUCAUUGUGAUAUCAAAUAAUUGUUCAUUGAUUGUUUGAUCAAGUUGCUGAAACAUGAUUGGUUUAUGAUCAUAAAUUUGCGAUGUGAAGUAUGUAUCUGAUAGUACCGUUCCUUGAUUUAUCGAUUUUGCGAAAUCUCACAUGCCUGAUUCUUUUUGUUGCGUCGGUCACUUUUUGCUUUGCACGAGGCCAAAGUUGGGGAUGGCGAUGUCGAGCCGUGUACGAGUGAGAGUCGGCGGGAGCGAGUCUGAAACUUAACCGGGGGGGCAACACGACGAUGGGGGGAGGUCAAGGGGAUGGCAGUUAGGCCUGGGUAGGCCAUGGGAAGGUGGAGGAACCGUCGCGAGAGAUGAGGAAGAAGAUGUGGAAGGAACAAGAUGAACAUGUGGCGGCGUGCUACUAACCAUUGGAUAGUUGAUCUGAUGGCCAAAAAUAGAAGUGACUGGCACGAGAAAAAUUUUAGGUAUAGAUGCCCCCUUGAUUUAUUUACCAUCAUUUGCCCAUAGCAACGCGCGAGCAUUUAACUAGUAUUUGUACGGAUUAAUUAGAGAUUGACUGAUUCCUUCUCAUAUAAAUGUUAUCAUCUAUAGUUGGCGUUGCAUUAAUGUUUGUUUACCACUAGGUGAAUGUCCUUGGAUUCCACGGAAAAACAAAGAUAUAGAUAUUUAUCAAUAAUUAAAGAGUCAUUAAUUCUACUAUGAUACAUGCACAUAUAUAAUAUGUAUUGCCCGAUAUGCCGUGCCACCAAAUAUUUGUAGAGAUAAAUUAGAGAUUGACCGAUUCCUUCCCAUAUAAAUGCUAUCAAAUAUAGCAAAGACUAAUCUGAUUUGGCAGAUAUAAAUCGGUUAAAAUAGAUGGAUGCGGUAUAAAUCGGUUCAAAUAUUAGAUUGGUUUGGCGGACAGAAAUUGGUUUAAAUAGAUCGAUGUGGUAUAAAUUGGUUCAGAUAGUAGAUUGGUGGGGUAGCUAACGCUUGGAAAAAUCGAUGGAAGGAUGGGGGGUGUACGCGAGAGGUUGGACGAAGGGAUGCUAGGGAGAAAACUAGGUGAAAGAUGGAACCUUAGGUUCUUUUUAAGUAAAAAAAGUAGAGAUUAGACACAAUUGGCCGUUGAACUGUAUUUUCUGUUGUCAACACGUGAAAUGCCAUAUGCAGCUUAGAAAUCAGCCUGGCAAGAUCGUAUGCAUCCUCAACACUAAGCUCCCUGAUUUUAAAGGGCUCACAAUCAAUUGAGGUUUACAAUUGAAAUUGGGUCAUCCGAUUUUGACCGGGUCAACAAUUUCUCAAAGUUAUCUCAUUUAAUUGUUUUAUACUAUACAUUGUGCUUUCUAAUUUUUAACGUCUCAAAAUUAAUUGAGGUCUUCAAUUUAAAAUUGACUCACUAAUUUUAACCGUGUCAACAAUUUCUCAAGGAGCUCUCCCAUUGAAUUGUUUUAAUUCAUUAUAUGCCCUAAUUUUGAAGCUCUUCAGUUCAACACAGGUAUUCGAUUUUGUCGGCAUCCUGGGAAUGGGGGUACCCAGACUUGCCUGCCUGCGGCCCAUGGCGUGGCUCCAUCGAUGGCCUGGUACGGCCCAGCUUCGACAACAACAGCUCAAGACCCUCGCGAGGGGCCAAGCCUCGCGAGGCGGACGACAGCAAGACCUCCCUGAGGGGCAGCCUCACUAGCUGGCUCCCGAGGAGCGGAGAUAUCUAUGCAAGGUGCACCUCGCGAGGUUCGUGUGAUGUGAGCCAUGAAGACCAAGGCCAGGCGGGCGCCAGCGGGCGCAGUGUACCAGUUUUCCCUUUGGUGCUAAGGUGGCAAGCGCAGGCAUGGAGUCCCGAGGAAUCAAGCAAAGGUUUCCAUAUCGGUGCAACAAGACGAAGGACCGCCAGGACGACAGGACAGAGGUCAUUGUGGAGCCCGGCGCGGCGUCACCACCAGAGCCUUUUGCAGGCGAAGACUACUUUUGUCAGGGUAGCUUGUACUGGUUGUCCCCCUUCAAAUCUGGCCGUCGUGGGAUCCCUUCCCGCCUAUAUUUGGGAAGAGGACCAAGGCCACUAUAAGUAGGACUUAGCCAUCACCAUAGAGAGGGAUGGAUCAAUUCCACCCGAACCACCUCACCGGCUCAUCGAGCUCAAGAACACCUCACCUACUGAGGUUGUUCCCACACUAUACUAGUUCAUCAACAGCCCCUUGAGGCAAUCCACCACAAAGCUGGAGUAGGGUAUUACACCGCAAGGUGGCCCGAACCAGGAUAAACUGUUGAGUCUCUUGUCCUUUGGGUUCGUCAAGCUAGGUCGUGGAAUCGUUGGGUAGGCAGACUGGGGAGAGAGAGUUCUUCGCAUGCACCCCAGAGUUCGAACCUCUCAAGGGUUUGCGGAACCCCAAAUCCGACAUUUGGCGCGCCAGGUAGGGGUGCGUCGGAGCUUCUCUUCCGCCAAUCGACUCGCCACCGCUUCCAUGGUUGACGCUCGCCGAGCCCAUGCUGAGCGGCGGGCCGCCCUCGCCGCCCGCGUCGCCCAGACGGCUCCCUCCGGUGGGCCUCCCCGUCGUUCUCCAUCACCUGCCGCCAACGCCGCCACCGGCCCGGUGGGGCACGAGCAGCAAGCCUCGUCGCUGCACCCUCCGUGCGGCGGGACGGGCGCACGGCCACUCAGUCGCUGGCUCCGGCUGGUUCGUCAUCCCACGCUCAUCACGGCCCGGCAAACGGGCAGGCUGCGUUGCUUAUGGCGCGCGAGCUCCUGCGCUACCGCCCCGUCGACGACCUCUACGAAGAGUGGUUGGACCGCAUCGCCGAGCUGGUCAGCACCGCUGGGGGCUCUCCUGCACCGUCCCUCUCGCUGCCUCGCCCAUCGUCUGCAGCGGGUGACGUAGCCCACGGAGCGCCUCCACCACCGCCGCCUCGUCAGGACAUCGCCCUAGCACCAAGCCACGCGGCCUCGCGGCGUGACCCGCCGUGCAGGGUGCCCGCGCACGAAGAAGGAAGCUGCCAGGAGAUCCAGCAGCCGCAAGGGGAGGUACGCGCGCUUCCAGCAUCGCCACGUCAAGACCACGUUCCACCUGUCGCGGUAGCGCGCGAGCUCCAAGACCAAGCGCCACCUCCGUGACGGGCUCUGGUGACCACCGCAGGCUGUCGCGCCUUCACCCCCCGAGCUCCACAGUGUCGUCUGGCCGGGAAAGUUCAAGCCUGACCUGCCUCCACGCUAUGACGGCACCCCCGACCCUGCUGAGUUCCUGCAGCUUUACGAGCUGAGCAUCAAGGCGGCCAGCGGCGACGAGAAGGUCAUGGCGAACUAGUUCGCCAUGGCUCUCAAGGAUGGCGCGCGCUCAUGGCUCCUGAACCUGCCCCCAGGAUCGAUCUCCUCCUGGGGCGAGAUGCGGGAGCGUUUCGUCGCCAACUUCCAGGGCACUCGUGGCCGCCCGCCAGCCGUGGGUGACCUGCGGCGCAUCAAGCAGCAGCCGGGGGAGACCCUGCAAAAGUACAACUAGUGCUUCAACAGCGUGCGCCUCAAGAUCCCCAAGGUUUCGGACGAGGCCAUCAUUUCGGCGUUCUCCGACGGCGUCCACGAUGUCAAGAUGAAGAAAGAGCUCGCCAUCCAUGAGGACAUGUGCAUGGCUCUGGAGCUGUUCAACAUGGCGACCAAGUGCGCGAGAGCUGAGGAAGGGCGCCUUUCCCUCAUCGAGCUCCCAGCGGCCGACCCAGAAGACAAGAAGACCAAGGCCAAGGACAUGAAGCGCAAGGGGGCGGCCGUGCUCGCGGCUGAACCAGAGAUGAAGCGCGGCUGCGACCACCCAGAGUCGUCCAAAGGCAGCCGUCCGUUCUGUGUCUUCCACAACGUACACAGCCACAACACCAACAAUUAUCAUGAGCUCAGGGCCAUCCACGACGGGCGCCUCGGUCGCCGCCACGAGCGCAACGAUCGAGGCUACGGCCGUGGAGGAGGCCGAAGUGGGGGACGCUGGGACGACCGCGGCCCCCGCCAGGAGUGGCGAGAUCAGCCUCGUGAGGACCGCUGGCAUGGUCAGCCUCGUGAGGGCGCUUGGAGAGAUCAGCCUCGUGAGGGCGCCUGGAGAGAUCAGCCUCGCAAGGACUGUCCUCAGGGCUACGCCGGCCUCCCUCCGCUGCCACCACCACCAAGAAGGAACGACGACCACCACCAAGACGAGGGGGCUGGAGGCUUCCAGGAACCUCGCGCCAUUGCCUGCAUCUUGGGUGGCGCGCAGGCCCCAGCCUCUCAGCACAUCUUCAAGCAGUUUACCCGAGAAGUGAACGUGGCUCUCCCCAGGCUCGAGGCCACGCGGCCGCUCAGGUGGUGCAAGUGCACCAUCACCUUCAGCUCGGCGGACCAGCUCAAGUGCGCGGCAACCGCCGGCGCCCUCCCAAUGCUCUGCUCGCCCGUCAUCAGCAAUGUCAAAGUCACCAAAACCCUCAUCAAUGGCGGUGCGGGGCUAAAUGUUCUUUUCGUCGAGACGUUCGACCGCCUCCAAGUGCCAUAUGAUCAGUUGCAGCCCACCAAGCCUUUCUCAGGAGUGACCGACGGCUCCACCACCCUGAUAGGGCAGAUCCGCCUCCUUGUCACCUUUGGCCAGCGCGACAACUACCGCACCGAGCUCAUUGACUUCGAUGUCGCCCACAUCCGUCUGCCGUACAACGCCAUCCUAGGGUAUCCAGCUCUGGCUAAGUUCAUGGCGGUGACUCACCAUGGCUACAACGUCCUCAAGAUGCCAGGGAACCGCGACAUCAUCACUAUCGCAUGCAAGGAGAAGGACGCAGUGUGCUCCCUCGAGCGCACCUACCAGGUCACAGCAGUCGAGGACCCAGACAACGAAGGCGCCAUCUACCCACCUGAGGCCGUCCCCAAGAAGAAGAAGCAGCUGCUCCGCCGAGAGCCUUAGGAAAGCAGCAUCUCCAGCCGCACUACCUCAGGACCUGCGCCCACGGAAGGGGCGCCUCCCUCUCUUGCAUAGGAAGGCACACCCGGCGCCCCUCUCAGGCUGGGCUCGGGGGCUCUCAUCUGGAGGGCCUUCGACCUAGCCAAUGUCACGAGGGAGGCGCUCGGGCACCACGUGGAGGCGUGCUUCCGCGCGCGUUUCCCUCGCGAGGGCAUCAGGCACGAGGUGCCAGGUUCUCAGGAGUUCAUCACCAAGGCAACCGGGGAGCUUCAAGAGGCAAGAGCCAUGCGCGGUGACCGCUGCCCACCACCUGGCGUGGCUCCUCGUCCUGGCGAGGACAGUGAGCUGCGCGUCUGCGUCGACAUACCAGGGCUCAAUAGGGCCGCAUCCUAGGAGCGCUUCUGGCCAUCGCGCGUUGGUCGGUGGGAGGCCCCCCUCACAGGUACGUUCGCAUGCCUUUUGGCUUGCUGAACGCGGCUGACACAUCUCAGCGCCACAUGCGGAGUAUCCUGGCGGNNNNNNNNNNNNNNNNNNNNNNNNNNNNNNNNNNNNNNNNNNNNNNNNNNNNNNNNNNNNNNNNNNNNNNNNNNNNNNNNNNNNNNNNNNNNNNNNNNNNNNNNNNNNNNNNNNNNNNNNNNNNNNNNNNNNNNNNNNNNNNNNNNNNNNNNNNNNNNNNNNNNNNNNNNNNNNNNNNNNNNNNNNNNNNNNNNNNNNNNNNNNNNNNNNNNNNNNNNNNNNNNNNNNNNNNNNNNNNNNNNNNNNNNNNNNNNNNNNNNNNNNNNNNNNNNGGACCCCCAGAGCCUCCCGAAGUUUAGGGCCCAGGCGACUCGUGAGGAGCAACUUCUUCAGCACGCGCCUUCAGCUACACCAACAUCCCUUCAUCAACGGUGCCAGGUGACAUUUUCCGGUUUAUUUCAGUUGGGGGCGACCUUUGGGCUGCGUUAUCCCCAGAUCGCACGGGCCUGUCCCUGUGACGUGUAUCCUUUUGCAUCUUUGAUUUGCUCUGCUGGGGGCGCCCCUCGGGCUGCAUCAUCCCCAGGCCGUGUGGGUCCGUCCCUGCAGCAUGUAUCGUUCUUGCUCCUGUCUGAACUAACUUUAAGUCCUUCCAUGAAUUGCUAUACGUUUACCAUCUGCAUGUCUGGUGCUUCAUUGCCAUGAACGUCGUGCGCCCUUGCGAGCCCACCCUCGACCGCCACAUGAUUAAGGACUGGCAUGGCGUUUGUGCUCGGGUCCGUCCCUACAGCAUCGCCAAACCCAAGAGGCUGAGCUCUGGCUCACGGGCCAGUCCCCGUGCAUGUCACCUCCCAUGGUCCUUGGUGCCUUGUUCUCGCAUGAGCUAAUCUUGGGCGGAUGAGCUAGGGCGCGUGACCCGGUGCCUCGUCACCAUGGGAGCCGCGCGCCGGCUGUCUUUCUUCAGGACUAUCGCAUGAGAAGACUGGGCACGGCGUCUGUGCUCGGGUCCGUCCUUGCAGCGUUGAUAAACCCAACGACUAAGCUCUGUCUGGCAGGUCGGCCCCGUUCAUGUCACCUCCUGGGGUCGUUGGUGUUUGGCCUUCUCAUGUGAUAACCUCAGGAGAUUCAUUCGGCACAGGUUGUCUAACCAUCUCGCAGGGCCAAGUGUCAAGAAUCAAAUCCAGGCGCGGCCCGCCUUGAGGUAGAGCCUCGUGAGUCCUGCGCUGGCUCAUGAGUGCCCAGACACAUCUCCUUCAGCCCUGUCAUGCAAGCCACAUGUCAGGGUGGGGUUGUGCACACCCCGGGGGCUCCACUCAUAGGGGGCCCCCACCCACGCACCAGUGGAAGCACCAUGCUCUGUGCUGGCAGUUGACACAGUCGAGGAGCGGCUAUGCAUGGGGGCUGGGCAUGGGGGCUACGCUCAGGUCACGCCUAGCUACGCCGCCCUGCCAGGUCCCUCGGACCUGGUCGUCACGCGCCCCUCCCGAGCGGGACCUCGGUGAGGAAAGGUAUGUAGGUCUGUUCGUACGUCAAGGGGGACUCCUGAGCAUCGCGACUCAGGAGCCUAACUGGUCACGUAGCCCCUCAUCCUGGCGAUCCAGAUGAGCCAGCAGCGACUGAGGUAUGCGCGGGGCCGGGCCCUGCCGACGCAGAACACCAAGGCCUAUUCUUGCAUCUCCUCCCUGAGAGCUGUUUGUACGUCAAGGGGGACUCCUGAGCAUCGCGACUCAGGAGCCUAACUGGUCACGUAGCCCCUCACCCCUUGGCCUCGUCCUGGCAAUCCGGACAAGCCAGCGGCGGCUAAGGUAUGGGCAGGGCCGGGCCCUGCCGACGCAGAACACUAAAGCAAACAGGAAGGAAAUUGCAAAGCCCUAAGCAAAUUAUUACAAAACAUAUUGUUUCUCCAAGUACCAAACACAAGUUCUUACGCCUCCGCGAGGCAUGAUGCACAUUGCAGGAAAUAAAAUGGAGGGAGCGCCACCACCAAGUUUUCUUCUUCAGCCUUGGGCCUCGCCACCGCCCGCAAGAAGUGCCCCGCCGUCAACAUCACGCUGUCGCCCGUGCCGUCGGCCAUGGCCGUAGUGUCGGUGGCGUCGUCAGCCGGGGGCGCGGGGUCGAUGGCGAGGAACUUCUGCAGUAGGGCUUUCACCUGGUCCUUCACGGCUUCGGCGGCGGCGGUGCAGCGCUCCCCGUCCACAGGCUCAAGCAGGGCCCCAAGGUCGAUGUUGGGAUCGCAAAGAUAGAGGUGGCUGAAGACGCGCAUCAUAGCCGAGGCGGAAAGUGCACGGGCCUCCCCUUCCACCAUGGGGCCAACUCGAUCAAUGACAUCCUCGAGCGUUGCGACGAGCUGGGGGAGCAGCUCGGUGGGGCCUUCCUCAGCAGUCACCAAUGGCUUCUUCAACCCCCUCCCAUAGAGUUCCCGCGGUGCCUUGCGGGACCUCAGCUCAAGAGAGUCGAAAGCGGCACGCUCUUGGGCGAGAACCUUCGCCUUGGCCUCCAGCCGGGCCUUCUCCGCCUCCACUUCCUCCUUCAGCUUCUCCAGGCAGCCUCGCUCCGCAGCUUGCUUCCGCGCCAAUUGCUCCAGCUCGGUGUCACGACCGGUGACCGCAUCCUCCCGAGCCUUCAGCUUCUCCUCCUGUGCCUCGCGCAGGCAAGCAUCGACGGCCCGCUCGUUGCGCAGGGUCUCUAGCGCGGCCUACGCCACCCGGCACCGCUCCUCAACAGUUUUAGCGCCACGUCGCGGGCGGCCGCAGCCAGGCCGGCAGCCUGUUCACCCUCCUUGGAGGCUGCGAUGGCCUGGCUCCAUGCCGCCCUGAUGGAUGCGUCGGACCGCAGCCAUCCCGAGAUCAACUCCAACCACCCCGACGCCAGGUGAUGGUCAGCGACUCGGAGGUCGUCGCGAAGCUGGGUCAGCGCGGAAAAAUCCUCUUCCAGAGCAUCAGGCGAAGCAGGAAGAUCACGGCCCGGCAACGUGAUGGAAGGAAGAGGAGGCGGCACUAGCGCCAAGAUCGGCACGUCAGCAGUGGCGGAGGGGGCUGAGAGCCCCAGGGCAUUCAGAACCUCAGCAGGCGAGCUGAGGGCGAGAGCUUCCGGAGCUGGCUCAGCUCCAGAUGUCGCCCCCUCCUGAGGCCGGGCCCCCGAGUCUCGUGAGGAUGACCCCUCCGCAGAAGCGUGGGUGUCAUUACCAGCCUUCUGCGCCAGGGGAGGCGCAGCCAUGGCAAGCUGCUGGGUCACGGGGAUCACGGUUGUCUCCUUCUUCUUCAUCACCAAAGUUGGCCUAGCCGUACGAGGGGAAGACAUCAAGAUACUACGACAAGAGCAGAAGCCAAAGAUCAAGGCAGAGCACUUACUGGUCCACGGCGGCGUACUCCCUCACCCUCUUCUGAAGCACCAUGCCCGCAGGCUUCGCAGCCUGGCGCACUAGCGCGCGAGCCCCGGAGGCAAGCAAGGACGCGGCGCCCGGGUCUGCAGCGGCGCCGGCCAGCAACAAAGCGGAGGCAUCGCCUCGGGGGAUCAGUGCAGACCUGCUCUUCGUUGGGACACCCACCUUCGGCGUCUUUGGAGGGGUGCCCUUGGAUCUCGUGGUGACCCCAGCGGAGCGCGGCGACUCCUUCACCGGAUGCUCGCCGAUGUCGUCGUCGACAGGAAGGGAACAGAGGAGAUCGGUCCAGCGCGGGGGAGAAGUCUCCCCCGCCCCCUCUAGGGUCUCCUCCGAGUCCGACCCCUUCGCCUGGUCGGUCUCGCCAGAAGACAACGCCACCGGGGAGCCCGGGGGCCCGGUAGGCACCAGUGGUACGAGCCCACGCUCAUUGAAGACAGGCAUGGCGGCGGCGAUCUCUUCCCCAUCUGGGCGACGGUAUAGCAGAAGAUGAGUAUCUCGCGGGCAACCUUGGUCCUUCCCGACCAGGAGGCGCGAGACCUUGUUCAGCUCCUCUUCGGGCAAGUCGCUCGUGCGCAGCCGAAGGUCGCCUCCCUCGUCCAUGAGCUUCCACAAGGGGUGUGAGCGCGCCUGGAGCGGAGCCAGGCGCUGGGUCAGGAACUCUUUGACAAUCAUGGCCCCCGUCAGCUUCUCUGCCUUCGGGUCGUCCGGCUUUAGGUCGGUCACCAUCUUCUCCAUCAACUACUCCGCCCGGGGAUCGGUGAGCUUCUCGUGGUUCCAUCACUCGUGAGGCGUUGGCAUCCCAGUCGGCAGCGCCAGCCGUGAGGCUUGGCGUCCAUGAAGAUCCACUUGUUCCUGAAGUCCUCCACCUUUUUCCCCGCACGCGCGAUCGCGUUGGUGCCGUUGGCUGCGAUGAAGUUGGCACACCCCAAACACUGGCCCUCCUUGACCCGGAGGUAGAAGAAAUGGCGGAGCAGCACCAUGGACAGCAUCACCCCCACGAAUGCCUCGCAGUAAAAGGCGAAGAUUGACAGGAGGAGGAUGGAAUUAGGAUGAAGAUGAAGGGCGUGGAGAUUGUAAUGGCGAAGGACGGCAUAGAAGAAGCCAGAGAAAGGGGGGACCAGCCCCUCGAAGACACUAUGCAGGAAGAAGGGAUAGAAGGUACCGCCAGAAGUGUCCGGCUCGGUGGAGCAGGCCUAGAGCACAGUCUCUCCCCCUCAUUGCUGCUGCCCGCCGUCACCAGGAGCGCGGAGACGAAGUUCUUCUCUGAGACAGUGGGCGCGCUCAGAGCAGGCUCGAACCAGGAGGGCGAGCGCGCGGCCCUCGCCUUAUCGGUAGCCAUCCGCGGCAGACUAAGAGGAGAGCUUCGGUGGAUCUGGAAGUCCUUGGGAGAGAAUGAGAAGGGGAUCUGGAGCAAGGCAAAGGAAGGCAAUGAACGCCCUGUUGUGGGCACCAGCCUUUUAGUCAGGCGGGGACGGUUGCCGAGGCAGCGCAGGGAGCAGAGACGCCCACGUCCAACCAGUCGCCAUGCACCGACCAAGGCCGCAGGCGGUUGGGGCCCAUGGCGCUCCGCACUUGCCCCUUGGCUUCGCCUCGAAGCCAAGUUCGAGCACGCCUUGGGCCCGGGGGCUACUGUCGGCAUCCUGGGAACGGGGGUACCCAGACUUGCCUGCCUGCGGCCCAAGGCAUGGCUCCAUCGACGGCCUGGUAGGGCCCAGCUUCGACAACAACAGCUCAAGACCCUCGCGAGGGGCCAAGCCUCGCGAGGCGGACGACAGCAAGACCUCCUUGGGGGGCAGCCUCACUAGGUUGGCUCCCGAGGAGCAGAGAUAUCUAUGCAAGGUGCACCUCGCGAGGUUCGUGUGACGUGAGCCAUGACGACCAAGGCCAGGCGAGCGCCAGCGGGCGUAGUGUACCAGUUUCCCCUUUGGUGCUAAGGCGGCAAGCGCAGGCGUGGAGUCCCGAGGAAUCAAGCAAAGGUUUCCAUAUCGGUGCAACAAGACCAAGGACCGCCAGGACGACAGGACAGAGGUCAUCGUGGAGCCCGGCGCGGCGUCACCACCAGAGCCUUUUGCAGGCGAAGACUACUUUUGUCAGGAUAGCUUGUACUGGUUGUCCCCCUUCAAAUCUGGUCGUUGUGGGAUCCCUUCCCGCCUAUAUUUGGAAAGAGGACCAAGGCCACUAUAAAUAGGACCUAGCCACCACCAUAGAGAGGGACGGAUCAAUUCCACCCGAACCACCUCACCGGCUCAUCGAGCUCAAGAACACCUCACCUCCUGAGGCUGUUCCCACACCGUACUAGUUCAUCCUCAGCCCCUCGAGGCAAUCCACCACAAAGCUGGAGUAGGGUAUCACACCGCAAGGUGGCCCGAACCAGGAUAAACUGCUGAGUCUCUUGUCCUUUGGGUUCGUCGAGCUAGGUCAUGGAAUCGUUGGGUAGGCAGACUAGAGAGAGGGAGUUCUUCGCACGCACCCCAGAGUUCGAACCUCUCAAGGGUUUGCGGAACCCCGAAUCCGACAGAUUUUGGAUUUGAUUUACGAUUUUAGUUGGGCCAAUGAUUUUUCAAAUCAAUCAUGAGCUUUCUCCCACCACCUAGAAAAAAGAAAUGCCACCAUGUGAUACUGUAGCACCAAUAUAAUGCAUGCAGCUACUGAUGCAGAAAUUUCUCCACAUAAAUAUGAGUUUAUUAGCAGAUAACACGGAAUCAUACCUAGAAAGACCCACCAAAUAUCGUAUUAUAAAAAAUAAAACACACUUCAUCACCUCACUCCCCCCACCCAACUAAAUAUUCCAUCAAUUCCAAAAUAUAUUGGGUAUUAGUUUUCCGGAAAGUCAAAUUCCUUUAACUUUGACCAAGUUCAGAGCCAAAUUUACCGACAUCCACAAUAUUAAACAAAAAUAUGAAAAUUUAUUUCAUGAUGAAUCGAAUUAUACCAAUUUGAUAUUAUGGAUUUUGUUACAUUUCUCUACUAAUAUGGUCAAACUUAAAAAUGUUUGACUUUUUAAAAAAGUAAUACAUCUAAUAAUUUGAAACACGGUGAGUUGUUUUUAGAAACCCAACAACACUAAUGGUGCAACAAAGCGCACCAAACUCUUCUAGUAUCUACCAUUGUCGAGGGUAUAGAAGAAGCCCUUGAGAUGUUUACUCACAUUAGUGCCCGGUCUCCUCUAAGCAAGUUUGAGUGUUUUUUUAUUAAGAGAAGGGUCGACCAGAGUUGCAUUAAAUAUUAAAUAGAGGCGUACUAUGGUUGAUGCAACGACUCGAAAGAAAUAAGAAAUUGCAACCUAGACCUCGAAUAUUACAAAAAGGACCCUAGACAUAGGACUUAGAUUGCAAUUGGGCCCUAAUCCUACAGCAGGCUUCAACUCAGCACCAACCCCAUCGUCGCAUAGGAUGAUGUUGACUUUCUCUGACUUGGGAAUUGAAACGGGUAGGUAUCACCACCAGCACGUAGAAUUACCAUAAGUGGAAGAUGCAGACGCCCAAACCAAAACCCAAUCACCUCCGAUUAGGCCACAACGAGACCGAGAGAAAGUAAAGGAGAUAUCACACAAUGCAGAGUGAUUUAUAUAAAACAAGAUCAUGACUGGCGGGCGUUGCUACGCCCGUAUAUUUUUCCAAUAGAAUGAUAUUUACUUCUACAAAUAUAUAGGCAUGGAAGAACUGAAUUCCUAUUUUUAGUGAAAGAACUUCUGAACCAUCAUGUACGCGAACCAAAUAUUUACCAUUUUACAUAACUAUCAUCUUGAAUAUUUUCCGGGUCAGAUUGGCCAUCAUCUUAGUUCCAUGUUUUCCAAGUUUUUUCUAGCAUCUCAUAAAUUGGGUCAUAAAUCCACAACAUAAGCAUUUUAUGACCAUGAAUGUAAAUUGAAGCAAAAUUGCAUUCCAUGAAGCAUAUUGUUGUAUUAAUCAUGACCAAACUUAUCAGCAAAACACACCAAAAUAAUAAUAGUGUAACAGCCUAAAAAAGUCCUACUUUCUCUCGGUUACAAAUAUGUAAAUGACAUCAGCAAUACAAUUAGAGGAUGGAGCAUCUGAUACGACUAAGAAGCAGAUGGAUUAAUCAAUGGCAUGCGGAGAGCUCCAACGCUCUCAGUGGAUGGAUGAGCUCUUUCAACCAUUGGUGCAUUUGAUUCUCUCAAUGUUUGCGCCCUGUAUAUCUGUAUAGGAAAAAAAAGAUCGAUGGAAGUACCUACAUUUACAUAACCAAAAUGCAAACGUGGCAUUUCUGAUGAAAAUUUAGUAUACUUCCUCCGUUCCUAAAUAUAAGUGUUUUCCAAGAUUCCAAUGCGGACUAUAUAAGGAGCAAAAUAAGUGAAUCUACACUCUAAAAUAUGUCUAUAUACAUUCGUAUGUAGUUUUUAUUGAAAUAUCUAAAAAGACUUAUAUUUAGAAACGGAUGGAGUAGAUAACAACCCAAGACACUGCAAAUGCUAUUCGGUGAGCCAUGUGACCGCACUUGGUACAAGUACAUUACACACUUAACUUUAUAAAAACUAUGGAAAUAUGAGUGUACAUUAUUUUUAGCAGGGAUGCAGCUACGGAAUCAAUGGCAGCUUAGUUAGUUCAGUGCAUGUACAGAAAUCACCGGCACACUUAAUCGCAGCAGCAUCACUCCCUCAUCAAAUAUGAUGAACAAGAAGAAGAACAUAUGUGAGGACUAAAUUGGACUAAACUAAAGAUGCGACAUGAAGGGUAAUAUUAUGAUGAAUUUGUACACAUCCAUAUAAGAGGUAGCAAUGCCCUAUGCUCAUGACAAACUGUUGUAGUACGUUCCAAAGAAGAAAAGCAUAUACAGUAGGAUGAUCCAUUUGGCAAGAGUCCAAGAAAAUGUAAGAGCUCUUACCUUCUAUUAGCGCUGAAACAAAUCAUAUUGUAGAUGUCACCAUAUAGUCCAAUAUACAAAGUUAAAUUCUAGAAGAAUAAAGACCAUGAAUUAGUAGUACUGAAAUCAAAAUCAAUUUCAAACAUUGUACUCAAGAAUCCUCAUCUCCAAGUAAAUAGAUUGCCAUGUCAUGUCAUGUUUCCAUUGAUCCAUAAAUCAGCAAAGCUUUCUAAUUUUUGUUGUUACCUAAAUCCUAGCCCAAAAUCCAUAGGCUAAAUCACAUGAGCGAAACCAGCUGGUAUCCAACAACGCAAUCUAGAGAAAGAUCCAACAGUAAAUGGAAAAAUGACAAGAUGAAGUAAGCAAGAACAAUUGUGGCAGCAAUAGGCCAGGAGAAACGAAGCAACAUCCCUAAUGCUCAGAUGCAAGUUGAGAAUGAGCUCGUAUUUGUUGUGCAUGCUUCUUUCGCGGCAUGUACAUAGACGACUACAUCAGUACCGACGGUGGCAAUAACCAAUCGUCUUUCCUAUGCAGCCCUAUUUGUCAAUCGUCCUUGCAGCUAGAUCAGGGCAGUUUCCCUCACUGCUCGCAUCUGGGACCGCACUGUCACCAUAGGCAAAAGCCUCAUCAUCUAAUAUGGCCACUGGCCGCGGCAUCCAUGUGCAGGUAGAUUUGUGGCUAUCUUUCGGGCAACAUCAUGGACAGCGUCGAUGGGUGCAUAGUGUGCCACAAUGCCAUGUUCCAGAUAAACUUUAAGCCUAUUCCUUUUUUCCAGAAUGGUUAAUUUGCUACAUGAAAUUAAUAACUUUGUAUUAUCUAAGGCCAAGUAAAAUUACUUGAAGAGCUAAGUCCUAUAUCCUGUGUAAGGUCGUUGUAUUAGCUCCCUGAUGACCCACAAGUAUAGGGGAUUUAUCGUAGUCCUUUCAAUAAGUAAGAGUGUCGAACCCAACGAGGAGCAGAAGGAAAUGACAAGCGGUUUUCAGCAAGGUAUUCUCCGCAAGCACUGAAAUUAUCGGUAAAAGAUAGUUGUGUGAUAAGAUAAUUCGUAACGGGUAACAAAUAACAAAAGUAAACAAGGUGCAGCAAGGUGGCCCAAUCCUUUUUGUAGCAAAGGACAAGCCUGGACGUACUCUUAUAUAAAGCAAAGCGCUCCCGAGGACACAUGGGAAUUAUUGUCAAGUUAGUUUUCAUCAUGCCCAUAUGAUUCGCGUUCGUUACUUUGAUAAUUUGAUAUGUGGGUGGACCGGUGCUUGGGUACUGCCCUUCCUUGGACAAGCCUCUGAUACAUCUCCAACGUAUCUAAUUUUCCUAACGCUUUUCCUCUUGUUUUGGACUCUAAUUUGCAUGAUUUGAAUGAAACUAACCCCAGACUGACGCUGUUUUCAGCAGAACUACCAUAGUGUUGUUUUUGUGCAGAAAUAAAAGUUCUCAGAAUGGAACGAAACUUUGCGAGGGAUUUUUAUAUAAUAAAUAAGAAUUUCUGGAGCCAAGACCUACCGGAGAGGGGCCCCUGGGUGGGCAAAACCCACCAGGGCACGCCCCCUCUCCUUGCGCGCCCAGGUGGGUUGUCCCCACCUGGUGGCCCCGCAGACCCUGAAACUCACGCUAUAAAAUCCUAAUUUUCCAGAAAAAUGAGGGAGAAAGAAUUAUCGCGAUCCACGAGAUGGAGCCGCCGUCACCUCCUGUUCUUCAUCAGGGGGCCAGAUCUUGAGUCCGUUUGGGGCUCCGGAGAGGGGGAUCUUCGAUCUUCGUCAUCACCAACCCUUCUCCAUCGCCAAUUCCAUGAUGCUCCCCUCCGGGAGUGAGUAAUUCCUUCGUAGGCUCGCUGGUCGGUGAGGAGUUGGAUGAGAUUCAUCAUGUAAUCGAGUUAGUUUUGUUAGGACUUGAUCCCUAGUAUCCAUUAUGUUCUGAGAUUGAUGUUGCUAUGACUUUGCCAUGCUUAAUGCUUGUCACUUUGGGCCCGGGUGCCAUGAUUUCAGAUCUGAACCGUUUAUGUUAUCACCAUUAUAUCUAUGUUCUAGAUCCGAUCUUGCAAGUUAUAGUCACCUACUACGUGUUAUGAUCCGGCAACCCCGGAGUGACAAUAGUCGGGACCACUCCCGGUGAUGACCGUAGUUUGAGGAGUUCAUGUAUUCACUAUGUGUUAAUGCUUUGUUCCGGUUCUCUAUUAAAAGGAGACCUUAAUAUCCCUUAGUUUCCAAUAUGGACCCUGCUGCCACGGGAGGGUAGGACAAAAGAUUUCAUGCAAGUUCUUUCCAUAAGCACGUAUGACUAUUUACGGAAUACAUGCCUACAUUAUAUUGAUGAACUGGAGCUAGUGUCGUAUCGCCCUAGGUUAUAACUGUCUCAUGAUGAAUAUCAUCCAAUAAGUCACCGAUCCAAUGCCUAUGAAUUUAUCUUAUAUUGUUCUUGCUAAGUUACUACUGUUGCUGUUACUGUUGCACUUGCUACAAAAAUACUGCUAUCACUGUUACCGUUAUCGUUGCUACUGUUACUAUCAUCAAAACUAUUAAACUACUUUGCUACUGAUCACUUUUUUGCAGAUAAUUAAUCUCCAAGUGUGGUUGAAUUGACAACUCAGCUGCUAAUACCUUCAAAUAUUCUUUGGCUCCCCUUGUGUCGAAUCUAUAAAUUUGGGUUGAAUACUCUACCCUCGAAAACUGUUGUGAUCCCCUAUACUUGUGGGUUAUCAAGACCUUUUUCUGGUGCCGUUGCUGGGGACCAUAGCUAUAUUUGUUGAGUCACUUGGGAUUAUUAUCAAUUUAUCACUAUGAGGAAUCUGAAGGACGCUAAGACCAAGAUAUUUCCCUCUAAGACGAGGGGAGGUAAGGAACUGCCAUCCAGUUCUGCUUUAGAUUCACCUUCUGUUAUAAGUAAACUUGCAACACCACUACAUGCUAUCAAUUCUAAUAUGUCGCAAGUUAUUGAUGAUGCUACUUCUACUAUGAAUGAUGCUAGUACCAUGCUUGAUAAUUAUGAUGUGCCACUAGGUGAAUUUCUUGAUGAACAAAUUGCUAGAGUAAUACAACAUGAUGUUGUUGAAUCUGAUGAUGAGCUUGAAACUGAAAAUCUUGAAACACCUGCUAGAACUAGCCUUCCUAGAUAUGAAUUGCCUAAGUUACCAGAAGGUUAUGUUAUGAAUGAGGAGACAACUAGAGAUAUUCUUGCUUGUAAGGAUAGAGAUGAUUUAGAGAAAUUAUUAUGCAAGUAUAAAGAAAAAUCUCUGAAUGCUAGAAUGAAAUAUGAUCCUAAGUUUGCUACCUCACCUAUCUUUAUUGAUGAUAAGGAUUAUGAAUUCUCUGUCGACCCAGAGUUAAUUACUUCUGUUGAAUAUGAUCCUUUCCAUGGUUAUGAAACUGAAACUGUUGUGGCACAUCUUACUAAGUUGAAUGACAUAGCCACCCUUUUUACUCAUGAUGAGAACACUCGCUAUUACUAUAUUCUCAAAUUAUUUCUGUUCUCAUUAAAGGGUGAUGCUAAAGCUUGGUACAAUACUCUUGCUCCUGGGUGUGUGCGUAGUCCCCAAGAUAUGAUUUAUUACUUCUCUGAAAAAUAUUUUCCUGCUCAUAAGAAACAAGCUGCCUUACAGGAAAUAUUUAACUUUGUGCAAACUAAAGAAGAGAGUCUCCCACAAGCUUGGGGGAGGCCUUGCCAGUUACUUAAUGCUUUGCCUGAUCAUCCUCUUAAGAAAAAUGAAAUACUUGAUAUCUUCUAUAAUGGACUAACCGAUGCUUCUAGGGACUUCCUAGAUAGUUGUGCUGGUUGUGUUUUCAGGGAACGAACUAUUGGGCAAGCUGAAGAAUUAUUGAAUAAUAUAUUGAAAAAUUAUGAUGAUUGGACUCUUCCUGAACCACCGGCUAAACCCACUCCGAAGAAGAGGGGUAUAUUAUAUCUCAGUCUUGAAGAUAUGCAAGAGGCAAAGAAAUCUAUGAAGGAGAAAGGUAUUAAAGUUGAGGAUGUUAAAAUUUUACCUCCUAUUGAAGAAAUACAUGGGCUUGAUACACCAUCACUGCCUAAGGUGGUAGAGGUAAAUUCUUUAAUGAAGUUCAAUGAUAAUGAUAAUCCUCACAAUAUGCAUCCUAGCCAAUGCCUUUAUGAGUUUGAAAACUAUAUUAGAAAACAAGAUCACUUCAAUGCAAAUGUUAUGAAACAAUUGAAAUAUAAUUCUGAUAUGAUUGCUCGCUUGAGUAACUUGUUAUUUAGAAUCUCAAAUGAUGUUAGAGGUGUUGGAAAGCAUGCUUCUAUGGUUCAAACUCAAUUAGAACAAGUUGCUAAAUCUCAAAGAGAGUUGCUUGAUGAAAUGAAUCAUAAUAUAAAUGACUUUGCUGUUAGAGUUGCAACCAGUGGAGGUAAAAUGACUCAUGAACCACUUUAUCCUGAGGGACACCCAAAAAGAAUUGAACAAGACUCUCAAAGAGCUAAUGCUAAUGUACCUAGUCCUUCUAAAAAGAAAAAUAAGAAGAAGAAGAAAAAUGAUAGGACUUUGCAUGCUUCUAGUGAACCUGAAAUAGAAAAACCUCCUGAUAAUGAUAAUGAUGUCUCCAUUUCUGAUGCUGAAACUCAAUCUGGUAAUGAACAUCCACCUAGUGAUAAUGAAAAAGAUAAUGUUGAUGUUCAUGAAGAUGCUCAACCAAACAAUGAAAAAGAGCCAGAUAAUGAUGUUGAGAUAGAACCACCUGUUGAUCUUGAUAACCCACAACCUAAGAAUAAAAGAUAUGAUAAAACAGACUUCAUUGCUAGAAAACAUGGUAAAGAAAGAGAACCGUGGGUUCAAACACAUAUGCCUUUUCCACCCAAGUCAACUAAAAAGAAAGAUGAUGAAGAAUUUGAAUGCUUUGCUGAAAUGCUGAGGCCAAUCUUUUUGCGUACUCGCUUGACUGAUAUCUUGAAAAUGUCUCCUUAUGCAAAGUAUAUGAAAGACAUCAUCACUAAUAAGAGAAAAAUACCGGAAGAUGAAAUCUCCACUAUGCUUGCUAAUUAUACUUUUAGGGAUGGAGUACCUAAAAAACUUGGAGAUCCGGGAAUACCAACUAUACCUUGCUCCAUCAAAAAGAAUUGUGUGAAAACUGCUUUGUGUGAUUUAGGAGCUGGUGUUAGUGUUAUGCCUUUCUCUUUAUAUAAAAGACUUGAUUUGAAUAAACUCACACCUACUGAAAUAUUUUUGCAAAUGGCUGACAAAUCAACUGCCAUACAUAUCGGUAUUUGUGAGGAUGUGCCCAUUGUUGUUGCUAAUGUUACUAUCUUGACUGACUUUGUUAUACUUGAGAUGCCCGAGGACGAUAAAAUGUCGAUUAUCCUUGGUAGACCCUUCUUGAAUACUGCAGCGGCUUUUAUUGAUUGCAAUAAAAGCAAAGUCACUUUUCAUAUCAAUGGUAAUGAGCAUACAGUGCACUUUCCAAAGAAACAAUUCCAAGAAAAUGGUAUUAAUGUUAUUGAAAAAUUUCCGACAAUCACUAUUGGAAGUUUUCAAAUACCUCUACCUACUGUCAAAAAGAAAUAUGAAAUGCUUAUUGUGGGUGAUAUUCAUAUCCCCGUUGAGGUAACUUAGUGAUUUACGAAAGUUCUUCGGUUUCAUGCUAAUCGAAAGUGGUUGUUAAUAAGACCUGAUCAACCUUAUUAAUGGAUCAUUUUUGAGCGGUAUGAAGUUGAUGAAUUUAGUAAGCACUGCCUUCUGUUCCUACCUUUUGUUUUAUGUUUCUAUUAGUUAAAUAAAAUAAAAUGCCAUGUUUUGUCUGUUUUCUGAAUCUCCCGUGCAAUAAAAAAUGACUCAAAAAUAAAAGUUCUCAGAAUGCUCUAAAAAUUUAAUACGAAUUUUUCUGAAUAUUUCUGAAUUUAUGGUGCAAAUAAUACCAGAGGGAGGUGCACCAGGUGGGCACAACCCACCUGGGCGCGCCAGGACUCCCAGUUGCGCCCUGGUGGGUUGUGGUCCCCACGUGGGCCCCCUCACUUAUCUCUUCAUCCCACAUCAUCACUUACCUCCAGAAAAAAAUCUCCAUUGCUCUCUCUCCCAUGUUCUUGCUCUCAAACCCGCGGAUUUCGAUCUCUUUGCUCGAACUUCCGUUUCUGAAACUGUUUCGAGGGAUUGUUGCUUGGUAUGUGACUCCACCGUUUGUCCAAUUAGUUUUUGUUUUAGUGGUUUAUAUUUUGAAUAAUUAGCUACUCUUGGUGCUGCUGUAGAUGAGCUUGCAUGUUGAAUUCUUAGAGUACUAAGUAGUUUGAAUGCUUGUUGUGGCCUCUAUGUAUCCCUAUGAGUAGUUGCUAUCAAUCUUAUAAUGUUUUGUUGAUAAAUUUUUGUCACCCAAAGAUUUUAAGAAAAAUUUACGCGAACAUGAUGAACCCAUUUGGAAGGAGUUCUUCGAGGAGGAGAUCCUCAGGGGCAUCUUCUAGUGACAGCUCCGCUCGCAGGUCUUAUGUUGAACCAAGUGAAGGUUCCACACGAGAUGCUGCCACCAAAACAUGCUUAUGGACUUGCGAUGACUAUAUGGUGCGUGUGGGCAUUAAGGAGGAAUUUGAUCAAUAUGUUCACAAUGCCGGUCUCGGUCCCUACAUUUCAGAUAAGUGUGAACAACACCACAUUCUCACUGAAUCAUUUGUCAAAGGAUUUAAAUUCCAUCCCCGUGAGUCUAGGGUCUCGUUUAUGCUUUAUGAUAAUCCAUUUACCAUCUCACUAGAGAAUUUUGCUUACCACUGCAAACUCCCAUUCUGGGGUUCGCUUGACGAACCGCCAAGGGCUGAGUACCAAUCAUUUUUGACUAGUCUUUGCUACGGUGAGACGAGGGGAGUGACAUAGGGUAGAAUAAAGAGCAUUCAUUUUCCCGCAAUUCAGUACUUUGCAUUAUUUAAUGGGAAAUGUAUAGUAGGCAAGCAAGACUGUACACCUUGUGCUCCAGACUUGAGCCUCAUACGCACUGCUCUAACUGGUAAUAGGAGUUAUAACCUAGGAGCAAUUGUUGCACGCAGACUUCAGCAUAACGCUAACAGUGGCUAUUUCUAUGGUGGAAUAUAUGCCACGCGUUUAGCACGAGGGCUAGGUGUUUCACCUUUGCCCUUUGAACCUAUUCUACCCACGCAGUAUUUAGAUUUCAAUGUUUUGAAGAGUCAGAAGAUCCUCACAGGAAAAGUUCAUAACUUUACUUACAAUCUGUUGUUUAACAAAACAUCUAUUGUGCACAUAUAUUAGCCUGCGCCUGCUCUUUUUGACUAUCAUGGCAAAGGAAGAUACUUUGUUCUUGAGAGCGAGGCCCGAGCUCACAACGCAGCAGUGGAGGCAGCGCGGCAGGCCGAGGCAUCCGCACCGAGAGCCUCCGUGAGCUACCACGCCAACUACUAUCCAGACUAUUGAUCGAUUACCAAGUUAGGCCAAAAGCCUAAGCUUGGGGGAGUACGUGUUUCUCACCGACAUUACAUUCAUAUUCACACAUUUCAUUUCAGUUGUUGGUGUUCACACUUUUUCAUUGUAUCAUCCAUGUUAAAUUUAUUUUCUCGCUUUCUUCUUGUGUGUUUGAAAAACCUUGAGAAAAUACAAAAAUAUUUCCUGCUUCUUUUUGGUUUUCUUUCUAGAGUAGUUAGCUGUAGCACUAAAAAGAAAACCCAAAAAGAUUUCCUUGUUCUUCUUUUGCUUGUUGGGAGCUUUCCCGUGUAAAUAGUUUUUUCUUGUUUUUGCUUUUCCCUUUUAUUUGCUUGUUCAAGAAAACCAAAAACUCCAAAAAUAUUUCAUUGUGUUUCUCUGAAUUUUCUUUCUUUUUGUUUGAGUCAUACCAAGGAGAAGACCACGAUGAAAAUGUUGAGUGGCUCUCAUAUGAAUAACUGUUGAUCUAAUAAAGAGCCCAUUUUACCUUGUCUUCUCCUGUUGAAUAAAAUGUUUGCAGAUUCCAGCUUAGUCCACGGCACCCUUGCACUAUUAUUAUUUUCAUAUCAUUCGGUCGUGCAAGUGAAAGGCAAUAAUGAUGAUAUUCGAUGCACUGGCCGUGGCAGAGAGAAACUGGUAUGAACUCGACUUGUUCUAUUUGUAUAAAUAUGUUUAACCUAGUAUCCAUGAUUCAGCCCAUUAUGAUUAAACAUGUUUGCAAUGACAAUUAGAGAUUAUAGUUUCUCAUGCCAUGCAUAAGUAGCUCGGAGUGGAUAAUGAUUUAUCUUGGAUAUCGACAUUGCGUUAAAAUGAUUGUGAUGUAGUAUGAUGAUAUGGUAUCCUCCUCUGAAUGUUCGAGUGGCUCUAUGAUGUUGAAUCAAAACCAACAUAGCCUCUAUGAUAUUUAUGUUCAUGGUGUUCAUAUCCUACUCAUGCUAGUGUCCAAUUUUACUUAUGCGUAAUGCAUGUUCAUGACCGUUGUUGCUCUCUAGUUGGCUGCUUCUCAACCUAAUUGCUAGCCUUCGCCUGUACUAAGUGGGAAUUCUGCUUGUACAUCAAAAUCCUUGAACCCAAGUUAUUCCAGAUGAGUCCACCAUACCUACCUAUAUGCGGUAUUACCCUGCCGUCCUAAGUAAAUUUGCAUGUGCCACCUCUAAAAACUUCAAAUAAAUAUCCUUUUUGUGUGCCUGGAUCGUUCAUGGAACGACAGGAGGUGGUUGGUAUCUUUCAUGCUAAGUGGGUUAUUCUUAGGUCGAGUGUUUAUUCACUCUCCAUUGCACGAGAAAAGGGCGGUAAUAGGGAUUCCCAGUCCCAAACUCAAAAAUGCAAAUAAUUAAACAAAACUCCCCCGGGACUGUUGUUGGUAUGGAUGGCACCCGUUGUUUCAGACAAGCCGUGGAAUGUGAUUGUUGGUGGAGGGGGAGUAAACCUUUACUUUUACCGCUUGGGAACCGCCACUAGCGUGUUUAGCAUGGAAGAUAUUGAUAACUGAUGAUCGUGAAGUAAAUGAGAAGGGUGCAUGUCUCAAAAUAUCAUUUACCUCUGUUUUAAAAACUUGAGCUCUGGCACCUCUGCAAAUCACUGCUUCCCUCUGCAAAUCACGCUAUAAAAUCCUAUUUUUCUAGAAAAAAUGAGGGGGAAAGAAUUAUCGCGAUCCACGAGACGGAGCCGCCGUCACCUCCUGUUCUUCAUCGGGAGGCCAGAUCUGGAGUCUGUUUGGGGCUCCAGAGAUGGGGAUCUUCAUUCUUCGUCAUCACCAACCCUUCUCCAUCGCCAAUUCCAUGAUGCUCCCCACCGGGAGUGAGUAAUUCCUUCGUAGGCUCGCUGGUUGGUGAGGAGUUGGAUGACAUUCAUCAUGUAAUCGAGUUAGUUUUGUUAGGGCUUCAUCCCUAGUAUCCACUAUGUUCUUAGAUUGAUGUUGCUAUGACUUUGCUAUGCUUAAUGCUUGUCACUUUGGGCCCGGGUGCCAUGAUUUCAGAUGAACCGUUUAUGUUAUCGCCAUUAUAUCCAUUUCCUAGAUCCGAUCUUGCAAGUUAUAGUCACCUACUACGUGUUAUGAUCCGGCAACCCCGGAGUGACAAUAGUCGGGACCACUCCCGGUGAUGACUGUAGUUUGAGGAGUUCAUGUAUUCACUAUGUGUUAAUGCUUUGUUCCGGUUCUCUAUUAAAAGGAGACCUUAAUAUCCCUUAGUUUCCAAUAUGGACCCCGCUGCCACGGGAGGGUGGGACAAAAGAUGUCAUGCAAGUUCUUUCCAUAAGCACGUAUGACUACGGAAUACAUGCCUACAUUAUAUUGAUGAACUAGAGCUAGUGUCGUAUCGCCCUAGGUUAUAACUGUCGCAUGAUGAAUAUCAUCCAACAAGUCGCCGAUCCAAUGCCUACGAAUUUAUCUUAUAUUGUUCUUGCUAAGUUACUACUGCUACUGUUACUGUUGCACUUGCUACAAAAAUACUGCUAUCACUCUUACCGUUAUCGUUGCUACUGUUACUAUCAAACUACUUUGCUACUGAUCACCUUGCUAUAGAUAACUAAUCUCCACGUGUGGUUGAAUUGACAACUCAGCUGCUGAUACCUUCAAAUAUUCUUUGCCUCCCCUUGUGUUGAAUCUAUAAAUUUGGGUUGAAUACUCUACCCUCGAAAAUUGUUGUGAUCCCCUAUACUUGUGGGUUAUCAGCCUCCCACUUAUGAUUAACCCCUCUCACAAGCAUCCGCAACUACGAAAGAAGAAUUAAGGUAAACCUAACCAUAGCAUGAAACAUAUGGAUCCAAAUCAGCCCCUUGCGAAGCAACGCAUAAACUAGGGUUUAAGCUUCUGUCACUCUAGCAACCCAUCAUCUACUUAUUACUUCCCAAUGCCUUUCCCCAGGCCCAAAUCAUGGUGAAGUGUCAUGUAGUCGACAUUCACAUAACACCACUAGAGGAAAGACAACAUACAUCUCAUCAAAAUAUCGAACGAAUACCAAAUUCACAUGAUUACUUAUAACAAGACUUCUCCCGUGUCCUCAGGAACAAACAUAACUACUCACAAAGCAUAUUUGUGUUCAUAAUCAGAGGGGUAUUGGAUAGCAUUAAGGAUCUGAACAUAUGAUCUUCCACCGAAUAAACCAACUAGCAUCAACUACAAGGAGUAAUCAACACUACUAGCAACCCACAUGUACCAAUCUGAGGUUUUGAGACAAAGAUCGGGUACAAGAGAUGAACUAGGGUUUGAGAGGAGAUGGUGCUGGUGAAGAUGGAUGGAGAUUGACCCCCUCUCGAUGAGAGGAUCGAUGGUGAUGACGAUGGCGAUGAUUUCCCCCUCCCGGAGGGAAGUAUCCCCGGUAGAACAGCCCUGCCGAAGCUCUAGAUUGGUUUAGCCCAGGUUCCGCCUCGAGACGGCGGCUCUUCGUCCUGAAAGCUUCUAUCUGAUUUUUUCUAGGUCAAAACACACCAUAUAGCCAAAGAUGGGCACCGGAGGCCUACCGGGGGGCCCACAAGGUCAGGGGGCGCGCCCGGGGGGGUAGGGCGCGCCCCCCACCCUUGUGGCUGGCUGGUGGGCCCCCUUUGGCACUUUCACCCAAUAUUUUUUUAUAUUCCAAAAAUAUGCUCCGUGAAGUUUCAGGACUUUUGGAGUUGUGUAGAAUAGGUCUCUAAUAUUUGCUCCUUUUCCAGUCCAGAAUUCCAGCUGCCGGCUUUCUCCCUCUUCAUGUAAACCUUAUAAAAUAAGAGAGAAAAUGCAUAAUUAUUGUGAUAUAAUGUGUAAUAACAGCCCAUAAUGCAAUAAAUAUCAAUAUAAAAGCAUGAUGCAAAAUGGACGUAUCAACUCCCCCAAGCUUAGACCUCGCUUGUCCUCAAGCGAAAGCCGAUAUCAAAAAAUAUGCCCACAUGUUUAGAGAUAGAGGUGUCGAUAAAAUAAAAUACGGACAUGAGGGCAUCAUGAUCAUCUUUAGAACAGCAACAUAACUUGUCAUAUAGGUUCUUAUGUUAAAGUAACAAUUCAUUCACAAGGUAAAGUAUGAAUUAGAAACUUCAUUGAUAGCCAACAAACUAUGAUCUCAGUCAUUGAAGCAAUUGCAAUUUAUCAUACAUCGGAAAGAGUCAAAUAUAAGAGCUUUUCAGCAAGUGCACAUACUCAACUAUCAUUUAGUCUUUCAUAAUUGCUGACACUCACGUGAUACUUAAUGAGUUCAAAGUUUCAACCGGACACAGAGAAAGAUAGGGGCUUAUAGUUUCGCCUCCCAAUGAUUUACCUCAAGGGUAAUGUCAACAAUAAUGGUUCAUGGCUCUCUACAUCCGCAUGGAUAUAUAUAUCUAGAUCUAGCUCCAACAUAUUGUGCUUGCCAAAAGAUAAAAGUAAAAAGGUAAGGUGAUGAUCACCAUGACUCUUGUAUAAGGAUAUGAGAUGAAAAUAAAAGAUAGGCCCUUCGCAGAGGGAAGCAGAGGUUGUCAUGCGCUUUUAUGGUUGGAUGCACAAAAUCUUAAUGCAAAAGAACGUCACUUUAUAUUGCCACUUGUGAUAAUGGACCUUUAUUAUGCAGUCUGUCGCUUUUAUUUCUUCCAUAUCACAAGCUCGUAUAAAGCUUAUUUUCUUCACACUAAUAGAUCAGACAUAUUUAGAGAGCAUUUUUUAUUGCAUGCACCGAUGACAACUUAUUUGAAGGAUCUUACUCAAUCCAUAGGUAGGUAUGGUGGACUCUCAUGGCAAAACUGGUUUAAGGGAUGUUUGGAAGCACAAGUAGUAUCUCCACUUGGUGCAAAGCAUUUUGGUUAGCAUGAGAGGGAAAGCAAGCUCAACAUGUUGGAGGAUCUAUAACAAUAUAACCUCUGUUAGGAUGUAAGAAGACAUAACCCAUUAUGUUGUCUUCCUUGUCCAACUUCAACUUUUUAGCAUGUCAGAUUUUAAUGAGUGCUCACAAUUCUAAAAGAUGUCCAAGAUAAUAUAUUUAUAUGUGAAACCUCUCUUUCUUUAUUACUUCCUAUUAAUUGCAACAAUGACCAAAACUAUGUUUGUCAACACUCAACAACUUUUAUUCUCCAUACUCUUUAUAUGUGAAAUCAUUACUCUCCAUAAGAUCAACAUAUGAUCUUUUUAUUUCCUUUUAUUCUUUCUUUAAUAAUUCCCUCAAGAUCAUAGCAAUAUAGCAAAGCCCUCAACUCAAAACUAUUCUUUAUUAUAUAUAACUCGAGGACUCGAUUACAUAGAUAGAGAUCAAAACAAAACUCAAAGCUAGAUCAUACUAAAACUUUAUUCUACUAGAUCAAGAUAUAACUAAAAGGGUGGAACAAAGAAAAACGGUAAAGAUAAAGGUGUGAUGGUGAUAUGAUACCGGGGCACCUCCCCCAAGCUUGGCAGUUGCCAAGGGGAGUGCCCAUACCCAUGUAUUUAUGAUUCUUUCUUCGGAGGUGGUGACGAUGGAGUUGUUGAUGAUGUAGGCUUGUCGUCCGCCUUCCAGGGCAUAGGCUCACCAUCGUAAAAGGAAGAACGAGUCUCCGGGAUCCUCAAAUCUGCAGCCAAACUCAUCAUCCUAAAUCUAUAUUCAUACUCAUAGUUCUGGUUCUGCAGGUCACAGAUAUGGGCUUGGAGAUGCUCGAUUUUCUCAUGAAUCUUGAAGAUGGCAUCCUCUAUGUUCUUGGCAUCCAGCUUAUGGUUGUUGGUGAACUCCGCAAUCAUCAUGUGAUUGGCGUUGAGUCCACGUUCCACCAUCCCCUGGCACUUGAAAACUUGUUGCUCCAUUGCUUCGAGUCUUGUCUCCACGCUUCCGGUCUUCUUCGGUCCCUCAACAUCGCGGAUGUAUAGCACCCCCUCACGCAUCUCAAUGGUUUGAGGGUGUUGCAGCACCUCUGCGUGGUAAGGGUUGAUGACCUUCUCGAAAAACUUGUCCUUGGGGGCGCUUGGAGACGUCAUGGUGAUCUAGAUCUGUCAGAGAAACAGCUCGAAACAAAAACAGUAGAUUUUGUCGUGGUACUGUGGUCAAAACCUUCGGGAGAUUAUAUAAUGAUUUUUUACCGACCCAAAGAAGUAUUGUGCAAGAAAACGGAGUCCAGAGGGCACACAAGGUGGCCACAAGGUCGGGGGCGCGCCCAGGGGGUAGGCGCACCCUCCACCCUUGUGGUCGCCUCGUGUCUCUUUCGGACUACUUUUAAUUUCCCUAACUAUUAAAAUAUUCCAAAACGGAGAAAAAUUGCUAUUUAAACAGUUUCGGAGUCGGUUUACUUAUUGUACCACAUACCUAUUCCUUUUCGGAGUUUGAAACGUUCUGGAAAGUAUCCCUUAUGUACUCCUCCGGUAUUAAUAAUAUUGGUUUCAACAUUUAUGGGAGUACCUGAGAUAUAAUGUUUGAUUCUUUGGCCAUUCACCACCUUCGGAUUUGUGCCUUCGGCGUUGUUGAUUUUGAUGGCACCGGAACGAUAGACCUCCUCGAUAAUGUAAGGACCUUCCCAUUUAGAGAGAAGUUUUCCUGCAAAACAUGAUCACCUACAUUAAACUCACGCUUUUGUAUCCUUUUGUCAUGCCAUCUUUUAACUUUUUCUUUAAACAACUUGGCAUUCUCAUAGGCUUGGGUUCUCCAUUCAUCAAGUGAGCUAAUGUCAAAUAGUCUCUUCUCACCGGCAAGUUUGAAACCAUAGUUGAGCUCUUUAAUAUCCCAAUAUGCCUUAUGUUCUAGUUCAAGAGGUAAGUGACAUGCUUUUCCAUAAACCAUUUUAUACGGAGACAUACCCAUAGGGUUUUUAUAAGCAGUUCUAUAAGCCCAUAAUGCAUCAUCGAGUUUCUUAGACCAAUUAUUUCUAGAUCUAUUAACAUUCUUUUGAAAAAUCAAUUUAAUCUCUCUGUUGCUCAAUUCUACUUGACCACUAGACUGAGGAUGAUAUGGAGAUGCAAUUCUUGUUGGGGAUCGUAGCAGAAAUUUAAAAAUUUCUACGCAUCGCCAAGAUCAAUCUAUGGAGUCAUCUAGCAAUGAGAGAGAGGAGUGCAUCUACAUACCCUUGUAGAUCGCGAGCGGAAGCGUUCAAGAGAACGGGGUUGAUGGAGUCGUACUCGUCGUGAUCCAAAUCACCGAUGAUCCUAGCGCCGAACGGACGGCACCUCCGCGUUCAACACACGUACGGUUGGGAGAGACGUCUCUUCCUUCUUGAUCCAGCAAGGGGGGAGAGGUUGAUGGAGAUCCAGCAGCACGGCGGCGUGGUGGUGGAAGCAGCGGGGAUCUCGGCAGGGCUUCGCCAAGCUCAGCGAGAGGGAGAGGUGUUACGGGAGGGAGAGGGAGGCGCCAGGGCUUGGGUGCGCAGCCCUUCCUUCCCCCCCCCCUUUAUAUAGGGGCCCUGGGGGGCGCCGGCCCCUAGAGAUCUAAUCUCAAGGGGGGGCGGCGGCCAAGGGGGGGACUUGCCCCCCAAGUCAGGUGGGGCGCCCCCCACCCCCAGGGUUUCCAACCCUAGGCGCAGGGGGAGGCCCAUGGGGGGCGCACCAGCCCACCAGGGGCUGGUUCCCUUCCCACUUCAGCCCAUGGGGUCCUCCGGGAUAGGUGGCCCCACCCGGUGGACCCCCGGGACCCUUCCGGUGGUCCCGGUACAAUACCGGUGACCCCCGAAACUUUCCCGGUGGCCGAAACUGGACUUCCUAUAUACAAAUCUUUACCUCCGAACCAUUCCGGAACUCCUCGUAAUGUCCGGGAUCUCAUCCGGGACUCCGAACAACUUUCGGGUUACCGCAUACUAAUAUCUCUACAACCCUAGCGUCACCGAACCUUAAGUGUGUAGACCCUACGUGUUCGGGAGACACGCAGACAUGACCGAGACGACUCUCCGGUCAAUAACCAACAGCGGGAUCUGGAUACCCAUGUUGGCUCCCACAUGCUCCUCGAUGAUCUCAUCGGAUGAACCAUGAUGUCGAGGAUUCAAGUAAUCCUGUAUACAAUUCCCUUUGUCAAUCGGUACGUUACUUGCCCGAGAUUCGAUCGUCGGUAUCCCAAUACCUCGUUCAAUCUCGUUACCGACAAGUCACUUUACUCGUACCGUAAUGCAUGAUCCCGUGACCAACCACUUGGUCACAUUGAGCUCAUUAUGAUGAUGCAUUACCGAGUGGGCCCAGAGAUACCUCUCCGUCAUACGGAGUGACAAAUCCCAGUCUCGAUCUGUGCCAACUCAACAGACACUUUCGGAGAUACCUGUAGUGCACCUUUAUGGCCACCCAGUUACGUUGUGACGUUUGGUACACCCAAAGCAUUCCUACGGUAUCCGGGAGUUGCACGAUCUCAUGGUCUAAGGAAAUGAUACUUGACAUUAGAAAAGCUUUAGCAAACGAACUACACGAUCUAGUGCUAUGCUUAGGAUUGGGUCUUGUCCAUCACAUCAUUCUCCUAAUGAUGUGAUCCCGUUAUCAGUGAUAUCCAAUGUCCAUGGUCAGGAAACCAUAACCAUCUAUUGAUCAACGAGCUAGUCAACUAGAGGCUUACUAGGGACAUGUUAUAGUCUAUGCAUUCACACAUGUAUUACGAUUUCCGGAUAACACAAUUAAAGCAUGAACAAUAGACAAUUAUCAUGAAAAGGAAAUAUAAUAAUAACCAUUUUAUUAUUGCCUCUAGGGCAUAUUUCCAACAGUCUCCCACUUGCACUAGAGUCAAUAAUCUAGUUACAUUGUGAUGAACCGUACACCCAUAGAGUUCUGGUGUUGAUCAUGUUUCGCUCGUGGAAGAGGUUUAGUCAACGGAUCUGCGACAUUCAAAUCCGUAUGCACUUUACAAAUAUCUAUGUCUCCAUUUUGAUCAUUUUCACGAAUGGAGUUGAAGCGACGCUUGAUGUGCCUGGUCUUCUUGUGAAACCUGGGCUCCUUGGCAAGGGCAAUAGCUCCAGUGUUGUCACAGAAGAGAGUCAUUGGCCCCGAUGCAUUGGGAAUAACUCCUAGGUCGGCAAUGAACUCCUUCAUCUCAACGACCGCGUCACCCGGGAGAUUAACUCCCAGCUGAGACAAGCGGUUGUGCAACCCAGACAUUUUGAGUAUGUGUUCGCUGACGGAACUAUUCUCCUCCAUCUUACAACUGUAGAACUUGUCAGAGACUUCAUAUCUCUCGACCCGGGCGGGAAAACCAUUUUCAGCUCUUGGAACAUCUCAUAUGCUCCGUGCUGCUCAAAACGCUUUUGGAGCCCUGGUUCUAAGCUGUAAAGCAUGCCGCACUGAACCAGGGAGUAAUCAUCACUACGCGACUGCCAGGCGUUCAGAACGUCUUGAGUUGCUGGGAAAACAGGUGCAUCACCUAGCAGUGCUUCAAGGACAUAUGCUUUCUUGGCAGCUAUGAGGAUAAUCCUCAGGUUACGGACCCAGUCCGUGUAGUUGCUACCAUCGUCUUUCAGCUUGGUUUUCUCUAGGAACGCGUUGAAGUUGAGGGCAACAUUAGCGUGGGCCAUUUGAUCUACAAGACAUAUUGUAAAGAUUUUUAGACUAAGUUCAUGAUAAUUAAGUUCAUCUAAUCAAAUUAUUAACGAACUCCCACUCAGACAGACAUGCAUCCCUCUAGUCAUCUAAGUGAUACAUGAUCCGAGUCAACUAGGCCGUGUCCGAUCAUCACGUGAGACGGACUAGUCAUCAUCGGUGAACAUCUUCAUGUUGAUCGUAUCUGCUAUACGACUCAUGUUCGACCUUUCGGUCUCUUGUGUUCCAAGGCCAUGUCUGUACAUGCUAGGCUCGUCAAGUCAACCUAAGUGUAUUGCGUGUGUAAAUCUGGCUUACACCCAUUGUAUGUGAACGUUAGAACCUAUCACACCCGAUCAUCACGUGGUGCUUUGGAACAACGAACUUUCGCAACGAUGCACAAUUAGGGGGAACACUUUCUUGAAAUUUUAGCGAGGGAUCAUCUUAUUUAUGCUACCGUCGUUCUAAGCAAAUAAGAUGUAAAACAUGAUAAACAUCACAUGCAAUCAAAUAGUGACAUGAUAUGGCCAAUAUCAUUUUGCUCCUUUUGAUCUCCAUCUUCGGGGCGCCAUGUUCAUCAUCGUCACCGGCAUGACACCAUGAUCUCCAUCAUCGUGUCUUCAUGAAGUUGUCUCGCCAACUAUUACUUCUACUACUAUGGCUAACGGUUAGCAAUAAAGUAAAGUAAUUACAUGACGUUCCAGUUGACACGCAGGUCAUAAAUAAAUCAAGACAACUCCUAUGGCUCCUGCCGGUUGUCAUACUCAUCGACAUGCAAGUCGUGAUUCCUAUUACAAGAACAUGAUCAAUCUCAUACAUCACAUAUAUCAUUCAUCACAUCCUUCUGGCCAUAUCACAUCACAUGACACUUGCUGCAAAAACAAGUUAGACAUCCUCUAAUUCUUGUUGCAAACUUUUACGUGGCUGCUAUAGGUUUCUAGCAAGAACGAUUCUUACCUACGCCAAAACCACAACGUGAUAUGCCAAUUUCUAUUUACCCUUCAUAAGGACCCUUUUCAUCGAAUCCGAUCCGACUAAAGUGGGAGAGACGGACACCCGCUAGCCACCUUAUGCAACUAGUGCAUGUCAGUCGGUGGAACCUGUCUCACGUAAGCAUACGUGUAAGGUCGGUCCGGGCCGCUUCAUCCCACGAUGCCGCUGAAUCAAGAUAAGACUAGUAACGGCAAGUAAAUUGACAAAAUCGACGCCCACAACAACUUGUGUUCUACUCGUGCAUAGAAACUACUCAUAGAUCUAGCUCAUGAUGCCACUGUUGGGGAUCGUAGCAGAAAUUUAAAAUUUUCUACGCAUCACCAAGAUCAAUCUAUGGAGUCAUCUAGCAACGAGAGAGAGGAGUGCAUCUACAUACCCUUGUAGAUCGCGAGCGGAAGCGUUCAAGAGAACGGGGUUGAUGGAGUCGUACUCGUCGUGAUCCAAAUCACCGAUGAUCCUAGCGCCGAACGGACGGCACCUCCGCAUUCAACACACGUACGGUUGGGAGAGACGUCUCCUCCUUCUUGAUCCAGCAAGGGGGAGGAGAGGUUGAUGGAGAUCCAGCAGCACGACGGCGUGGUGGUGGAAGCAGCGGGGAUCUCGGCAGGGCUUCGCCAAGCUCAGCGAGAGGGGGAGGUGUUACGGGAGGGGGAGGGAGGCGCCAGGGCUUGGGUGCGCAGCCCUCCCUCCCCCCUUUAUAUAGGGGCCCUGGGGGGCGCCGGCCCCUAGAGAUCUAAUCUCAAGGGGGGGCGGCGGCCAAGGGGGGACUUGCCCCCCAAGUCAGGUGGGGCGCCCCCCACCCCCAAGGUUUCCAACCCUAGGCGCAGGGGGAGGCCCAUGGGGGGCACACCAGCCCACCAGGGGCUGGUUCCCUUCCCACUUCAGCCCAUGGGGCCCUCCGGGAUAGGUGGCCCCACCCGGUGGACCCCCCGGGACCCUUCCGGUGGUCCCGGUACAAUACCGGUGACCCCCGAAACUUUCCCGAUGGCCGAAACUGGACUUCCUAUAUACAAAUCUUUACCUCCGGACCAUUCCGGAACUCCUCGUGAUGUCCGGGAUCUCAUCCGGGACUCCGAAGAACAUUCGGGUUACCGCAUACUAAUAUCUCUACAACCCUAGCGUCACCGAACCUUAAGUGUGUAGACCCUACGGGUUCGGGAGACACGCAGACAUGACCGAGACGACUCUCCGGUCAAUAACCAACAGCAGGAUCUGGAUACCCAUGUUGGCUCCCACAUGCUCCUCGAUGAUCUCAUCGGAUGAACCACGAUGUCGAGGAUUCAAGUAAUCCCGUAUACAAUUCCCUUUGUCAAUCGGUACGUUACUUGCCCGAGAUUCGAUCGUCGGUAUCCCAAUACCUCGUUCAAUCUCGUUACCGACAAGUCACUUUACUCGUAUCGUAAUGCAUGAUCCCGUGACCAACCACUUGGUCACAUUGAGCUCAUUAUGAUGAUGCAUUACCGAGUGGGCCCAGAGAUACCUCUCCGUCAUACGGAGUGACAAAUCCCAGUCUCGAUCUGUGCCAACUCAACAAAUACUUUCGGAGAUACCUGUAGUGCACCUUUAUGGCCACCCAGUUACGUUGUGACGUUUGGUACACCCAAAGCAUUCCUACGGUAUCCGGGAGUUGCACGAUCUCAUGGUCUAAGGAAAUGAUACUUGACAUUGGAAAAGCUUUAGCAAACGAACUACACGAUCUAGUGCUAUGCUUAGGAUUGGGUCUUGUCCAUCACAUCAUUCUCCUAAUGAUGUGAUCCCGUUAUCAGUGACAUCCAAUGUCCAUGGUCAGGAAACCAUAACCAUCUAUUGAUCAUGUUAUAGUCUAUGCAUUCACACAUGUAUUACGAUUUCCGGAUAACACAAUUAAAGCAUGAACAAUAGACAAUUAUCAUGAACAAGGAAAUAUAAUAAUAACCAUUUUAUUAUUGCCUCUAGGGCAUAUUUCCAACAAUUCUAUGGUUAACAUCAUAUUUAGCAAGCAUUUUACGGAAAGCACCAUGAAUAAAAUGUGAACCACCAUCAGUUAAUAAAUAUCUAGGGACUCCAAACCUCGGAAAAAUAACUUCUUUAAGCAUCUUAAUAGAGGUGUUAUGAUCAGCACUACUAGUUGGAAUAGCUUCUACCCACUUAGUAACGUAAUCAACGGCAACUAAAAUAUGUGUAUACCCAUUAGAGGAAGGAAAAGGUCCCAUAUAAUUAAAUCCCCAAACAUCAAAUGGCUCAAUAACAAGUGAAUAGUUCAUAGGCAUUUCCUGACGUCUACUAAUAUUACCAACUCUCUGACAUUCAUCACAAGACAAGAAAAACUUACGAGCAUCUUUAAAGAGAGUAGGCCAAUAAAAACCAGAUUGCAAUACCUUGUGUGCAGUUCUAUCUCCAGCAUGGUGUCCUCCAUAAGCCUCGGAGUGACACUUGCGUAGGAUCUGUUCCUGUUCAUGCUCAGGUACACAACGUCUAAUAACACCAUCUACUCCUUCUUUAUAAAGGUGUGGGUCAUCCCAAAAGUAAUGUCUUAAAUCAUAGGAAAACUUUUUCUUUUCUUGGUAUGUGAAGCUAGGUGGUAUAAAUUUAGCAACAAUAUAAUUAGCAUAAUCAGCAUACCAAGGAGUAUUAUGAGAAGCAUUUAUGACAGCUAAUUGCUCAUCAGGAAAGCUAUCAUCAAUAGAUAGUGGGUCAUCAAGAACAUUUUCUAACCUAGACAAGUUAUCUGCAACGGGGUUCUCGGCUCCCUUUCUAUCAAUAAUAUGCAAAUCAAAUUCUUGUAACAAGAGAACCCAUCUAAUAAGUCUAGGUUUAGAAUCUUUCUUUUCCAUAAGAUAUUUAAUAGCAGCAUGAUCAGUGUGAACAGUUGCUUUGGAAUCAACAAUAUAAGAUCUGAACUUAUCACAAGCAAAAACAACUGCUAAGAAUUCCUUUUCAGUAGUAACAUAAUUUCUCUGGGCACUUUCUAGAGUUUUACUAGCAUAAUGAAUAACAUUUAAUUUAUUAUCAACUCUUUGUCCUAAAACAGCACCAACAGCAUAAUCACUCGCAUCACACAUAAUUUCAAAGUGUAAAUUCCAAUCAGGUGGUUGAACAAUAGGUGCAGAAAUCAAGGCUUUCUUAAGUAUUUCUAAUGUUUCUACACAAUCAUCAUCAAAAACAAAAGGAACAUCUUUUUGCAAAAGAUUAGUGAGAGGCCUAGAAAUUUUAGAGAAGUCUUUAAUAAACCUCCUGUAGAAACCAGCAUGACCAAGAAAAAUUCUAAUGCCUUUGAUAUCUUUAGGACACGGCAUCUUUUCAAUAGCAUCUACUUUAGCUUUAUCAACUUCAAUACCUCUUUCAGAAAUCUUAUGCCCCAAAACAAUGCCUCCAUUAACCUAAAGUGGCACUUCUCCCAAUUCAAGACAAGAUUAGUUUAUUUGCAUCUCUGCAAAACUCGAUCAAGGUUGCUUAAGCAAUCAUCAAAAGAAGUUCCGUAAACGGAGAAAUCAUCCAUGAAAACCUCAACAAUCUUUUCACAAAAAGUCAGAGAAUAUAGCAGUCAUACAUCUUUGAAAGGUACCAGGUGCAUUGCAUAAACCAAAAGGCAUACGUCUAUAAGCAAAAGUACCAAAAGGGCAAGUAAAAGUAGUCUUUUCUUGAUCCUCUUUUGACACAGGUAUUUGAGAGAAACUAGAAUAACCAUCUAGAAAGCAAAAGUGUGUAUGUUUGGAUAGUCUUUCUAGCAUUUGAUCAAUAAAAGGUAGAGGGUAAUGAUCUUUCUUAGUAGCUUUAUUCAAUUUGCAAAAAUCAAUUACCAUUCUAUAACCUGUAACAAUUCUUUGUGGGAUCAAAUCAUCUUUACCAUUAGGAACAAUAGUAAUGCCUCCCUUCUUGGGGACACAAUGAACAGGACUUACCCACUAACUAUCAGCAAUAGGAUAAAUAAUACCUGCCUCCAGAAGCUUUAGUAUUUUAUUUCUUACCACCUCUUUCAUCUUCGGAUUUAAUCGACGUUGGUGAUCAACAACUGGUUUAGUAUCUCGUUCCAACUUAAUUUUGUGUUGGCAUAAAGUGGGACUAAUGCCUUUAAGAUCAUCAAGAGUAUAUUCAAUAGCAGCACGGUGCUUCUUCAGAGUUUUCAAUAAUUUCUUUUCUUCAUGCUCUAAAAGGUUAGCACUAAUAAUAACAGGAUAUACUUUCUUUUCAUCAAGAUAAGCAUAUUGCAACGUAUCAGGUAACGGUUUAAGCUCAAACACGGGAUCACCCUUAGGUGGAGGGGGAUCCCCAAGGAUUUCAACAGGCAAAUUGUUUUUCAGAAUAGGCCCUUGUUUAAAGAAUAUUUCAUCUAUUUCUCUUCUUUCAUUCAUAAACAUAUCAUUCUCAUGGUCUAGCAAAUAUUGUUCUAAAGGUUCAGUAGGGGGCACGGCAAUAGAAUCAAGACCAAUAAUUUCAUCCUUACUAGGCAAUUCUUUAUCACGGGGUUGUCUACGAAAUUUAGAGAAAUUAAAAUCAUGAGACAUAUCCCCUAGACCAACAGUAAUAAUAUCUUUCUCGCAGUCUAUCUUAGCAUUAACAGUUUCAAGAAAGGUCUACCAAAUAUAAUGGGACAAAAAUCAUCUUGUGAGCAACCAAGAACAAGAAAAUCAGUAGGAUAUUUUAUUUCCCACAUAAGACUUCAACAUCUCUAACAAUCCCAAUUGGUGAUAUAGUAUCUCUAUUAGCAAGCUUGAUAGUAACAUCAAUUUCUUCUAACUCAGGAGGUGCAAUUUCAUUCAUAAUUUCUUCAUAUAAGGUAAAAGGAAUUGCACUCAACGCUAGCACCCACAUCACAUAAGCCAUGAUAACAAUGAUCUCCUAUUUUAACAGAAACAACAGGCAUGCCAACAACAGGUCUAUGUUUGUCUUUACUAUCGGGUUUGGCAAUUCUAGCAGCUUCAUCGCAGAAAUAAAUAACAUGCCCCUCAAUAUUAUCAGCCAAGAGAUCUUUAACCAUAGCAAUAUUAGGUUCAACUUUGAUUUGUUCGGGUGGUCUAGGUGCUCUAAUAUUACUUUUAUUAACCAUAGUUGAAGCUUUAGCAUGAUCCUUUAUUCUAACAGGAAAAGGUGGUUUCUCAAUAUAAGCAAUAGGAAUAACAGGAUCAACAUUAUAAGUAAUAGUUUCUUCUUCAACUUUAAUUGGCUCAACUACUUUAACUUCAAUGGGAGGAUGAUAUUUAAACCACUUCUCCUUAGGGAGUUCAACAUGAGUAGCAAAUGAUUCACAGAAAGAAGCUACUAUCUCAGAGUCAACUCCAUAUUUAGUGCUAAAUUCAUGAAAAGCAUCGGUAUCCAUAAAAGAUUUAACACAAUCAAACUUAAGGUUUAUACCUGACUCAUUACCUUUGUCGAGAUCCCAAUCUUCAGAGUUACAUUUAAUUCUUUCCAAUAAAUCCCAUUUGAAAUCAAUAGUCUUAUUCAUAUAAGAGCUAGUACAAGAAGUAUCGAGCAUGGAUUGAUCAUUAUGAGAAAGCCGAGCAUAAAAAUUCUGAAUAAUAAUUUCUCUUGAGAGCUCAUGAUUGGGGCAUGAAUAUAACAUUGACUUAAGCCUCCCCCAAGCUUGAGCGAUACUUUCUCCUUCAUGAGGCCAAAAAUUAUAUAUAUAAUUCCGAUCACAAUGAACUAGAUGCAUAGGAUAAAACUUCUGAUGAAAUUCCAAUUUCAAUCGGUUGUAGUUCCAUGAUCCAAUAUCAUCACAUAGCCUAUACCAUGUCAAUGCCUUUCCCUUCAAAGAUAAAGGGAAGACCUUCUUCUUGACAACAUCCUCUGGGAUACCUGCAAGCUUAAAUAAUCCACAAACUUCAUCCACAUAGAUUAGGUGUAAAUCGGGAUGCAAUGUUCCAUCUCCUGCAUAAGGAUUAGCUAGCAGUUUCUCUACCAUACCCAAAGGAAUUUCAAAGUAAAUAUUUUCAGUAGGUGCAGUAGGUUGAGGAGACACUCUUUGUUCUUCCGGUCGGGGUGAAGAUACCCCGAACAAGCCCCUCAAAGGAUUAUUUUCCAUAGUAACAAGUGACAGUAAAUUUCAGCACACUAUAUAAAUGUUUCCUUACCAAAUUCCACUUACAUAAGGCGCUUCACUCCCUGGCAACAGCGCCAGAAAAGAGUCUUGAUGACCCACAAGUAUAGGGGAUCUAUUGUAGUUCUUUCAAUAAGUAAGAGUGUCGAACCCAACGAGGAGCAGAAGGAAAUGACAAGCGGUUUUCAGCAAGGUAUUCUCUGCAAGCACUGAAAUUAUGAGUAACAGAUAGUUGUGUGAUAAGAUAAUUCGUAACGGGUAACAAGUAACAAAAGUAAACAAGGUGAAGCAAGGUGUCCCAAUCCUUUUUGUAGCAAAGGACAAGCCUGGACGUACUCUUAUAUAAAGCAAAGCGCUCCCGAGGACACAUGGGAAUUAUUGUCAAGUUAGUAUUCAUCAUGCACAUAUGAUUCGCGUUUGCUACUUUGAUAAUUUGAUAUGUGGGUGGACCGGUGCUUGGGUGCUGCCCUUCCUUGGACAAGCCUCCCACUUAUGAUUAACCCCUCUCGCAAGAAUCCGCAACUACAAAAUAAGAAUCAAGGUAAACCUAACCAUAGCAUGAAACAUAUGGAUCCAAAUCAGCCCCUUACGAAGCAACGCAUAAACUAGAGUUUAAGCUUCUGUCACUCUAGCAACCCAUCAUCAACUUAUUACUUCCCAAUGCCUUCCCCUAGGCCCAAAUCAUGGUGAAGUGUCAUGUAGUCGACGUGUUGGGGAACGUAGCAUGUAAUUUCAGAAAAAAAUCCUACGAUCACGCAAGAUCUAUCUAGGAGAUGCAUAGCAACGAGAGGGGAGAGUGUGUCCAUGUACCCUCGUAGAACGAAAGCGGAAGCGUUACGUUAACGUGGUUGAUGUAGUCGAACGUCUUCACGAUCCAACCGAUCCAAGUACCAAACGUACGGCACCUCCGUGUUCAGCACACGUUCAGCUCGAUGACGUCCCUCGAACUCUUGAUCCAGCAGAGGGUCGAGGGAGAGUUCUGUCAACACGACGGCGUGGUGACGGUGAUGGUGAUGUGAUCCGCGCAGGGCUUCGCCUAAGCAAUACGACAAUAUGACUUGAGGUGUAAACUGUGGAGGGGGGCACCGCACAUGGCUAAGAAUAACUUGUGUGUCUUUGGGGUGCCCCCUGCCCACGUAUAUAAAGGAGGGGGGAGAGAGGCCGCUGGCCAGGAGGGGCGCGCCAUGGGGGGAGUCCUACUUGGACUCCUAGUCCAAGUAGGAUUCCCCCCCCCCCCUUUUCCUUUCUUCCACCGGAGGGAAUAGGAAGGAGAGGGAGAGGUAAAGGGAAGGGGGCGCCGCCCCCUCCUCCUUUUCCUAUUUGGACUCCCUAGGAGGGGGGCACGCGGCCAACCCCCCCACCCACAGGCUUCCCUCUCUCUCCCUUAGGCCCAUGUUGGGCCAACACUUCCCCGGGGGGUUCCGGUAACCCCUCGGUACUCCGGAAAAAUACCCGAAACACUUGGAACCAUUCCGAUGUCCGAAUAUAACCUUCCAAUAUAUUAAUCUUUACCUCGCGACCAUUUCGAGACUCCUCGUCAUGUCCGUGAUCUCAUCCAGGACUCCGAACAAACUUCGGUCACCAAAAAACAUAACUCAUAAUACAUAUCGUCAUCGAACGUUAAGCGUGCGGACCCUACGGGUUCGAGAACUAUGUAGACAUGACCGAGACACAUCUUCGGUCAAUAACCAAUAGCGGAACCUGGAUGCUCAUAUUGGCUCCUACAUAUUCUACGAAGAUCUUUAUCGGUCAAACUGCAUAACAACAUACAUCAUUCCCUUUGUCAUCGGUAUGUUACUUGCCCGAGAUUCGAUCCUCGGUAUCAUCAUACCUAGUUCAAUCUCGUUACCGGCAAGUCUCUUUACUCGUUCUGUAAUGCACCAUCCCACAACUAACCCAUUAGUCAUAUUGCUUGCAAGGCUUAUAGUGAUGUGCAUUACCGAGAGGGCCCAGAGAUACCUCUCUGAUACUCAGAGUGACAAAUCAUAAUCUUGAUCUAUGCCAACCCAACAAACACCUUCGGAGACACCUGUAGAGCAUCUUUAUAAUCACCCAAUUACGUUGUGACGUUUGAUAGCACACAAAGUGUUCCUCCGGUAUUCGGGACUUGCAUAAUCUCAUAGUCAGAGGAAUAUGUAUAAGUCAUGAAGAAAGCAAUAGCAAUAAAACUAAACGAUCAUAAUGCUAAGCUAACGGAUGGGUCUUGUCCAUCACAUCAUUCUCUAAUGAUGUGAUCCCGUUCAUCAAAUGACAACACAUGUCUAUGGAUAGGAAACAUAACCAUCUUUGAUUAACGAGCUAGUCAAGUAGAGGCAUACUAGGGACACUUAGUAUUGUCUAUGUAUCCACACAUGUACUAAGUUUCCGGUUAAUACAAUUCUAGCAUGAAUAAUAAACAUUUAUCAUGAUAUAAGGAAAUAUAAAUAACAACUUUAUUAUUGCCUGUAGGGCAUAUUUCCUUCAGUCUCCCACUUGCACUAGAAUCAAUAAUCUAGAUUACAUAGUAAUGAUUCUAACACCCAUGGAGUCUUGGUGUUGAUCAUGUUUUGCUCGUGGAAGAGGCUUAGUCAACGGGUCUGCAACAUUCAGAUCCGUAUGUAUUUUUCAAAUCUCUAUGUCUCCCUCCUUGACUUGAUCGCAGAUGGAAUUGAAGCGUCUCUUGAUGUGUUUGGUUCUCUUGUGAAAUCUGGAUUCCUUCGCCAAGGCUAUUGCUCCAGUAUUAUCACAAAAGAUUUUCAUUGGACCCGAUGCACUAGGUAUUACACCUAGAUCGGAUAUGAACUCCUUCAUCCAGACUCCUUCAUUUUCUGCUUCCGAAGUAGCUAUGUACUCCGCUUCACACGUAGAUCCCGCCACGACGCUCUGCUUGGAACUGCACCAACUGACAUCUCCACCAUUCAAUAUAAAUAUGUAUCCGGUUUGUGACUUAGAGUCAUCCGGAUCAGUGUCAAAGCUUGCAGCGACGUAACCAUUUACGACAAGCUCUUGUCACCUCCAUGAACGAGAAACAUAUCCUUAGUCCUUUUCAGGUAUUUCAGGAUGUUCUUGACCGCUGUCUAGUGAUCCACUCCUGGAUUACUGUAACACCCCGAUAAUCAUGCUACAGUAAUCUCCCCCUAAUGGUGCCAUGUCAUCAAGCUUUACUAAGUCAAAUUGUCACUCGAUAAAUUCAAAGUCAAAUUCAAAUUGAAAUUGCAAGUCAAAUAAAUUAUUUCUUUUGGCAGUAAAACUAAAAUGUUCAUAAUAUUGCAAAAAUUACCAAAGCUGUUAUAAAAAUAAAACCAACACUUUCGAAACUCCAAAAAUGCCCCUAGUAAUUAAAAUAGUGGACCAACAGCACAUUACUUGGCCUUUUCGAUUUCUAAAAAUGUUUGAACCUUUUCAAAAGACCUUAAACUUUUUGUGGCAGUGCUAUAUAAUGCAAUGAUGAUUAUGUGACAAGUUGCAUAAUUUACAAAAGUCAUUUGGUGGUCAAGCAAUUUACAAACCGGAGCCAAAAUGAAAAACUGAAAACAAAAAGAAAGAAGGAAAACUAAUACUGCUGCACUGGGCCAUAGUUGCCACAGUGCAGCCCAACCCACCAGGCCACGGCCUUUCAUCCACCUCCCGCUACAGGAGGCAGAGGGGAGCCGUGGCAAACAUCCAGCCGCCAUGGCCAUGGAUGGCCUCCACAUGCCCCCUCGGCCUAUAAAUUUGUCCAAUUGAAACCCUAGCACGCGCUCGUUCGAUUCCCUUUUCCUUCCCCCAUCGCCCCCCUCCUCAUCCGCCCAAAUUCGAGCUCGGAAUCUCGCAUGGUGACCGCGCACAUCGUCACUGUUGCCGUGGCGAACAUGCUCCCCAGUGCCUGUGGAUACGUCUAGAGGACCGCCACCCUUGACUUCAUCUUCCCCGAGCAACAAAUCAAGUCGGGACGGCCAGAACACUCGCCAUAGCCGCCAUCUUCACCGAGUACAUCUUCGUCGUCCGUCAUCGUUUGCCGCCGCCCGGUCCAGCCCCGGCCUCCCCAACCUCGCCAUCGGCAUCGUUGUGAGCUCCUCCUCCAUCCCCCUUGCUUAUUGCCUCGAUCCGUUGCCGUAGCCACUCGUACUCGCCAAGGCCGCCGCUCUUGGAGUCCGCGCUCACCGCGUACGCGCGCGCCUCUGCCUUGACCACGCCGUCCGCGUGCGCCCCCCGCUGCUUGCCUCUCCGGCCGCGCCUAGUGCACACACGCGCCCAGCCGUGCCACCCCUGCUCGCCGCUGGCUGCCCGCGUUGCUGCCGUUGCUCCUGACCGCUGCUGCUCACUGCUUUGCUACGUUGCUGCUGCUCUGGCCGCCUAGCACCACAUCGCCAGAGGCCGCCGCUGCCCCCUCCCCGCGCCCCCACCGCUCGCGGCUGCGCCCGCCUCAGCCGGCGGCGCCCACCUCCGCCCGGGCCUGCUCGCGCCCCCUGUGCCGAGCCUUCCCACGGCCAACACCAUGGCCGCCGGCGUCGUACUCUACGAGUACGUACGUACGGGCACAGCCACACCAGAGGCCGAUUUGGGCCACUGGCACAUGGGCCCGACCCCCUGUUAAUUAGGGAGGCCCUAAUUAGUUUAGCCAAAAACCCCCUAAUUAAGCUAAGUAAACUUAGUCAAAAACCUGUUAAUUAAAAUGAGUCAAUGACAAUUGGGACCCACAUACGCUGUUCACAUUGGACUAGUCAAAAUAUUGACUGGGUCAACCCAGCCCCUGGCCCCACAUGUCAUACAGAUGCACACAUUGCUGGGUACACUCCUGUGUACCCAUAGCAAUUUGUCUUUUUAUUAUUUCGAAUUAAAUUAAAUGCAGAAAUCCCAGGAUUUGUUUAAAUCUUUGAAAAAUCAUAGAAAAUAAACCGUAACUCGGAUGAAAAAGUUUUAUACAUGAAAGUUGCUCAGAACGACGAGACGAAUCCGGAUAUGCAUCCCGUUCGUCCGCCACACAUCCCUAGCAUAGCAAACACGCAACUUUCCCCCUCCGGUCCGUCUGUCCAAAAACGCGAAACAUCGGGAAUACUUUCCCGGAUGUUUCCCCCCUUCACCGGUAUCACCUCAUACCGCGUUAGAACACGUCUAGCUCUGCCUGUUGUCCUGUUAUGCACUUGCUUGCUAUGUAUUUACUGUUUCCCCCCCCCUCUUCUCUUCGGUAGACCCCGAGACGAUGCUGAUGCCCCUGUGGUCGACUACGUCACCGAUGACCCCUCCUUCUUGUCUGAGCAACCAGGCAAGCCNNNNNNNNNNNNNNNNNNNNNNNNNNNNNNNNNNNNNNNNNNNNNNNNNNNNNNNNNNNNNNNNNNNNNNNNNNNNNNNNNNNNNNNNNNNNNNNNNNNNNNNNNNNNNNNNNNNNNNNNNNNNNNNNNNNNNNNNNNNNNNNNNNNNNNNNNNNNNNNNNNNNNNNNNNNNNNNNNNNNNNNNNNNNNNNNNNNNNNNNNNNNNNNNNNNNNNNNAGUAGUGUAGCAUGUUACUGCUUUCCGUUAAUCCUAUACUGAUGCAUAGCCUGCCCUUGCUACUACUGUUGCUACCUUUACCUGCAAUCCUACAUGCUUAGUAUAGGAUGCUAGUUUUCCAUCAGUGGCCCUACAUUCUUGUCCGUCUGCUGUGCUAUACUAUUGGGCCGUGAUCACCUGGGCGGUGAUCACGGGUAUAUGCUUAUAUACUCUAUACAUGACACAUGUGGUAAAUAAAGUCGGGUCGGCUCAUAGGAGUACCCGCAAGUGGAUCUUUGUGGCGGAGCGACAGGGCAGGUUGAGACCGCCUAGGUGAGAGGUGGGCCUGGCCCUGGACGGCGUCCGCGGUUAUUUCGACAUAACACGCUUAACGAGUUCUUGGUAUUUGAUCUGAGUCUGGCCAUUUGGUCUAUACGCACUAACCAUCUACGCGGGAGUAGUUAUGGGUAUCCCGGCGUCGUGGUAUCAGCCGAAGCCUUCGUGACGUCAGCGACUGAGUGGCGCGCGCCGGAUUGGACUGGAACGCCACUAGGCUAGGUCUGCUUCCCGCCGCGUACGCAACGUGCAGGUGUGCAUAGGGCGAUGGGCCCAGACCCCUGCGCGCAUAGGGUUAGACUGGCGUGCUGACCUCUCUGUUGUGCUUAGGUGGGGCUGCGACGUGUUGAUCUUACGAGGCCGGGCAUGACCCAGGAAAGUGUGUCCGGCCAAAUGGGAUCGAGCGUGUUGGGUUAUGUGGUGCACCCCUGCAGGGAAGUUUAUCUAUUCGAAUAGCCGUGUCCCUCGGGAAAAGGACGACCCGGAGUUGUACCUUGACCUUACGACAACUAGAACUGGAUACUUAAUAAAACACACCCUUCCAAGUGCCAGAUACAACCCGGUGAUCGCUCUCUAACAGGGCGACGAGGAGGGGAUCGCCGGGUAGGAUUAUGCUAUGCGAUGCUACUUGGAGGACUUCAAUCUACUCUCUUCUACAUGCUGCAAGAUGGAGAUGGCCAGAAGCGUAGUCUUCGACAGGACUAGCUAUCCCCCUCUUAUUCUGGCAUUCUGCAGUUCAGUCCACUGAUAUGUCCCUUUACACAUAUACCCAUGCAUAUGUAGUGUAGCUCCUUGCUUGCGAGUACUUUGGAUGAGUACUCACGGUUGCCUUUCUCCCUCUUUUUCCCCCUUUCCUUUCUACCUGGUUGCCGCAACCAGAUGCUGGAGCCCAGGAGCCGGACGCCACCGUCGACGACGACUCCUAUGACACUGGAGGUGCCUACUACUACGUGCAGCCCGCUGGCGACGACCAGGAGUAGUUAGGAGGAUCCCAGGCAGGAGGCCUGCGCCUCGUUCGAUCUGUAUCCCAGUUUGUGCUAGCCUUCUUAAGGCAAACUUGUUUAACUUAUGUCUGUACUCAGAUAUUGUUGCUUCCGCUGACUCGUCUGUGAUCGAGCACUUGUAUUCGAGCCCUCGAGGCCCCUGGCUUGUAUUAUGAUGCUUGUAUGACUUAUUUAUGUUGUAGAGUUGUGUUGUGAUAUCUUCCCGUGAGUCCCUGAUCUUGAUCGUACACAUUUGCGUGCAUGAUUAGUGUACGGUCAAAUGAGGGGCGUCACAAGUUGGUAUCAGAGCCAACUGCCUGUAGGAAUCCCCCUUUCCAACUCCUUGGCCGAAGUCGAGUCUAGACAUUGCAAAAACUUUUACUAACAUGGUUGUGUGUCUUACGGGCCCACGUCGCCAUUGGGUGGUAUUAGGAUCUUUUACUCCUUGUCUAUACUCUGGGACUCUGAUCUCUCUUCUAUUCGGGUUAAGUGAAUUUUGCUAAAUCUAACAUUAGGAUCUCGUUAUCACUUUCACCCGGAGAGCCCCUUAUUACUGAUGAUCGUCUGCUGCACGUGAAGACCCUGAAGAUACUCUCCGCUGAUAACCCGAGAACUUAUGUUCAUCGCUUUUGCAAUUCCCUUUCAUCGAUAAACUCCAAUGGAUAACCACGUAUACUCGCCAUUCAUACAAUGUUUCCCAGUUGAUCUUGUUAUUACAAGAUACCUCGAAAUUCUCUUUGUUGCUCCGAGAAUCCUUUGAGCUUACUGCCUUGUUGUUCUUUGCCACAUGAAUACCACUAUGGAUAACUUCUAGCACUCACCGGAUAUUUGCUCAUCCCCAGUUGAUUCAAGUAUUUCACAAAAGUGUUCAAAAUACCAUUCGAUCUACCGAAAAUCCUGAGCAGCCUAUUGCUCUUGAAAUUCUUGCUUGCUUGCAUUAUGGUUAAUCCCAUAAGUCUCAUAAUAUUAUAGUCAUUCCUUGUCAUUAUCAUUUUGAGUCUGUUGAUUCAAAAUAUUGCGAAUGCUCGCAAUCCUCAAUCAUAUCCUAGAAUUCAUUCUUCCGGCUCAGACGUCAUUUUAAACGUGAGCUGGAUCUCGACCAAUCAAAUUUGCCAUCGAUUGUACCCGUAAGUUUACUCGACUUAUCCAUCCUCAAUCAGAGCGUUUGCUUCUGAUCCCUUGAAUUUGAAAUUAUAAUUCCUUUGCAUUGAGCUUUGAGUUAGUCAGUUGUUUCUAUAAUCUGAUCUCCUUGCAUUCUUUCUUCCUCUGGUUGAGUACUGAUGCUCACAUCAGAUCCCUUGUGGACCAUCAGACCCUUUUGUCGGAUUUUAUCCGACAAUGUCCUUCAUAUUAAAUAAGUUUGUGAGCUUUCCCUCGGAUACCUGAUGCCUUUGGUAAAUUGUAUCCUCUGCUUUGUGAACCAUGCUCUACUUUCAAGCUUGUACUAUUUACUCCGAAGUUUGUAGUAUAUCUUUCUACGAUGCCCCGAUGGGUUGAACCUAGGCCUUUCUUAAAUCUGUGUGAACCCGAAAGAUUUCGCGGGACAUACUUAUCUGGUAUUGCACCAGGUAAAACUUUCGACAACUAAUGUCAUUUUCGAAAAUGCGAGAAGUGAAUGAAAGGUUAUGCAUUGGAGAAGUGGGAGUCGACCUUGAACUUUGUGUUCAUGCCCAUGGACACGAUGUAGAUCUUAUCAUUAAAAGCUUCUCUUAAAUUAAUUAUUCCCUGGGUAUAAGUUCAUCUUAUAUAUGGGAUCUAGCCUUUUUCAAUCGUGGUCCUGACCAUGUUCUCCUUUAAAUACCAUUUCUCGUGCAAGUUUAAGCACUUGUCCUCUGCAGAGCAAUACCUCCGUCCAACCUCUACUUUGGUCUGUCAUCGAGUAUUACCCCCCUGGUAUCUCGAGAAUGUCAAGGAACUACUUAACUUCUUACGAGUUCUUCAUCAAGUGCUACAUUCUCACUGAUUCCAAUUUUUCACGGGCUCUGAGUUAUUAAUCACGCAAAGACACCGAUAACUGAACCGAGUCCGCACUACGGUUCAACAACUCUUAUUGAUCUUCUUUAAGUACGAGUUUGUACCCGAUCACGCCAUUCCUAGCAUGUUUGGCUAUAUCAUUAUCUUGAUGAUUUUAACUGUGCUACCUGGUCCUUAUUCCCGGAGCACCACUUUCGACGAUGAGCUAAGCUUACGUCGAUUUUCCUCGUCAUAUCGUUUCACCUCGAACAACAAACUUUACCCCGAGUUUGUGUAGUAUCUGUGGCUCCAAUAAUCUUUUGUUGCAUCAGUCCUUUUGCUUGAUGCAGUCACUGAUCAAUUGCUUCUUCAUGGAUCCCCUCGACAACAAAAUGUCGUGAUUUUCAUCAACAUUUUGACUCCUUCCAGGAUAUCAAUGGAAUUCUUGAUGAUAAGUGCCAUCCUCGUUCCUUGGUAAUUUGAGUUACCAUCGACAACAUCCUUACAUUCCUUUCAUCACAAACUUGAUCAUGUUAUGGAGCUCCUUGCUAACCAGCUUAUGUUAUGUUCUACCUUGGAGUAUUACCAUCUUUUAUGUCAAGGAUAUUGUGAGAAUUUCUCCACCUCUUGAGAAUUCUUGAUAUAGUAAUACUUCUCGCCAUCUCCAUUUGUUUUCUGAUCCCCGUGUUGUUUCUAACCGGAAAACCGACAAUUGAACUAUGAUGUGCGACUUCAAAACUUCUAGCAACCCUAUUGCUUUGAAGUUAAUGGUCGAUAUUUCAUUCUUAGACCAUUGGUUAUCGAAUCACCGUUCUAACAUUGAUCAUUCUACCUAAGCCCAUAUUUCGGGUGCACCUUUCAACCAAUGUUUAAUUGAGUAUGUUUUCCUCGAGCAUACCUCACUAUAUCAUUUGAUCUGACAAAUGAUAUCUCCUUGUUCACAUAAGUGUGGAAAUCCCUCUUUUUGGAAAUCUCGAGGAAUUGUCGCUGAGUCCAUCAGCCACCCCCUCAUCCUCUCCUUGGUUUAAUGAUGAACUCUUGUUUCGGAACUUGCUUUCAUAGUUCAUUUCCCGAGAAUCUUACAAUGUCAUCCCAUCAAUUUGUGUUGCACCUUUCUUCUCAGACAUCCUGAGUCUGAGGCAUCCUGACACCAAUCAGAUCUGAACCUCGGUCAGAUAUGAUGGUUGGAACGUAUUUCCAAGAGUUAUAAUGUUGGUCUUUAUAUGACCCGGUAAGGUUAUGUCAUGCAUAGCGCACCUGGCCGGAGGCCCUAUUGUUACAGAUUCCUUUUCAGCAAGGUUAUCCAUUCUUCCAUGAGGAAAUUGUAAGACUUAUUCUAUAAGUUGUUUCUGAUGGAUCCUUUUUGUUUCCAAAGUCUGAUCUUCACCUGUUGACCAUGUCAAUGCUAUCUCGAAGCAUGUCUAUGGUACUCCGAUUUUUAACAGGAACAUUUGAAGCCCAAUGCUAAAUGUUUCCUGCUCAAUUAUCCAAACACCGUUGUAUGGGUAAUGUCAUGAAAUUUUCUCUCCCGUACCUACAGAGUUUUCUACAUUAUAUCAUGUCAUGGAUAUCAUGCUCUGCUUAUCCUUGGGAAGGAUAUACCCUUGAAAUAUGUGUUUAAACACAUUUUCCUUUCCAUUCUUCUGUUUAAUCUGAUAAUCAUAUUUUCCUUUCCAUUGUUUGGGUUAACCUUUCUGGUGAUCCAUAUGAUCUAAGCAGUAAUAUUCUUCUGCUUAUGUAAACACCUUGGUGUACAACCGUGUCAGUAAGACCAUGUUGCAUUUGUCGAUAGCAUUCCGGUAACCACCGAUGGACGAGAACUUUGCCUAUUGGUCCGCCUCGUUCAACGAGCAGGAAAAUGGUUCUCUUCGUCCCUCGCCCUUGGUACCGACGUUGUUGCCGACAUAAUCGACAGGCUACCCUCUGACAUGCCUUGUUUGCAUGAUCACGCAAGACGUCUCCGCCCUUCCUACUUCUAACCCACAUGGUGGGCCCAUAACCCACAGUUCCACAGGAUCAAAACCUGACUCUCCUAUACCCCCUGUUUCCAAACUUAUUCCUCGCGCUUGGCUUCAUAUUUAAUUCACGGGCCACCUUCCUAGUGCUCUAUUCUGGUAUCAGACGCAAUACUUAUCCCCGUUUCUUUGAACCCCUUUCACCCUCUGUUUCAGGCAACAGACGGUUGCCUACCCGCUUGGAGCUUCUUGUUGCCCAUCCUCACCUUGCUCUCGAUAACUUCCUUGAAUUUCAACUUGAGAGAUGCCUCUAUGCCACGUUCACUGAGAUAGCCCCCAGGUACCUAACAUAUGUUGAGCUCCGUCCUUCCCGAGUUUUCCCCCUUAGCUUCCCGUAAGUACGAUGGAGAUCCUGAAGGAAGAAUGACGACUUCAUCAGGAUAACCUCAAGCAGACAAAUGAAGACUUCAAUGUAAUGGAUCGACCUCUUCAAGGAGAGCAACCAACACCGAGAAAACCAGUUAGAAUUUCAUAACCAAAUCCCUUCCCCCUUACUCCCGCUCCUAAAUCUCGGGACGAGAUUUCUUGUAGUGGAGGAGAUUUGUAACACCUCAAUAAUCAUGCUACAGUAAUCUCCCCCUAAUGGUGCCAUGUCAUCAAGCUUUACUAAGUCAAAUUGUCACUCGAUAAAUUCAAAGUCAAAUUCAAAUUGAAAUUGCAAGUCAAAUAAAUUAUUUCUUUUGGCAGUAAAACUAAAAUGUUCAUAAUAUUGCAAAAAUUACCAAAGCUGUUAUAAAAAUAAAACCAACACUUUCGAAACUCCAAAAAUGCCCCUAGUAAUUAAAAUAGUGGACCAACAGCACAUUACUUGGCCUUUUCGAUUUCUAAAAAUGUUUGAACCUUUUCAAAAGACCUUAAACUUUUUGUGGCAGUGCUAUAUAAUGCAAUGAUGAUUAUGUGACAAGUUGCAUAAUUUACAAAAGUCAUUUGGUGGUCAAGCAAUUUACAAACCGGAGCCAAAAUGAAAAACUGAAAACAAAAAGAAAGAAGGAAAACUAAUACUGCUGCACUGGGCCAUAGUUGCCACAGUGCAGCCCAACCCACCAGGCCACGGCCUUUCAUCCACCUCCCGCUACAGGAGGCAGAGGGGAGCCGUGGCAAACAUCCAGCCGCCAUGGCCAUGGAUGGCCUCCACAUGCCCCCUCGGCCUAUAAAUUUGUCCAAUUGAAACCCUAGCACACGCUCGUUCGAUUCCCUUUUCCUUCCCCCAUCGCCCCCUCCUCAUCCGCCCAAAUUCGAGCUCGGAAUCUCGCAUGGUGACCGCGCACAUCGUCACUGUUGCCGUGGCGAACAUGCUCCCCAGUGCCCGUGGAUACGUCCAGAGGACCGCCACCCUUGACUUCAUCUUCCCCGAGCAACAAAUCGAGUCGGGACGGCCAGAACACUCGCCAUAGCCGCCAUCUUCACCGAGUACAUUUUCAUCGUCCGUCGUCGUUUGCCGCAGCUCCGGUCCAGCCCCGGCCUCCCCAACCUCGCCAUCGGCAUCGUUGUGAGCUCCUCCUCCAUCCCCCUUGCUUAGUGCCUCGAUCCGUUGCCGUAGCCACUCGUACUCUCCAAGGCCGCCGCUCUUGGAGUCCGCGCUCACCGCGUACGCGCGCGCCUCUGCCUUGACCACGCCGUCCACGUGCGCCCCCCGCUGCUUGCCUCUCCGGCCGUGCCUAGUGCACACACGCGCCCAGCCGUGCCACCCCUGCUCGCCGCUGGCUGCCCGCGUUGCUGCCGUUGCUCCUGACCGCUGCUGCUCACUGCUUUGCUACGUUGCUGCUGCUCUGGCCGCCUAGCACCACAUCGCCAGAGGCCGCCGCUGCCCCCUCCCCGCGCCCCCACCGCUCGCGGCUGCGCCCGCCUCAGCCGGCGGCGCCCACCUCUGCCCGGGCCUGCUCGCGCCCCCUGUGCCGAGCCUUCCCACGGCCAACACCAUGGCCGCCGGUGUCGUACUCUACGAGUACGUACGUACAGGCACAGCCACACCAGAGGCCGAUUUGGGCCACUGGCACAUGGGCCCGACCCCCUGUUAAUUAGGGAGGCCCUAAUUAGUUUAGCCCAAAACCCCCUAAUUAAGCUAAGUAAACUUAGUCAAAAACCUGUUAAUUAAAAUGAGUCAAUGACAAUUGGGACCCACAUACGCUGUUCACAUUGGACUAGUCAAAAUAUUGACUGGGUCAACCCAGCCCCUGGCCCCACAUGUCAUACAGAUGCACACAUUGCUGGGUACACUCCUGUGUACCCAUAGCAAUUUGUCUUUUUAUUAUUUCGAAUUAAAUUAAAUGCAGAAAUCCCAGGAUUUGUUUAAAUCUUUGAAAAAUCAUAAAAAAUAAACCGUAACUCGGAUGAAAAAGUUUUAUACAUGAAAGUUGCUCAGAAUGACGAGACGAAUCCGGAUAUGCAGCCCGUUCGUCCGCCACACAUCCCUAGCAUAGCAAACACGCAACUUUCCCCCUCCGGUCCGUCUGUCCGAAAACGCGAAACAUCGGGAAUACUUUCCCGGAUGUUUCCCCCCUUCACCGGUAUCACCUCAUACCGCGUUAGAACACGUCUAGCUCUGCCUGUUGUCCUGUUAUGCACUUGCUUGCUAUGUAUUUACUGUUUCUCCCCCCUCUUCUCUUCAGUAGACCCCGAGACGAUGCUGAUGCCCCUGUGGUCGACUACGUCACCGAUGACCCCUCCUUCUUGUCUGAGCAACCAGGCAAGCCCCCCCCCCCUUGAUCACCAGAUAUCGCCUAUUCUUCUCUAUACUGCUUGCAUUAGAGUAGUGUAGCAUGUUACUGCUUUCCGUUAAUCCUAUACUGAUGCAUAGCCUGCCCUUGCUACUACUGUUGCUACCUUUACCUGCAAUCCUACAUGCUUAGUAUAGGAUGCUAGUUUUCCAUCAGUGGCCCUACAUUCUUGUCCGUCUGCUGUGCUAUACUAUCGGGUCGUGAUCACCUGGGCGGUGAUCACGGGUACAUGCUUAUAUACUCUAUACAUGACACAUGUGGUAAAUAAAGUCGGGUCGGCUCGUAGGAGUACCCGCAAGUGGAUCUUUGUCGCGGAGCGACAGGGCAGGUUGAGACCGCCUAGGUGAGAGGUGGGCCUGGCCCUGGACGGCGUCCGCGGUUAUUUCGACAUAACACGCUUAACGAGUUCUUGGUAUUUGAUCUGAGUCUGGCCAUUUGGUCUAUACGCACUAACCAUCUACGCGGGAGUAGUUAUGGGUAUCCCGGCGUCGUGGUAUCAGUCGAAGCCUUCGUGACGUCAGCAACUGAGUGGCGCGCGCCGGAUUGGACUGGAACGCCACUAGGCUAGGUCUGCUUCCGGCCGCGUACGCAACGUGCAGGUGUGCAUAGGGCGAUGGGCCCAGACCCCUGCGCGCAUAGGGUUAGACCGGCGUGCUGACCUCUCUAUUGUGCUUAGGUGGGGCUGCGACGUGUUGAUCUUACGAGGCCGGGCAUGACCCAGGAAAGUGUGUCCGGCCAAAUGGGAUCGAGCAUGUUGGGUUAUGUGGUGCACCCCUGCAGGGAAGUUUAUCUAUUCGAAUAGCCGUGUCCCUCGGUAAAAGGACGACCCGGAGUUGUACCUUGACCUUAUGAAAACUAGAACUGGAUACUUAAUAAAACACACCCUUCCAAGUGCCAGAUACAACCCGGUGAUCGCUCUCUAACAGGGCGACGAGGAGGGGAUCGCCGGGUAGGAUUAUGCUAUGCGAUGCUACUUGGAGGACUUCAAUCUACUCUCUUCUACAUGCUGCAAGAUGGAGAUGGCCAGAAGCGUAGUCUUCGACAGGACUAGCUAUCCCCCUCUUAUUCUGGCAUUCUGCAGUUCAGUCCACUGAUAUGUCCCUUUACACAUAUACCCAUGCAUAUCUAGUGUAGCUCCUUGCUUGCGAGUACUUUGGAUGAGUACUCACGGUUGCCUUUCUCCCUCUUUUUCCCCCUUUCCUUUCUACCUGGUUGCCGCAACCAGAUGCUGGAGCCCAGGAGCCGGACGCCACCGUCGACGACGACUCCUACGACACUGGAGGUGCCUACUACUACGUGCAGCCCGCUGGCGACGACCAGGAGUAGUUAGGAGGAUCCCAGGCAGGAGGCCUGCGCCUCGUUCGAUCUGUAUCCCAGUUUGUGCUAGCCUUCUUAAGGCAAACUUGUUUAACUUAUGUCUGUACUCAGAUAUUGUUGCUUCCGCUGACUCGUCUGUGAUCGAGCACUUGUAUUAUGAUGCUUGUAUGACUUAUUUAUCUUGUAGAGUUGUGUUGUGAUAUCUUCCCAUGAGUCCCUGAUCUUGAUCGUACACAUUUGCGUGCAUGAUUAGUGUACGGUCAAAUCGGGGGCGUCACAAUUACUUUGGUACCUCCCAGCUAAACUUAUAGCAAGGCACACAUCAGGUCUGGUACACAGCAUUGCAUACAUGAUAGAACCUAUGGCUGAAGCAUAGGGAAUGACUUUCAUUUUCUCUCUAUCUUCUGCAGUGGUCGGGCAUUGAGUCUAACUCAACUUCACACCUUGUAACACAGGCAAGAACCCUUUCUUUGACUGAUCCAUUUUGAACUUCUUCAAAAUCUUAUCAAGGUAUGUGCUUUGUGAAAGUCCAAUUAAGCGUCUUGAUCUAUCUCUAUAGAUCUUGAUGCCCAAUAUAUAAGCAGCUUCUCCGAGGUCUUUCAUUGAAAAAUUCUUAUUCAAGUAUCCUUUUAUGCUAUCCAGAAAUUCUACAUCAUUUCCGAUCAACAAUAUGUCAUCCACAUAUAAUAUCAGAAAUGCUAUAUAGCUCCCACUCACUUUCUUGUAAAUACAGGCUUUUUCGAAAGUCUAUAUAAAACCAUAUUUUUUGAUCACCUCAUCAAAGCGUAUAUUCCAACUCUGAGAUGCAUGCACCAGUCCAUAGAUGGAUCGCUGGAGCUUGCACACUUUGUUAGAACCUAUAGGAUCGACAAAACCUUCUGGUUGCAUCAUAUACAACUCUUCUUUAAGAUAUUCAUUAAGGAAUGCAGUUUUGACAUCCAUUUGCUAGAUUUCAUAAUCAUAAACUGCGGCAGUUGCUAACAUGAUUCGGACAGACUUAAGCAUCGCUACGGGUGUAAGGUCUCAUCGUAGUCAACUCCUUGAACUUGUCGAAAACCUUUCGCAACAAAUCGAGCUUUGUAGAUAGUAACAUUACCGUCAGCGUCGGUCUUCUUCUUGAAGAUCCAUUUAUUCUCUAUGGCUCGCCGAUCAUCGAGCAAGUCCACCAAAGUCUACACUUUGUUCUCAUACAUGGAUCCUAUCUCAGAUUUCAUGGCCUCAAGCCAUUUUGCGGAAUCUGGGCUCAUCAUCGCUUCAUCAUAGUUCGUAGGUUCGUCAUGGUCUAGUAACAUGACUUCCAGAACAGGAUUACCGUACCACUUUGGUGCGGAACGUACUCUCGUUGACCUACGAGGUUCGGUAGUAACUUGAUCUGAAUUUCAUGAUCAUCAUCAUUAACUUCCUCACUAAUUGGUGUAGGCAUCACUAGAACUGAUUUCUGUGAUGAACUACUUUCCAAUUCGGCAGAAGGUGCAAUUACCUCAUCAAGUUCUACUUUCCUCCCACUCACUUCUUUCGAGAGAAACUCCUUCUCUAGAAAGGAUCCAUUCUUAGCAACGAAUAUCUUGCCUUCGGAUCUAUGAUAGAAGGUGUCCCCAACAGUUUCCUUUGGGUAUCCUAUGAAGACGCAUUUCUCCGAUUUGGGUUCGAGCUUAUCAGGUUGAAGCUUUUUCACAUAGCAUCGCAGCCUCAAACUUUAAGAAACGACAGCUUAGGUUUCUUGCCAAACCACAGUUCAUACAGUGUCGUCUCAACAGAUUUAGAUGGUGCCCUAUUUAAAGUGAAUGCAGCCGUCUCUAAAGCAUAACCCCAAAAUGAUAGCGGUAAAUUGGUAAGAGACAUCAUAGAUCGCACCAUAUCUAAUAAAGUACGGUUACGACGUUCGGGCACACCAUUACAAUGUGGUGUUCCAGGUGGCGUGAGUUGCGAAACUAUUCCACAUUGUUUCAAAUGAAGACCAAACUCGUACCUCAAAUAUUCACCUCCACGAUCAGAUCGUAGAAACUUUAUUUUCUUGUUACAAUGUUUUUCCACUUCACUCUAAAAUCCUUUGAACUUUUCAAAUGUUUCAGACUUAUGUUUCAUCAAGUAGAUAUACCCAUAUCUGCUCAAAUCAUCUGUGAAGGUCAAAAAAUAACGAUACCCGCCGCGAGCCUCAACACUCAUCGGACUGCAUACAUAAGUAUGUAGUAUUUCCAAUAAGUGAGUGGCUCGCUCCAUUGUUUCGGAGAACGGAGUCUUAGUCAUCUUGCCCAUGAGGAAUGGUUCGCAAGCAUCAAGUGAUUCCAAAAGCCCAUCAGCAUGGAGUUUCUUCAUACGCUUUACAUCAAUAUGACCUAAACGACAGUGCCACAAAUAAGUUGCACUAUCAUUAUUAACUUUGCAUCUUUUGGCUUCAAUAUUAUGAAUAUGUGUAUCACUACGAUCGAGAUCCAACAAACUAUUUUCAUUGGGUGUAUGACCAUCGAAGGUUUUAUUCAUGUAAACAGAACAACAAUUAUUCUCUAACUUAAAUGAAUAAUUGUAUUGCAAUAAACAUGAUCAAAUCAUAUCAUGAUCAAAAAGAUGAAAAUAGUCUUGAUAACCCACAAGUAUAGGGGAUCGCAACAGUUUUCGAGGGUAGAGUAUUCAACCCAAAUUUAUUGAUUCGACACAAGGGGAGCCAAAGAAUAUUCUCAAGUAUUAGUAGUUGAGUUGUCAAUUCAACCACACCUGGAUAACUUAGUAUCUGCAGCAAAGUAUUUAGUAGCAAAGUAGUAUGAUAGUAGUGGUAACGGUAACAAAAGUAACGGUAGCAAAAGUAAUAUUUUUGGGUUUUGUAGUGAUUGUAACAGUAGCAACGGAAAAGUAAAUAAGCGGAGAACAAUAUGUGAAAAGCUCGUAGGCAUUGGAUCGGUGAUGGAGAAUUAUGCCGGAUGCGGGUUCAUCAUGUAACAGUCAUAACAUAGGGUGACACAGAACUAGCUCCAAUUCAUCAAUGUAAUGUAGGCAUGUAUUCCGAAUAUAGUCAUGCGUGCUUAUGGAAAAGAACUUGCAUGACAUCUUUUGUCCUACCCUCCCGUGGCAGCGGGGUCCUAAUGGAAACUAAGGGAAAUUAAGGCCUCCUUUUAAUAGAGUACCGGACCAAAGCAUUAACACAUAGUGAAUACAUGAACUCCUCAAACUAUGGUCAUCACCGGGAGUGGUCCCGAUUAUUGUCACUUCGGGGUUGCCGGAUCAUAACACAUAGUAGGUGACUAUAGACUUGCAAGAUAGGAUCAAGAACUCACAUAUAUUCAUGAAAACAUAAUAGGUUCAGAUCUGAAAUCAUGGCACUCGGGCCCUAGUGACAAGCAUUAAGCAUAGCAAAGUCGACAAGCAUUAAGCAUAGCAAAGUCAUAGCAACAUCAAUCUUAGAACAUAGUGGAUACUAGGGAUCAAACCCUAACAAAACUAACUCUAUUACAUGAUAGAUCUCAUCCAACCCAUCACCGUCCAGCAAGCCUACGAUGGAAUUACUCACGCACGGCGGUGAGCAUCAUGAAAUUGGUGAUGGAGGAUCGUUGAUGAUGACGACGGUGACGAAUCCCCCUCUUCGGAGCCCCGAAUGGACUCAUCAGCCCUCCCGAGAGGUUUUAGGGCUUGGCGGCGGCUCCGUAUCAUAAAACGCGAUGAAUCCUUCUCUCUGAUUUUUUUCUCCCCGAAAGUGAAUAUAUGGAGUUGGAGUUGAGGUCGAUGGAGCGUCAGGGGGCCCACGAGGUAGGGGGCACGCCCAGGGGGGCAGGCGCGCCCCCCACCCUCGUGGACAGGGUGUGGGCCCCCUGACGUGGAUUUUUCUUCCAGUAUCUUUAAUAUUUUCCAAAAAGAUGUUCCGUGGAGUUUCAGGUCAUUCCGAGAACUUUUGUUUCUGCACAUAAAUAACACCAUGGAAAGUCUGCUGAAAACAGCGUCAGUCCGGGUUAGUUCCAUUCAAAUCAUGCAAGUUAGAGUCCAAAACAAGGGCAAAAGUGUUUGGAAAAGUAGAUACGACAGAGACGUAUCAACUCCCCCAAGCUUAAACCCUUUCUUGUCCUCAAGCAAUUCAGUUGAUAAACUGAAAGUGAUAAAGAAAAACUUUUACAAACUCUGUUUGCUCUUGUUGUUGUAAAUAUGUAAAGCCAGCAUUCAAGUUUUCAGCAAAGAUUAUGACUAACCACAUUCACAAUAACUCUUAAGUCUCAUGUUUACUCAUAUCAAUGGCAUAAUCAACUAGCGAGCGAUAAUAAUAAAUCUCGGAUGACAACACUUUCUCAAAACAAUCAUAAUAUGAUAUAACAAGAUGGUAUCUCGCUAGCCCUUUCUGAGACCGCAAAACAUAAAUGCAGAGCACCUUUAAAGAUCAAGGACUGACUGGACAUUGUAAUUCAUGGUAAAAGAGAUCCAGUCAUACCCAAUAUAAAUUAAUAAUGAUUGAUGCAAAUGACAGCAGUGCUCUCCAGCUGAUGCCUUUUAAUAAGAGGGUGAUGACUCAACAUAAAAGUAAAUAGAUAGGCCCUUCUCAGAGGGAAGCAGGGAUUUGUAGAGGUGCCAGAGCUCGAUUUUAAAGCAGAGAUAAAUAAUAUUUUGAGCGGCAUACUUUCAUUGUCAACAUAAGAACCAAGAGAUGGCGAUAUCUUCCAUGCUACACACAUUAUAGGCGGUUCCCAAACAGAAUGGUAAAGUUUAUACUCCCCCUCCACCAACAAGCAUCAAUCCAUGGCUUGCUCGAAACAACGAGUGCCUCCAACUAGCAACAGCCCCGGGGGAGUUUUGUUUGCAAUUAUUUUGAUUUAGUUUGCAUAAAGCAUGGGACUAGGCAUCCCGGUGACCAGCCAUUUUCUCGUGAGUGAGGAGCGGAGUCCACUCCUCUUGAUAAUAACCCGCCUAGCAUGGAAGAUACGGACAGCCCUAGUUGAUACAUGAGUUAUUCGAGCAUACAAAACAGAAUGUUUAUUUGAAGGUUUAGAGUUUGGCACAUACAAAUUUACUUGGAACGGCAAGUAGAUACCGCAUAUAGGAAGGUAUGGUGGACUCAUAUGGAAUAACUUUGGGGUUUAAGGGAUUUGGAUGCACAAGCAGUAUUCCCGCUUAGUACAAGUGAAGGCUAGCAAAAGACUGGGAAGCGACCAACUAGAGAGCGACAACAGUCAUGAACAUGCAUUAAAAUUAAUAAACAUUGAGUACAAGCAUGAGUAGGAUAUAAUCCACCAUGAACAUAAAUAUCGUGAAGGCUAUGUUGAUUUAUUUCAACUACAUGUGUGAACAUGUGCCAAGUCAAGUCACUUAAAUCAUUCAAAGGAGGAUACCACCCCACUAUACCACAUCACAACCAUUUUAAUAGCAUGUUGGCACGCAAGGUAAACCAUUAUAACUCAUAGCUAAUCAAGCAUGGCACCAGCAACUAUGAUCUCUAAUUGUCAUUGCAAACAUGUUUAUUCAUAAUAGGCUGAAUCAGGAACGAUGAACUAGUCAUAUUUACAAAAACAAGAGAGGUCGAGUUCAUACCAGCUUUUCUCAUCUCAGUCGGUCCAUCAUAUAUCGUCAUAAUUGCCUUUCACUUGCACGACCGAACGAAGUGAAUAAUAAUAAGAGUGCACGUGCAUUGGACUAAGCUGGAAUCUGCGAGCAUUCAAUAAAUAGGAGAAGACAAAGCAAUAUGGGCUCUUGGUUAAAUCAACAAUAAUGCAUAUAAGAGCCACUUCAACAAUUUAAUUAUGGUCUUCUCCUAUCGACCCCCAAAGAAAAUAAAAGAAAUAAAAACUAUUUACACGGGAAAGCUCCCAACAAGCAAAAGAAGAACGGGAAAUAUUUUCGGGUUUUCUUAUAAUUAUUACUACUACAGAAAGAAAGGUAAAUUAACUAAAAGCUACUACUAAUUUUUUUGGUUUUUCUUAAGGUUUAUUAAACACACAAGAAGAAAGAAAGAAAAAGAAAAUAAACUAGCAUGGAUAUUACAGUGAAAAAGUAUGAGCACCGACAUCUAGCAAUGAGUGUGUAAACAUAAAUGUAAUGUCAGUGGGAAAUACGUACUCCCCCAAGCUUAGGCUUUUGGCCUAAGUUGGUUUAUUGCCACGGAUGGCCUGGCGGAUAUCCAUAGUUGUAGCCGGGGUCGUACUGAGAUGCAGCGGCUAUUGCCUCCUGAGCUGCAGCGUGGCGGCGAGCGGCUUCCGCCCUCCUCUCGUACUCAUCUGCCUCCUCUCUGGUAAUAACAUAUCUUCCUUUUGCCUGAUAAUCAAAGAAGGCAGGAGCAGGGAGAGUAAUACGGACAACACGACGUCUGUCAAAGAUUAAGCGAUACUAGAGAGGUGAUUCAUUCCUCUCAACAAACUGGUGGUGAACCAUAGCAUUAAAGUCUAAGUAAGCAGGAGGCAAUUCAAUAUCAUCAUUACGUAUGGUUACACCAAGAAAAUCAGCUAAGCGGGUUGCAUAAAUUCCACCAAAGAAAUCUCCAUUAAAUCUAUUAUUAUGCAACCUACGUGCAACAAUGGCUCCCAAAUUAUAAGAUUUGUCUCCUAACACAGCACUCCUAAGAAUACUGAGGUCAGGAACACACAUAUGACAUGCUUCAUCUUUACCAUUUAUGCACCUACCUAUGAAGAGAGCAAAAUAAUGUAUAGCGGGAAAAUGAAUGCUCCCUAUGGUAGCUUGUGCUAUAUCUCUAGAUUCCCCCACAGUUAUACUAGCAAGAAAAUUUCUACAUUCAGAUUUGCGGGGUUCACUAGCACUACCCCAUUGUGGAAGUUUGCAAGCAGAAGUAAAAUCCUCUGAGUCCAUCGUAUAAGAUUUCUCAUAAAGAUCCAAUUUCUCAUAAAGAUCAAACAGGGCAGUUGGAGAAUUACGUGAAGAUGAAAAUUCAAACCUCCUCACAAAGGAACUAGUGAGAUAGUGGUACUGGCGGCAUUUUUCUGCCUCGAAGCUCACAAGAUCAGCGUUACGCAAAUAUGCGUUAAAUUCUUCCUUAAUUCCCGCUCGAUCCAUAAAAUUUUCUGAAGGCCAUUCACAGGGCCGCACUGGAGCGUCCCUUGGUGGCUCAUCGUCAGCAUCACGCAUUGCAAGCCUGGGUCCUUUCUUCCUUGAAGAACCACCUUGGUACAUUUUCCUAAGCAUAUUUCUUCCUCUGAAAAAAUUCUGAAAUUUUUAGUAACUUCAAAUAAAAGUGAACCAAGCUCAACAAAAUUGAUAGAAACUACUCCUACAAGUGCCUAGAGCCUAUAUCAUGCAUUAGAACUACUUAGAACCAUAUAAAUUUGACAUGCAAGCUCAAGAACAUUGUCACCUAAGCAGCACAAAUUUGCAAUGAAUAAAGCACUAGAACAAAAACUAAUUGGACCAAUGAAGGAGUCACAUACCAAGGAACAAUCCCCCCAAGCAGUUUUGUGAGAGGUGCUUUGAGCAAGGAGAUCGAAAAUCGCAGCAAAAUGAGCUAGAACUCGUGCUUGAGCUAGAUGGUGAUUUUUUUGGGAGGAAGAAGAAGUGUGUGGGUGCAGGAAUAAGUGGAGGGGAGCCACCGUGGGCCCACGAGGCAGGGGGCGCGCCCAGGGGGUAGGGUGCGCCCUCCACCCUCGUGGCCAGGUGCUUGCCCCUCCUGCUGUGUUCUCAGUGCCAGAUAUUCUCAAAUAUUCCAGAAAAAAUCAUAUUCCAUUUUCAGGGCAUUUGGAGAACUUUCAUUUUCGGGGUAUUUUUAUAUUGCACGGAUAAAUCAGAAAACAGACAAAAAAAUACUAAUUUUACUUUAUUUCAACUAAAUAACAGAAAGUAGAAGGAGGGUACAAAAGGUUAUGCCUUCUAGUUUCAUCCAUCUCACGCUCAUCAAAAGGAAUCCACUAACAAGGUUGAUCAAGUCUUGUUAACAAACUCAUUCCGAAUAACAUGGAACCGGAGAAAUUUCGAAUAACACUAUGUUACCUCAACGGGGAUAUGCACAUCCCCUAUAAUAAGAAUAUCAUAUUUCUUCUUGAUAGUAGGAAGAGGAAAUUCAAAACCUCCAAAUAUAAUCGAUGGAAUUUUUCCAAUAGAAUUGAUACUAUGAACUUGAGGUUGUUUCCUCGGGAAGUGUACCGUAUGCUCAUUACCAUUAACAUGAAAAGUGACAUUGCCUUUGUUGCAAUCAAUAACAGCCCCUGAAGUAUUCAAAAAAGGGUCUUCCAAGAAUAAUAGACAUAUUAUCGUCCUCGGGAAUAUCAAGAAUAACAAAGUCCGUUAAAAUAGUAACGUUUGCAACCACAACAGGCACAUCCUCACAAAUACCGACAGGUAUAGCAGUUGAUUUAUCGGCCAUUUGCAAAGAUAUUUCAGUAGGUGUCAACUUAUUCAAGUCAAGUCUACGAUAUAAAGAGAGAGGCAUAACACUAACACCGGCUCCAAGAUCACAUAAAGCAGUUUUAACAUAAUUCCUCUUAAUGGAGCAUGGUAUAGUGGGUACUCCUGGAUCUCCAAGUUUCUUUGGUAUUCCGCCCUUGAAGGUGUAAUUAGCAAGCAUGGUGUAAAUCUCAGCUUCCGGUAUCUUUCUUUUAUUUGUAACGAUAUCUUUCAUGUACUUAGCAUAAGGAUUCAUUUUGAGCAUAUCACUUAAACGCAUACGCAAGAAGAUAGGUCUAAUCAUUUCAGCAAAGCGCUCAAAAUCCUCAUCAUCCUUUUUCUUGGAUGGUUUGGGAGGAAAAGGCAUGGAUUUCUGAACCCAUGGUUCUCUUUCUUUACCGUGUUUCCUAGCAACAAAAUCCCUCUUACCAUAACGUUGAUUCUUUGAUUGUGGGUUAUCAAGAUCAACAGCAGGUUCAAUUUCUACAUCAUUAUCAUUACUAGGUUGAGCAUCAUCAUUAAUAUUUUCACUAAGCUCAUAUUCAUUACCAGAUUGUGUUUCAGCAUCAGAAAUAGAUAUAUCAUUGGGAUUCUCAGGUGGUUCAGCAAUAGGUUCACUAGAAGCAUGCAAAGUCCUAUCAUUUUUCUUAUUUUUAGAAGGACUAGGUGCAUCAAUAUUAUUUCUCUGAGAAUCUUGCUCAAUUCUCUUAGGGUGGCCUUCAGGAUACAAAGGUUCCUGAGUCAUUUUACCAGUUCUAGUAGCCACUCUAAUAGCAUAAUCAUUAUUCUUACUAUUUAAUUCACUGAGAAAUUCAUUUUGAGCCUUAAGUACUUGUUCUACUUGAGUGGUAACCAUAGAAGCAUGUUUACUAAUGAGCUUAAGUUCACCCUUAACAUUAGCCAUAUAAUCACCCAAGUGUUCAAUCAUAUAAGCAUUUUGUUUUAGUUGUCUACCAGAAUAAGCAUUGAAAUCUUCUUGCUUAACCAUAAAGUUAGCAAACUCAUCCAAGCAUUGGCUAGCAAUUUUAGUAGGAGGGAAUUCAGCUUUAUCAUAUCUAUAGAGAGAAUUUACCUUUACUACCUGUGUCGGGUUACCAAGACCAUGAGUUUCUUCAAUAGGUGAUGGAUUAAGAUCAUAUGUUUCUUCAACAGGCGGUAAAUUAAGACCAUGUAUUUCUUCAAUAGGAGGUAAAUUCUUAACAUCUUCAGCUUUUAUACCCUUCUCUUUCAUAGAUUUCUUUGCCUCUUGCAUAUCUUCAGGACUGAGAAAUAGAACACCUCUUUUCUUCGGAGUUGGUUUAGGAAUUGGCUCAGGAGCUGGCUCAGGAGCUGGCUCAGGAAGUGUCCAAUUAUUUUCAUUUGUCAACAUAUUAUUCAAUAGAAUUUCAGCUUCAUCCGGUGUUCUUUCCCUGAAAACAGAACCAGCACAACUAUCCAGGUAAUCUCUGGAUGCAUCGGUUAGUCCAUUAUAAAAGAUAUCAAGUAUUUCAUUUUUCUUAAGAGGAUGAUCAGGCAAAGCAUUAAGUAAUUGGAGAAGCCUCCCCCAAGCUUGUGGGAGACUCUCUUCUUCAAUUUGCACAAAAUUAUAUAUUUCCCUUAAAGCAGCUUGUUUCUUAUGAGCGGGGAAAUAUUUAGCGGAGAAGUAAUAAAUCAUAUCCUGGGGACUACGCACACAACCAGGAUCAAGAGAAUUAAACCAUAUCUUAGCAUCACCCUUUAAUGAGAACGGAAAUAUUUUGAGGAUAUAAAAGUAGCGAGUUCUCUCAUCAUUAGUGAACAGGGUGGCUAUAUCAUUUAAUUUAGUAAGAUGUGCCAUAACAGUUUCAGAUUCAUAGCCAUGAAAAGGAUCAGAUUCAACCAAAGUAAUUAUAUCAGGAUCAACAGAGAAUUCAUAAUCCUUAUCAGUAACACAGAUAGGUAAACUAGCAAAAGCAGGGUCAGGUUUCAUUCUAGCAUUAAGAGAUUGCUGCUUCCAUUUAGCUAAUAAUCUCUUAACAUCAUAUCCAUCUUUGCAAGCAAAAAUUUCUUUAGCAAUUUCUUCAUCCAUAACAUAACCCUCAGGAACAACAGGCAAUUCAUAUUUAUUAGGGGGAGAGUCUUCGUCAUCACUUUCAUCAAUAUUAUCAGUUUCAAUAAUUUCAUUCUCUCUAACCCUAGCAAGUUGUUCAUCAAGAAAUUCACCAAGUGGCAAAGUAGUAUCAAGCAUAGAAGUAGUUUCAUCAUAAGUAUCAUGCAUAGCAGAAGUGGCAUCAUCAAUAACAUGCGACAUAUCAGAACGAAUAGCAGAAGCAGGUUUAGGUGUCGCAAGCUUACUCAAAACAGAAGGUGAAUCAAGUGCAGAGCUAGAUGGCAGUUCCUUACCUCCCCUCGUAGUUGAGGGAUAAAUUGUUGUCUUAGCGUCUUUCAAGUUCUUCAUAGUGACCAGCAAAUAUAAAUCCAAAGUAACUCAAAGAAUAGAGCUAUGCUCCCCGGCAACGGCGCCAGAAAAUAGUCUUGAUAACCCACAAGUAUAGGGGAUCGCAACAGUUUUUGAGGGUAGAGUAUUCAACCCAAAUUUAUUGAUUCGACACAAGGGGAGCCAAAGAAUAUUCUCAAGUAUUAGCAGUUGAGUUGUCAAUUCAACCACACCUGGAUAACUUAGUAUCUGCAACAAAGUAUUAGUAGUAAAGUAGUAUGAUAGUAGUGGUAAUGGUAACAAAAGUAACGGUAGCAAAAGUAAUAUUUUUGGGUUUUGUAGUGAUUGUAACAGUAGCAACGGAAAAGUAAAUAAGCGGAGAACAAUAUGUGAAAAUCUCAUAGGCAUUGGAUCAGUGAUGGAGAAUUAUGCCGGAUGCGGUUCAUCAUGUAACAUUCAUAACAUAGGGUGACACAGAACUAGCUCCAAUUCAUCAAUGUAAUGUAGGCAUGUAUUCCGAAUAUAGUCAUACGUGCUUAUGGAAAAGAACUUGCAUGACAUCUUUUGUCCUACCCUCCCGUGGUAGUGGGGUCCUAAUGGAAACUAAGGGAUAUUAAGGCCUCCUUUUAAUAGAGUACCAGACCAAAGCAUUAACACAUAGUGAAUACAUGAACUCCUCAAACUAUGGUCAUCACCGGGAGUGGUCCCGAUUAUUGUCACUUCGGGGUUGCCGGAUCAUAACACAUAGUAGGUGACUAUAGACUUGCAAGAUAGGAUCAAGAACUCACAUAUAUUCAUGAAAACAUAAUAGGUUCAGAUCUGAAAUCAUGGCACUCGGGCCCUAGUGACAAGCAUUAAGCAUAGCAAAGUCAUAGCAACAUCAAUCUUAGAACAUAGUGGAUACUAGGGAUCAAACCCUAACAAAACUAACUCGAUUACAUGAUAGAUCUCAUCCAACCCAUCACCGUCCAGCAAGCCUACGAUGGAAUUACUCACGCACGGCGGUGAGCAUCAUGAAAUUGGUGAUGGAGGAUGGUUGAUGAUGACGACGGCGACGAAUCCCCCUCUCCGGAGCCCCGAACGGACUCCAGAUCAGCCCUCCCGAGAGGUUUUAGGGCUUGGCGGCGGCUCCGUAUCGUAAAACAUGAUGAAUCCUUCUCUCUGAUUUUUUCUCCCCGAAAGUGAAUAUAUGGAGUUGGAGUUGAGUUCGGUGGAGCGUCAGGGGGCCCACGAGGUAGGGGGCACGCCCAGGGGGGCAGGCGCGCCCCCCAACCUCGUGGACAGGGUGUGGGCCGUCUGACGUGGAUUUUUCUUCCAGUAUUUUUAAUAUUUUCCAAAAAGAUGUUCCGUGGAGUUUCAGGUCAUUCCGAGAACUUUUGUUUCUGCACAUAAAUAACACCAUGGAAAGUCUGCUGAAAACAGCAUCAGUCCGGGUUAGUUCCAUUCAAAUCAUGCAAGUUAGAGUCCAAAACAAGGGCAAAAGUGUUUGGAAAAGUAGAUACGACGGAGACGUAUCAGUAAGCAGUAUGACUAUUAUCGCCCACAACUCUUUGUGUUCUACUCGUGCAUAUCAUCUACGCAUAGACCUGGCUCGGAUGCCACUGUUGGGGAACGUAGCAUGUAAUUUCAAAAAAUUUCCUACGAUCACGCAAGAACUAUCUAGGAGAUGCAUAGCAACGAGAGGGGAGAGUGUGUCCAUGUACCCUCGUAGACCGAAAGCGGAAGCGUUAGUUUAACGCGUUUGAUGUAGUCGAACGUCUUCAUGAUCCAACCGAUCCAAGUACCGAACGUACGGCACCUCCGUGUUCAGCACACGUUCAGCUCGAUGACGUCCCUCGAACUCUUGAUCCAGUAGAGGGUCGGGGGAGAGUUCCAUCAGCACGACGGCAUGGUGACGGUGAUGGUGAUGUGAUCUGCGCAGGGCUUUGCCUAAGCACUACGACAAUAUGACUUGAGGUGUAAACUGUGGAGGGGGCACCGCACACGGCUAAGAAUAACUUGUGUGUCUUUGGGGUGCCCCCUGCCCACUUAUAUAAAGGAGGGGGAGAGAGGCUGGCGGCCAGGAGGGGCGCGCCAUGGGGGGGUCCUACUUGGACUCCUAGUCCACCUCUCGACCAUUUCGAGACUCCUCGUCAUGUCUGUGAUCUCAUCCGGGACUCCGAAGAAACUUCGGUCACCAAAACACAUAACUCAUAAUACAAAUAGUCAUCGAACGUUAAGCGUGCGGACCCUACGGGUUCGAGAACUAUGUAGACAUGACCGAGACACAUCUCCGGUCAAUAACCAAUAGCGGAACCUGGAUGCUCAUAUUGGCUCCUACAUAUUCUACGAAGAUCUUUAUCGGUCAAACAGCAUAACAACAUACGUCAUUCCCUUUGUCAUCGGUAUGUUACUUGCCCGAGAUUCAAUCAUCGGUAUCAUCAUACCUAGUUCAAUCUCGUUACCGGCAAGUCUCUUUACUCGUUCUGUAAUGCGUCAUGCCGCAACUAACCCAUUAGUCAUAUUGCUUGCAAGGCUUAUAGUGAUGUGCAUUACCGAGAGGGCCCAGAGAUACCUCUCCGAUACUCGGAGUGACAAAUCCUAAUCUUGAUCUAUGACAACCCAACAAACACCUUCGGAGACACCUGUAGAGCAUCUUUAUAAUCACCCAGUUACGUUGUGAUGUUUGAUAGCACACAAAGUGUUCCUCCGGUAUUCGGGAGUUGCAUAAUCUCGUAGUUAGAGGAAUAUGUAUAAGUCAUGAAGAAAGCAAUGGCAAUAAAACUAAACGAUCAUAAUGCUAAGCUAACGGAUGGGUAUUGUCCAUCACAUCAUUCUCUAAUGAUGUGAUCCCGUUCAUCAAAUGACAACACAUGUCUAUGGUUAGGAAGCAUAACCAUCUUUGGUUAACGAGCUAGUCAAGUAGAGCCAUACUAGGGACACUUUGUAUUGUCUAUGUAUCCACACAUGUACUAAGUUUCCGGUUAAUACAAUUCUAGCAUGAAUAUUUAACAUUUAUCAUGAUAUAAGGGAAUAUAAAUAACAACUUUAUUAUUGCCUCUAGGGCAUAUUUCCUUCACGACGUUCACAUGACACCACUAGAGGAAAGACAACAUACAUCUCAUCAAAAUAUUGAACGAAUACUAAAUUCACAUGAUUACUUAUAACAAGACUCCUCCCAUGUCCUCAGGAACAAACGUAACUACUGACAAAGCAUAUUCAUGUUCAUAAUCAGAGGGGUAUUGAAUAGCAUUAAGGAUCUGAACAUAUGAUCUUCCACCGAAUAAACCAACUAGCACCAACUACAAGGAGUAAUCAACACUACUAGCAACCCACAGGUACCAAUCUGAGGUUUUGAGACCAAGAUCGGAUAUAAGAGAUGAACUAGGGUUUGAGAGGAGAUGGUGCUGGUGAAGAUGUUGAUGGAGAUUGACCCCCUCUUGAUGAGAGGAUCGGUGGUGAUGACGAUGGCGAUGAUUUCCCCCUUCCGGAGGGAAGUAUCCCCGACAGAACAGCCCUGUCGGAGCUCUAGAUUGGUUUCGCCCAGGUUCCGCCUCGAGACGGCGGCGCUUCGUUCUGAAAGCUUCUAUCUGAUUUUUCCAGGUCAAAACACACAAUAUAGCCAAAGAUGGGCACCGGAGGCCUACCAGGGGGCCCACAAGGUCGGGGGGCAUGCCCAGGGGGCAGGGCGCGCCCUCCACCCUUGUGGCUGGCUAGUGGCCCCCCUCUGGCACUUUCUUCACCCAAUAUUUUUUAUAUACUCCAAAAACAUGCUCCAUGAAGUUUCAGGACUUUUGGAGUUGUGCAGAAUAGGUCUCUAAUAUUUGCUCCUUUUCCAGUCCAGAAUUCCAGCUGCUGACUUUCUCCCUCUUCAUGUAAACCUUAUAAAAUAAGAGAGAAAAUGCAUAAGUAUUGUGAUAUAAUGUGUAAUAACAGCCCAUAAUGCAAUAAAUAUCAAUAUAAAAGCAUGAUGCAAAAUGGACGUAUCACUCCCUUGCAAAACAUGUCCAAAAUCUAGAACUGUCAGUCUUAUCAGAAGAUGUAGCAGUUGCUCGCCUUCAGUGUGUAGAACACGAAAAAAUCAGCAAGAUGGUAACAAAUUUCACCUAUAGUUCUAUUAGACAAAUUUUGUUAUAUCACACCACAAUGGAAUAAAAGGAUUAAACACUCCUCCACAUAUCGUUAGGGUUAAAUGUAGCAUGUGAAGACAUUCCUGUUAGACAAGAGUGUGAGCUCUUAAAACGGACAGAAUAAUAAAUAACUUGUUAGUAUGGCCUUGGCGAGGUGGCUGCGUCAAUGGCUGGUGUGGCCGCCUCCAUGGCCAGCGCCUGACCUGGUCGAUCUCCCUCUUCUCUUCUCUUCUGAUGAUAUUAGGAGAAGAGGGUGAGAGACGAGGUCGAUGGCUUUGGGUGGAGGAUAGGGGUAGAGGCCGGCGGUGAGGCAGUGUGAGGGAGACGAGGUGGUUGGUGGCGGCGAUGCGUGAUGGGAGGGGUAGCGGUGCGUGGAGGGGAGUGGGUGGUGGGCGGUGGAAACCGGCGGCGGCGCCCCUAGGGUGUGUGCCCAAUUCGCGUGAGAGGAAAGAGGUCGGGAAGGGAGCGACACAUAGGAGUUUUUUUUCGUUCUGAGCGAGCCUAAUUGGGCUUUCUGCGGCAUACAAGGCCCAAUGCACCAUAUGUCUUCAAAUUGGCCACCAGAGCAGCAGCCCCUUAGGACAUACAAGCGAAAUCACUAAUUGAGGAGUACUCAUGGCAAAGAUCACUCCCACCUUCCCAGGUCGUGACAAGUGGCGUGCUGCAUGUGCGCCACUUGUCGCAACCUGGGCGUUUUCUUUUUUUUCGUAGAUCCGUUUAUUCGAAACAUUUUAUCUCUUAAACCGUGCGUCCAAAUCUCGAACCGUUUUCACCGUUGGAUUCCUCGCGUCGAGAUCUUCAAAACUAGAUUCCAUGUUGAUAGGUUUUGAUGAACUUUUUUUUUCACGAAAAAACCGACCAUGAGCACGUGUUUCUUCCCUUUCCGAAAGAGGCACGCCCGUGCCUCUCGCGAAACCACAACCGUGCCUCUUGCUGAAAAAAAAAAGAGAAAACACGUUUUUUUUCUUUUCCGAGGAGGCACGGCCGUGCCUCUCGCGAAAGCACAACCAUGCCUCUCGCGGAAGCAAAACCGUGCCUCUCACGAAAGGAAAAAAACAGAAAACACGUUUUUUUUGUUUCCGAGAGGCACAGCCGUGACUCUCGCGAAAGCAAAACCGUGCCUCUCGUGAAAGCAAAACCGUGUCUCUCACGGAAGAGAAAAAAAUUACAGAAAACACUUUUUUUCGUUUCCGAGAGGCACGGCCGUGACUCUCGCGAAAGCACAAGUGUGCCUCUCGCGGAAGAAAAAAAACAGAAAACGCGUUGUUUUUUUCGUUUCCGAGAGUCACGGUCAUGACUCUCGGGAAAGCAAAAUCGUGCCUCUGACGGAAGUAAAACCGUGACUCUCGCGGAAGAAAAAGAAAAAGAAAAUGUGUUUUUCCGCAUAAAAAAAAUUUUGAAAUUUUUUUAUCCAAAGGGUAAGGAAGACCGGUGGAAGACCAAACGUCGAAAAAACAAGAAAAAAACGUUUAAAAAGCCAAAAACGCGUGCGAAAAAAUAAAAAAACAAAAUCCGGAGGGAGCAUCCAGAGCGCGACACGUGGCGGGCGGCUGAAAGCGCGCCAAGUGGCGUUGAUCGUUAUGAGGCUCCAGAAGGAGCGCUCGUCAACUAGUUGCUCCCACAUACAGGCCUAGUUCGCAAAUUGAAGAUGGAUCAGACCGCCGAGGAUGCUCAAACCUGUGAUCUGACCGCCAAAAUUACCCAAAUCGUGAGAUGGCUCGGAAGUGGCUCGGUUUUACUGUCCUAAAUAACAAAGAUAUUUAUUUUCUGUUAUAAGUAUAUUUUUUGCUUCAUAAUAAUUUAGAAAACUGCAUAAAACUUUCCAGGAACUCUGUAGAGUGUUUAGGGGACUUUUUUUUAUUAAGAUGUCAUUUAAACUACUCAUCUUUAUUCUUUCUUUUUUGCAGGGAAAUCAUCUUAUUCCACGGACAAUCAUGAUGAACUGCUUUGGUUAUUACAAUGGGAUGACAUCAACACACACACAUACACAAACAACUAUAGCUUUAUAAGUAGCACAUGACAAGCAUCAUCAUCCAGAUAUCACCCCAAAGUCAUCGAAUUCAGAUUACUUAUGGCAACAGCAGUACGGGUAGGGGUGGUGCUCACAAUAGCUCCUGAGGUAGUCGUAGCCCAUGCUUACGCAAAAGUUUCGGCACUUGCGCUGGUCAUGAUCAUGCACCGGUUUGUUGCAUUCCCACAUAUAUUCACAGUAUAUGUCAGUAUCUAUGCUUUUUCUUACGCAAGUGUUUUGGCAGUUGUGCCCACCAAAAUCAUGCACCUGUCUCUUGGAUUCCCACAUAGAUUCACGGUACGUGUCAGGAUCCGUGUCUGCAUGCACACACACACGCACAAAAGGAACUACGAACAAUUAGUAUGUGUGUGUUCCAUAUGAAAGAAUGGAAGAAUGAAGCAUCACGUAGUAAGAAAUACUACUAUACAUACGCUUGGCAUUGCAUGACAGGGAGACCAGAAGAGCUACGACCAAGCACAGAAACUGUGUUGUUCCUGGCAUGUGCCGCGGCGAAUGACUGGCUAGCUAAUUAAUCCUCUUCUUCUAGACGGUGUUGUCUUUUUGGUUGAUGGAUGCUUUGUGUGUUCUAUGAUGGUGUUCGUAGUAUAUAUAUAUACGCGUGAGAGCGGUUCUUUGGUCAAGGGGGAGGUUAAUCAAUUCUUAUCAUAUCUUUUCGUCGUACACUAAUGCACGAGUAGAUAUAGAUAUCACUACGUAUAUCUAUAUCUAUAUGCACGAGUAGAUAUAGAUAUGAGAAAUGUUUGUUUAUCACUAGAUGAAUGUCCUUGUGUUGCCGUCGAAAAACAAAGAUAUAGAUGUUUAUUAAUAAUUAAAGAGUCAUUAAUUAUAUUGUGAUACACGCACAUAUAUCUCUACUCCUAAUGUCUCAGUUGGUAGUCUCCGUUCCGGGUUUAUUUUCGUCCCACCACUUUCGUCCGUUUUUUUUCGUUCGGUUUUUUUGUUAGUUUUUUUCCGUCCCCUUCUCGCACCCCACCCCACGCACGCACCCAAAAAAAGCCACCACGCACAAAACACCGCUCCUCUCGAUCCCCUGAUGCCAUAUUCCUGGCACCGUCGCCUUCGCGGAUCCGCCGCCACAACCAUCGCUCGUUCCCGUGCGCCGCCGUCGCUCCCUCUCCCAGCGCCCGAGCAUCCCCGUCGCUCCCUCUCCCAGUGCCGCCUCCACCGCCAUGGCCCCUCCCCUUGCGCCCCGAACUGCCUCGCGCACUCGUCGCCCGUUAUACCACAGAGGAGGCGAAGACAGCGGCAGCGCGCCGCCCUACUUCGCCGGUCGCCGCCUCGGCUGCACUCGGCGGGCGCCACACGCCGUCUCCUCUCCAUGGGAGUGGCGGAUGGCAGCGAGGAAAGUGGAUCGACCUGGCCAUGGGGAUGGCACUACGACCCCUGCCAGCCUCCCGCGUCGCCGUGCCUCCCUGCAUCGUCGCCUCCGACCUCACCACGUAGGUAAUCUCACCCAUGUCCCCUCCGCACCUCAUUCCACUCCAUCCUCGACCACCCCCUUCCUCUCACCUCAUGCCCAUUGUGGUGGCCUGCAGCUCCUGUGACGAGUAAUGGGGAUGGAAAUAUAUCAACGAUGGGGUGUGGUUCGUUCCUGUCAGGUUUUUUUCUUUGACGCUGCCGCUCCUGGAGCACCAACUCAAAAAUUUCUCAUAUACUGGUGUUGGUCGAGCACGAGCACAAGGCGACAUUUUUGCUGGCCAUCUUGUUCAACACCUACUGGUAUGUGACCUGUUUGAUGAAACAUUGUACCAACAUUGUUCUUGGAUUUUUUUAUUGCUGGUUGAGUUGAGACAUUGCUCGUCAGCACACGUGAAUGAAUACUUCUUUUUGGUGUUUGAAAAAAGUAGGGGAGGGGGAGGAGGCCGGCAACAGGAGAAGGCGCAUGCCAG